rnacentral:lncRNA from 1 species
UUUCUUAUGUAAUCUAAGAACAUUGUUCUAACUUGUCAUCCACUUUUCUUACAGUAUUCAAAAGGCCCUUUGUUGAUGAUUUUUACUGUUUUGCUAUGAGAAAUUGGCUGUGGGGGUUUGUGGCCACGUAUGUUGUUCAAUCUGACCUGCAGUCUCCUCUUUCUUGCUCUUUCUUUCACACCAUCACAAGACUCUUUUCUGUGUGCACAUGCGUGUGUAUGUGCAUGGUUGUUAGGAUCACGAUCAUUCGUUCCUAUGACUCAAAAACUUUGAACAAUUUGGAUUCUAAGAAAAAUGGUAGUCUGUGGGGGUCGUGAUCUGUAUCUUAGGAUGGCCAUCCCAACUACGAUUCCACUAUUCAAGCUUUAGAAGGCAAUUCUGCCUUUUUAGCUGGAGCAAAUAUGUAAUUGGGCCUCCGUCGCCUAGCACAUGUGCCACUUUCUUCUUGAUCAUGUUCAGGCUCCAUUUGGAAAAUAUAAGGCUUGGAGAAUUAAGAAAAAGGGAUGAAGAUGAAUGAACAGUAGAAAGCAAAGAAGUGCAGAGACACCAUUUCUUCAUCUUCUUCAGUCUUGAAUAAAUGAUGAGAUGGGCAUUGACCACCGUUGGCUUUUUGAACUGUGCCGUCCUUUGGAGAUGAGAGAGACAAAGCUCUGUCCUUCUGCAACCAGAUGAGAGAGACCUCUAACAUCCUUGAGAAAUUGGUGCACGAUUUGACUUGGCCUAGUAGCAUAAUAUCUUUGGAUGUAUAUUGAUUAGAACUUACCUUAAACUUUAAACAGUUGAAAAACCUAGAAUAGCCAGUGAAAGUGAGGCUCGUUAGAGAGAUGUGGUGGGGGGGUGUUAAAUUGGAGUGUGUGUCCCAGAUUGAGGUAAAUAAUAUUUUAUCCUUUGAAAUAAAGAAAGAGACAGUAUGUAUUCCGAGAGAGAGAAGGACAAAAUAAAGGAUUAGAAAUUAGGAAAAGGCAGGAAAGUAAUUUCUUGGCAGUCUUGUUCUUGAUUAUUAUGGUGAUUAUUUUAUUGUGAUCCUAUUUAAUACACCUUAAAAACUUGGGCGAGGAGAUUUUAUGCUUUUCCAUCUUUGACAUGGUGCUUUAAUUGUUAGUUGAAAAACUGGCAACCAAAAAUUUAAACCAGAGUAAUCUCUCACAUGAGAAUGCUACCUUUAAGCUUCACUAUCCCUCUUUUUAAGGUUAAUAUGCAUCUAAUUGCAAUGAUUUAAGCAAGAAUUUAGCACUUCAAAUAUGUAGGAUCUUAUGAUCUUGAUCUGAUCUCGAAGACUUCGAAAGGAUCCUACUUAGCAUCUUGAUCCUGAUAACCUUUUUGUGUGUGCGUGUGUGACAAAGGUUGCCCAGCUUUAAUAUUUAUUGUUAAUUUAUUUGGUCUUAGUUAUUCAUUUGACAGGAGAAAUAUGGAUCCAGUUGUAAAAUUUCUAAUGGGUGACUCCAGAGUGAAACUGCUUUUCUGUUGGUAAGCAGCUUUCACAUGGAGGUUUUCUUCUCUAUGUCAGUGGCCGUCUUUGUCCCUGUGCUCAUAUUGCAUGGAUGGAGACUGACUGCAGAACAUUAAGAAAGUGUAAGGGCAAUUUUACAGUUUCCUCAUCAAUUUGGUGUAAGAUUGAUCUCUGAAGCGUAAUGGGCCCAAGAGUCUUGCAUGUAGGAUCAGCCUCUUUAAUUUCAGCCAAAGAGCAUGGAAAGUUUGUCUUUGUUUGUUUCUAUUAUGGAAUUCUGUGGCCUCCUUUUCUUCAGAUCGAAUGAAUAUCUAGUAUUUGUGCUCAUCUUGCAUGGAUGGAGACUGACUGCAGAACAUUAAGAAAGAGUAAGGGCAAUUUUACAGUUCCUCAUCAGUUUGGUGUAAGAUUGAUUUCUAAAGCAUAAUGGGCCUAAGAGCCUUGAGUGUAGGACCAGCCUCUUUAAUUUCAGCGAAAGAGUGGAAAAUUUUUCUUUGUUUGCUUCUAUUAUGGAAUGCUGCGGCCUCCUUUUCUUCAGAUGGAAUGAAUAGCUGGUAUUUGUUCUCCAACAGAUUAUAUUCUCUUGAGGCUUCAAGUUGUCCCUUUUAUCUAGUGAGGGUACUCAACUAAUUAAUAUACUAUGUCAUGUAGUAUAUUAUAUGAAUAACUUUUCCCUUUCAACUUUGUGAUUGCAUCGCUUCUUCCUGAUACUUGAAGUCUUACACAUUAGCAAGAAUCCUUAACAUCCUCGGUUAAGUUGAAAAUUAGCUUUGUACCCAUGAUAUGCCCCCCUUUCCAUCUUUGUUGUUUUCCUUGGAUCCUUGGUUUAAUUACACUAAUAUUUUGCUUACAAUGCCCAAUUGGUAAAAGCAUAUACUUAAACCACUGUGAGUAACCGUGUCUUUAGUAGCUAUUCAUUUUGAUAGCUUACCUGGACCACAGGUCCACAGUGGUGCUGUUUUGGGCUUUCUCUUGGUUGCUUAAGUCAAAUUGGACAAAAUUUUAGGAUUCUUUGUUUGUGUUUUUUUCUCUCUCAGUUCCUUGCCAAAUCCGCAAUUGUUGACCAGGAUUGAUCCAAAUGGAGCUUUGCUUUGACUUAGGUGAGUGAGUACGAGUUCUAAUUGUUCCAAAUACAUUGUUGUUUAUGCUGUCUGUUGUUUUUUCUGAUUCUGUCCACCCCGCCUUUCUGGUGUUUUUCUUGCUCUUUGGUUUUGCCCUUACAAGAGUGAGUGCCUUUUUGCCUCAUCAAGAUUCCUGUGAAGAGGUUUUGGUUUGUGAUUUGUAUUUUAUUACCCUUCAAUAUUGCAUUUCUUACCUUUACAAAUUGUGGUUCUUCUUCUUACAUGCUCAUCGGAAGAGAUGGAUUAUAUUUUGCUUUGACAACCAAAACAAAUGGUCAAACACCAAAUGAAAAACAAAUGCCAAAAGCGGCAAGGGAGGAAGUGUCUUCUAGGUCAGAUAUGAAUGAAGAUUCAAUAACUCCUAUGAGCAUACUAAUCACAUGAGAAUUGCCACAUGGGGUUAUUAUACAUAUUUCAUGUACAUGUUUGCUUUUAAGACUUAUUGGACCUGCUAACCUGUGGCUUCUAACCUGUGAUGGAUGUACAAUAUGCUGGUCAUGUGAUGUUGUUGUGUCAUUGGGUAUAUUGUGGUUGGUUUGGUAGGAAGGAGAGAUGUGUCGUGCAAUUUGGAAAAUGAUGUUACAAGGAUGAGUGCUUGGUGGAGGUACUAUUUAUUGAGUGUGUUUAGAGACUUUAAGCUAAUUCUAGUUUUGUUAUUAAAUGCAUGAAAUCAAAUGUGCAGAGAAAGGAGUGAAUAAACUUACGUCCUUGCUAAUUGCAUAUUUUGUUGGCCGACAUGAAUGAAUGUGCUUUAGACCAUCCCAAUAGGAAUUAUACCUGCAUUUCUGUUAUUAAAUUUUGGUUGAUAAGGCUUCCCAUGGAACAAUUGCUUCCCUCACUUGGGCUGUUUUAGACAAAUUUAUCAGCAAAAUAAGGCUGAUGUUAUGAAGCUCAUUGAUUUGAUGUUUUCUUACAGAGUAGCAUGGCCUUUCUAUUAAUGCAAGUAUAGCUUGAUCAGGAGACAGUCCAAAGGCUGAUUUUGUUUAUGGGAGUAUCCAUCCUGAUUCAGAGGUUGCUGAUAAUAUCAUUUGGAGAACUUCUCCUACUAUUGAUGUGGAUUCCAUCAAAUCGUUCAGAGAUACGAAGCUGCUGCGUGUUCUUCUUAGCUGUAGUCUAAGUUGAAUUGCAACUCUUUUUUUAGGUCAAGCAUGAUCAGAGAACCAGCUGGAUAUUUUUGUUGGAAGAAGAGACUUCGUAGGGCGAUCCUACCAUAUCUAUGAUAAUCAUCUAAGUUGGUUGUACCUCUUUUUUCUUUUCUUUUUGAACCAUAUACCAACUUGGUUGCUAAUGUCAUGUUUUGUUUUCUGUUGUAAUCAUCUAGUUCCAAAUGAAGAGAGAUUUGUGGACCUCAUUAAAAGCAUAUAGACUUUUCAUUAUCUUUCUUUAGGUACAUGUGGUUCGUCCUCAUCGGAAAACCAAGAUAAUACUAUUGGCUAUAGAACACAAGUAGAUGGUCCAGGGGAAAUAUAUGAACCGGCAUUAAUCACCUUUAACUUUACUUUGUGUAAGAAAGAAUAGUAAAUACUGUUUGUGCUGCCGCGAGAAGGAGCAACACGAUGGCUGCAAGAACGGAUAAGAAAGCCCAAGGACUAUGGAAAUAUUCCCUCCUUAGUUUUGCCAUCCAAACGUUCCUUCUCUUGUUACAAUACGCAUUCACAGUCUUGAAGAUCUCGGAGUAAUAGAAAUUGGGUAGAGUGACGUAGUCACCCAUCCUGUUGAACAUCUGUGCAAUUACCUCGUCAUCACCCAAGUAGUUCUUAAUAAUCCCUGCACGGCGAAGCACCUCAACAUCCUUUGAAGAGUUUAUGAGGCAAUCCAUGAGGGUCACAUAAUCUGUAAAGUAGCUGAUGCCUCCACCUUGACGAUGCUGCUCAUACGCAAUUAGGUUUCGAAAUUGUGACUCUGUGUGGUCCUGUACAAUCAAGACCGGUAUCUCGAGUUUGCCAUUCUCGAAUCUGAUGUCUUUCAUGUGUCGCCCUCGCACUGCCCUCAACUUGACUCCGGAUUCCCUGAGCUCCGUUGCUGAGGACAUGAACAUGAGUUUCUCUUUCGUUGGCGGGGCUCUGCCAGAUAGCCGGGGCACAUUAGGCAAGCCAGAAGUCCAGCAUGUGUGCAUUAGAUGAAGAAGAUGUUUGCUCUCGCGAAGUGUCGGACAUUGGCCCGAGUCUCCUAGUUUAAAAUCGAAAUACGUGGUGGCUAUAUCGAUGAGCUCACGAGGCUCGUCCGGACGUUUAGUCAGGUCAUAUAGCUUGUUCAAGAAGAAAAGCGGGAGUUGGUUCUCGAGCAGCAACAAAUCGCGCUGGAGGCAGUAUCGAAUCCAAUCUGCCUCCAUAAGCGGGCCGUCUUUGUUUCUCAGUUUCUCCAUAUUGUACUUACGGAACAACUCAACGAUGAAACAACCAUCAAUAAACAUCAUCGCUAGGAACUUUUCUUGGGAGAGGUUGAUGGUUUCCGCGUAGCAAUUACGCACCAGCUGUUCCAGUUCUCUUAGAGUCGGCAUAUACCGGUCAAUGCUUUCCUCUUUUCUCCUCUGAAGCAACUGCUGCACGUACCGCAUUUUUUGCUCCUCCAUGGAUUUGAAUUUGUCAUUUCCAUAGUGAUGAGGGCCGACGACCAGAAUCUCUGGUUCAUAGGCUUUGUUGUUUACUCUGCGCAGUUGAGGACGAACCCUAAAUAUACUAUGCUCUGGCAGGGUUGGAGGCACGCCACAGAGCAUAUCCUCGAUGUAGAUUAAGGCAUGAUCUUGUAUCCCAGAUCGCCCAUUGUUUCUAGCAUACUGUAUUGGUUACAACACAAUUAAUGUGAUAAUAAGCAUGUCAUAAAGCAAGAAGAUAGUUUUCCGUGUUCUUAAAUUUUCAUGUGCUUCCCUUUCAUUAAGCUGCGUUGUGGCUUGCUAUACAGCUUAGUAUGUUGAUAUAACCUUAUGAUCGUUAUAACAAGCUUAUGUCGUGUAUGUAACUGGUGCUUCUACAUGUUGCUGGCAAGAGAUUUCGUCAAGAUCACAUAUUGAACACUGGACCAUUAUCAGUGAAUUUGCAAAAACAGUAAAUAAAAAAUGGAGGAGCACUAAUCAAUAACUAUGCAGUAAUUUAUUUAGCAUAUCCCAAGGAAGAGUUUAGAAUUGCAUAUGUACAUUCAUACAACAUAGAUACAUACAUAUAUAUUAAAUACAUGGAUGUAAAAAGAGUAAUCCUGAGAAAUUUUUAGCUAUUCUGCUUAGUGAGUAAUGUAAGAGCUAUUCUCUCUAACCACCUUAAUGAUCCCACUAGUAUUUAGGUUUUCCUCCCCUCACUCUCAGUAUGCUUAAAAAUAUUUAUAUCUCAUUAUGAUAAUUGUCUUUACAUGCAAGCAAAGUUUUCCAUAAUAAAGCAUAGGCAACGUACAAAAACUCUCCCUGUGUGUAAUAUUGCCGAUUGUCAAAUUUGGUCAUCAUACUUUUUUUUGUGACUUGUUUGAUUUCUAAACUCUCCGAACAUUUUGAAAAAAAACAAAAAAAGAAAAAGCUCUUAAAAAAUUGGUAAACAAAAAACUAAUCUCCCAACGCAAUUUCAUGACAAAUUCCGUGUUUCCGUAUGAAAUACCGGUGGAAAAGGUUGACUAAGCACCAUAGUUGAACACACGUUGAUGACAUUGAACAUAGCACACCGAUAGUCGGGAAAAAAUUACAAAAAAUGAUCCAUGAAGUAUUGCCUCUCCUUAAUUUUCCUCCAUAAUGUACUUUUUUUUUUUAAAUAACCAAUUUGGUCCCUAACAAAUUAGUAUUUGUAUGUAAAUGAGUAAAUGAGUAAAUGAAGUGCUGCUCACAAACUUUCCAUAAUCAUGUUAAUUGAAUGGACCAUUAUAUGGAAUGCAAAAGACUGGUCUAAUCCUUCAACUUACUUGAUUAAGUUGGUGGUUGCUCAUUCUUCUUGCCAAGCUAGACCAGCCCGUAUCACGCAAGUCGAGUUCUUCUCUUCUUGUCGGAUUGUUUUUCAGUGAAGGAGAGAUAAAAUGAGACUGCUGCAAACACAAACCCUUUUAUACCAAACUCAAACACGUUUUAAGAACCUUCAUUGUUAAGACUUUUGAAGAUGGAAGGUACUACAAUAAAUCGAAGGUUCUUCGAAGUUGAUGAAGAGGCAAGGGCUGAUAAAGUCUUACAAGGAAAUGUCAAAAAUGGACUUUAUGAGAACGACUUAUAAAGUCUUCCACAAGUUACAUCAUCCUAUACAAAAAUUGAACCAUUUUAAAUAAACUUCAUGAACUCUCUCAACUUUUGGAAAGAGUCCUACAUUAUAGCUAUUGGUUUGAUAUUAUAAUUAUAUUCAUCAUGGAGACAACUUGUACACCCAUAAUGGAUUUAAAUAUUAAGUAUCGGCAUAUUCCUUUCGAUCGGCAUAUGAAGUCCUCCACAAGUUGCGUUGUGCCAUGUGAAACCGAGUGCAAUUGGUUUGCGCAUCAGGAAUUAAAGGGAGGGUUAUUUCCAAUUGGUAGGAACGAUGGAAUGGGUAGCGUUGGCUUAUAUUUGAAUUACCCGUUGAGACGAGUGCCAGUGCGUAUUCAUGGAAGUUGAAGAGUGGAGAAGACCAAGGAAAAUAAAAAGAGUGGAGAAGACUAAGAAGACUUGGAAAACGUCAAAAAUUGACUUUCAAAUAACUUGGCAAGUCUUUACACAAGUUGCAUUAUUAAUAUCAAGUUGUCGCGACCUCCCCGAAGCGGGUGGGACCACCUAAGGGUUCGGCUAAUGGAUUGUUAAACCUAGACUUAACUCGAGCUCUCCCAAGCCCAUACCAAUUCGCGACUUAGGUUCAAGUUCUUAAUAUGCAAAUGAUGUUUAUCAUGGAGUCGCCACUAAUCUUUUUUGGUGGGUCGAUUAGAAACCCAAGUAAAGUAAUGGGAGAAUUACUUCACUCCUACGAACCAGAGAUUGUGAGUUCGGGGACUUGGUUACACUAGAUUUCUCUAAUGCCCUUUCGGUACCAUUCUUUUAUUUUCAAAAUUGUUUUUUGCAGGCAGUUUUGGAUUGAUUUUAAAUCUAUUUUCCUAACAUGUGAUAUGAUCAUGCGGGUGCACAAUCCACCAAUUUAACACCCGAGAAAGCGAUGAAUAAAUUGCAGGACUUACCUCAUAGCAACGAAAGCAUCUGCAUUGUUAGAUCAAAAUUCACAUCAACAGACCUCGAUAUGAUUUUUAAUUAACAGGCAAUUUCUUCUUUUUCUUUUGGUUUUUUACUUGUUUGAUGAGAAUCAUGCAAUAUGCAAUGCAUGCUACUAAUCUAACAUGGAAUGGCAUGACAAUGUGUUCUAAACUACACGACAUGAGUAAAAUAUUUUUUUUUUGUGUUUUCUUAAUGAACAUGCAAUAAUUAAAUAUGCAAAUCAAAAUGACCUAAUUAUAAUGACGGGCAAUUUUUAAUUAAAUGAGCCUAAUUCUACAUGACGUGCACAUGAUAUUGCUAUUCCUAAAAAUGCAAUUUAUCCUAAAAAACUUAAAGUGAGACAUGCAAUUCUAUUCUAAUAUGCAUGAUGAUUUUUUUUUAUAUAUAUAAAAUUCGAAAUUUUAAAAAUUUGCACACAAUUAAACAUGCAACCUAAAAACUAGCAUCCUAAAUUAAUUAAUUUUUUUGGGGGAUUUUUUGUUAUGAAAAUUUAAAAUAAAAAAAAAAUCCUAUCCUAAAUUGACACGUGCAAUUCUUAAAAAACUAAUAUCAUGAAUGCAUUUUUUUGGAUUUUUAUUUUUAAAAAAAAACGGAAUAACUAAAUAUGCUAACCCUAGCCCUAAUCUAGCUCGCAUUUUUUUGAAUUUUUUUAUGCAAAAACAAAAGUUAAUUCAAAUAACCCGAUAUCCAAUUCAAUCAAAGAUAAGAUUAACACCCAAAAUUGACGAACCAUAUCUCGCGCAUGAGAUCGGGUCGGUCAAUUUUAAAUUAAAUCGCGAAUCGAAUCUCGGGCAUGAGAUUGAAUUGUCGAUUUUGCAAGAGAUUAUGAGUCGGAUUUCGGGCGCGAAAAUCGGACUCCUAAUCCCUAAUUUGAUGGGUUAUUUCACAUUGGGACUUCAAUCAUGCAUUAAUGAAUAAUCACACUAAAAAAUAUAUAAAAACGAACUAUAAACUGUAUAAAAAAUAAUAAUAAUAAGAUAAUAAUAAUAAUAAAAAACUACCUAAUGUCCCCCUUUUGCUUUUUUCUUUUUUUUUUUGUUUCCACGCACGGCUUGGCUGCUACAAUCAAUUGAGAGGGGCAACACCGGUCGGAGCUCUGGCAAGGGGAAGACGUCGGAGUUCCGGCGAGGGCGGACCGGCGGCGUUGGCAGCAGCGGACUCGGGCGAAACAGUAGCGACACUUGGGCGGAAGUCUCGGAUGAGACUCGGAUCUGCACAACAGCGGCUUCGUCGGGCGGAGCAGAGUCGCUGGGCUGGCAGUGGCGGCGCGGCAGUCAGCAGCAGGCGGUCGGGUUGCGGCGCAGUGGUGCUCGGAGAAAGGCGAGCACGGUGGUCGUUGGCGUUGGGUCGCAAUGAGGGGGACGGAGGCGCUGCAGCAGAGGAUGGAGCGGCUCGGCAGGGGCGACUCGGCGUCGACUCAGGCUCGGGCAGAGCAGGGAGAGGCGGAGUGGCGCAGUGAUUGGCGGAGCGACGAGCGUCUGGAGUCGAGCAAGGCGUCGCAGGUCAGCAGCAGUGAGCAGUAGCUGUGUCGCGGCGAGGGGCGACUCCGGUGGUGCAGCGACGAUGAUGGUCGUGGGGGAUGGUCACGGCAGAGGAGCUUCGGACGGCUAUCAGGUGGUGCAGGACGGCCAGCGGGCUCGGUGGUGCGGCGAGGAGGCUCGCGGUGGAGAUGCUGUGCGGGAGACGGUCACGGCAGCGGAACUUCGAGCGGUUGGAGCUGUCGGGUUGUCACGACCACAACAGGAGCGACGAGGGGCGGCGCGAGCUCGUGGGUGGUGCUCGCACGGGGCGGCCGGCGGUGCGGUGGCUCGGCUGCCGGUGCUCCGGCGAGCGCAGCGGCGCGGACGCGGGCGGAGUAGCAGAAACCGGUGGAAAUUUAGCAGCGAAGAACUCCUGGAGAAGAUGAACAGUAGGGGUCUUGUCUUUGCUUUUUUCUUUCUUUUUUAUCUCCUCUCUCUCACGUCUCACUCUCUGCAGUCUCUCUCUAUGCUUUUUCCCUUCUUUUUUUAAUCUCCCCCCCGACCUCAUAUUUUCUUUUGCAGGUUCUCUCCACACGGGCUCUCUUUUUUAAAUAGCUCUCACAAUCCUCUCAAGGGAAUUUUUCGUUCUGCCCCCCUCACAGACCUCUCGUCUCAAUUUUCUCGUUUUCCUCCCCCCCCCUUGACGCGGCUUCCUGUGGUCUUAUUUAUAGGCCGUCCAUUGCCAACUUUAUUGUGACAAGAUGCAGCCGCAACUUUUCCUGAAUUUAAGCUGAACUUUGCCAUUUUUUAUCUUCUUUUCCAGACCUUUCUUUCGGCCACCACUCCGCUCUUCAGCAAGGAAAUCUUCUUGCAGGCGCCUGUAGGAUUUUCUUACAUCCCCCAUUUCGUGCGUGUAUGUACAUGCAUUAAUGAGGAGGUUUCUUCUACGGUGAAUUUUCAUUGCGCCAUCAAAGCUGACAUAUUAUAUAAUAUUAUGGGCAUAUUAUAAUAACACAAUAUGGGCAUAUUAUAUAAUAUGUUGUGAGCUGCUUUUGCUUCUUUGAAGAUUUCUGCCGAAUCCGCACGUCCAUCGAAUUUGUGUAUGCAUGUGCAUGCAUUGAUGAGGAAUAGACAAUGGACGUGCGAGAGCUUCUUUCCUCAUUUUUUUCUUAUGCGUGUUCAGACCAGCGAAAGAGAGACCAUCCUUUUGUGCAUGCAAUCGACCGCGAGCCCUUGCUUCUUGUUGUCCUCUUAGUACCAAUGCAAAUGCGACUACAUGAAAUGCAAUUUUACUAUAUGCAAUUUUUACUCCCUAAUUUUCUAUGCAAUUAAUUACUACAUGAUUAGUCAAAAUUUAGGUGUCAACAGCUGCCCCUCUUUGAAGGUGAGCUCGCAGAGGUUGCAUUCAAAGACAAUAUGAUACCUAAAUUUUGACCAUGAACAUGCAAUGGAUGAUAUUUUGGCGAGACUAUGGAUCCCCCUUUUUUUUUUUUUUUUUUUUUUUUUGAAAUGCAAUUUAUAUGAUGCAUGGAAAUGCUAAUGCCAGUGAUAAAAGGAACUUACCUGGAGUAACUUACCUUCGGGGAGGAUAGAGUAACUCGAGAUAGUUGGUGUUACAUGUCCAGGACCCGUACCAUUCUACGGUCGCCUAGAAUAGUAACAUGACUUUACAAAGAGACUGCUUUCCCAGGACCCGUACCGUUCUACGGUCGCCCAGUAUGGCAUUACUUGGUUGUGUCUAGGACCCGUACCAUUCUACGAUCGCCUAAACGGAGAAAAAAUUUGAGACAUCCAGAUCUAGCUUGAAAUGUCAAGAAUUUGAGAACUUAACCAAUAGACACUCAAUGUUAGGUGAGAUGAAUAUUAGAUUAAGAGGGUUCGGAAUACCUAGAUCCAGACUAAGGUAUAACGAGAAGGAUCAGAAAGCAUUCAUAUCCAGAAUGAAAUGCUUAACGAACAGUUUUGAGACAUCCAGAUCCAGACUGAGAUGUCAAAAAAUUUGGGACUUAACCAAUAAACACUCAAUGUUAGGUGAGAUGAAUAUUGGAUUAAGAGGAUUCGAAAUACCUAGAUCUAGACUAAGGUAUAACGAAAAAGAUCGAAAAGCAUUCACAUACAGAGUGAAAUGUUUAACGAAGAGUUUUGAGACAUCCAGAUCCAGACUGAGAUGUCAAGAAUUUUGGGACUUAACCAAUAGACACUCAAUGUUAGGUGAGAUGAAUAUUGGAUUAAGAAGAUUCGAAAUACCUAGAUCCAGACUAAGGUAUAACGAAAAAGAUCGAAAAACAUUCACAUCCAAAGUGAAAUGUUUAACGAAGAGUUUCGAGACAUCCAGAUCCAGACUGAGAUGUCAAGAAUUUUGGGGCUUAACCAAUAGACACUCAAUGUUAGGUGAGAUGAAUAUUGGAUUAAGAAGAUUCGAAAUACCUAGAUCCAGACUAAGGUAUAACGAAAAAGAUCGGAAAGCAUUCACAUCCAGAGUGAAAUGUUUAACGACAAGAGUUUUGAGGCAUAUAUCAAGAAUUUGGGAAUACCUAAGACAAACCUGGGAUAUUCGUGAAGGUCACUUACCUCUUAGUAGACAGAAAUUUUGGAACAUCGAGGAUGUACUUCAAGUAUUCAUGGAGGUUUCUCACCUCGAGGCUUCUGAAAGGCCACAUAAAUGUCAAGAGCUCUUGGGUCUUCAAGGAAACGUUACCUGUCAGACAUGAUUAGAGCAAAAAUACAUGCAUUUGCCAAAGAAGUAAGCAAUUCAGCACACUCCAAAAUCCACUGAAGCUUUUAUCAAUUCCAUCAAGAUUUAUGCAUGAUGGUUUUACCAUAUUUGCACCACCAAAUUUCCACUGGGGAGAAUCAUCAUUUAAGACAAUUUUCACUCCUGACAUGGAUUUUCAAGAAUACCAAAUGAGAGACUUUCAGUUAGAAAGGACUUUCACUCACUCUCAUUAAGAAGGCUAUUUUGUCCCGACCAUUAAUGUGGGAUCACAGGAAUCACUCCAUCCUACUUUCAUCAUGUCAAUAAGGGUUCGAGUAUUCUCGCAAGCGGUACGACUUUAUCAAUCUGAGAGGUCUUUAUCAGAACUGUAACGUAGGCUUGGUCAAUGGCUCAACAAAGUGGGACUCUUCGAGUCAAGGCUAAUGAAAGAACAAUACUUUGCAAUCACCUUCGGGUUUACAAGUCAAGGAACCUGCGGAAUGAGAUAGAAAUGGCCUUGCUCACACUUCUUCGAGCGAUGCUUUUAAGCAUGUGAAUUCCUACGUUAAUUUCGGUGCCCUAAUCUGAAGAGACUUUGUAAGGGACGUAACGUAGGUUGAGUUCAUGGGUUGAGAAGUGAAUGAAUCAUUAGGCUCAACAUGUGUAUAGGGGGAUGAGAAUUGGUGAUCAUCUUGGCAUUGUCACCGGUCUUCUUCUUCACCAUUGGGAUUUUCCUCAUAGGUACUAUAAAAACUUGGCAUUUGAGUUCUUUGAGUACCACUCCAUUGGGAAUACACCCUUUUACAAUUGAUAAUCAUUUAUCUUGACUCUUUCUUUCAUUUUCUAUGGGCAUUGGCCUUGCUUUUACCAGGCACACUGCUUUUUCAUGCCCCUUUUGUUUUUUUUUGUUUUUUUUUUUUUUGAAUAACCACGUAAUGCUUUAACAUUUGGGUUCUUGAGGAGUUUUCAUUUUUUGUCGGCACUCAGGAUUCUGCUACUUGAACAUUUGCUGUUUGCAUUGCCCCGGUGUGGGGGAUGAUCACCAAUUGGGUUUAAAUGAAACGAAUUUACAGUCUCAAGGGGCUACGCAAUGGAUAAAGUGUGUUGGAUAGAGAAAGAACUGCUCUUCAUCAUCCUAAGGCACUUAAAUUACCGUAUAAAUUCAAUGUAAUAGCAAUACCUGAAGAUUGAUGCAAGUGAGAGCAAGAAUAUUCCUAUCAAUUUCCUCACCUCAUGAUGUCGUCUUACCUCCAGCUUGCCCCAAUGUGGGGUGGUUCUUGACAGGGGUAAUUUAAAAAUUAUUCACGUGUGUGGGCUCAAAAGGGUUUAAACAAUGGAUGAUCACGUAGUGUUUGGGAUAGAGAAUGAACUGCCUCUCAUCAUUUCGAUCAUCGUACCUUUUGCGAGAAAACUCUUUACCUUACAAACAUGGAAUUUCCUACACUCAUCUCACCAGUAUAUGAGCAAGGGACUGUGUAUGGGAUAAGGCUUGCCUUUCAUCAUCCUGGCAUGUCUCACUUAGCAUGUUCAAUUCAUUCCACAUCAUUCAUUAACUUGAUCGAUGGUGACAAUCCUCAGUGGAAUUGGUAAUUAAACAGGUAAAAAUAUCACGCAAAAUUCUCCUUUGAAAUGUCACAAGCACAAAGAGUUGGUAACUAAAAAAAAACAAGAAAAGGAUUGACCAAAAAAAAAUUUGUUUUUGUUUUUGGGUUUGUUUUUUUUUGUGGCAAACUUUUUGCCAUUUCCAGGGAUCGAACCCUGGUUGUUCUCGGACCCUUUCAUUCCCCAUGCCACCAGGCCGAGGCGCUGGUGGUGUCCUCAGGGCAUUUCUUUUUUCAUUUAAUUGAACUGACUCUGGGUCAACACGUCUGAUAUACCGAAUCAAAUGAAUUCGAUAUGUGUAUGGAAUAGGGCCUACUUCUCAUCUCAUUCAAUCCAUUCUCGCCCAAUUUUAACGAAGAAAUGAGUACCUUGAAUUCACAACAAAUUCUUUCAAGGGUAAUACUUCUUCAAGCAUCAGAGUUAACAGGAUUAGAAAACUCACGACCAUCCAUUUCUGUAAGGAUUAAGGCACCUCCAGGGAGUACCCUCUUCACCAUAUAUGGGCCGCUAUAAUUUGGAGCAAAUUUGCCUCCAGGAUCAGGAAAAAUCGGCAACACCUUUCUUAGAACUAUAUCAUUCACUUCGAAGUGUCUUGGCCGUACCUUCCGAUUGAAAGACUUGGCUACUCUUUGUUGAUACGCCUGACCAUGGCAAAGAGCUUUUAACAUUUUCUCAUCAAUCAGGUUCAACUGCUCGAACCUUUGCUGUGUCCAUUCUGCCUCGGACAAUUCCACUUGGGAUAAGACUCUCAAAGAGGGGAUUUCUACUUCCACAGGCAAGACCGCCUCCAUGCCAUAAACCAAGGAGAAAGGGGUUGCCCCAGUGGAUGUUCGGAUCGAUGUCCGAUACGCCAUUAGAGCAAAGGGUAACCUGUCAUGCCAAUCUCGAUAAUUCUAGGCUGUCUUAGCCAGGAUCUUCUUGAUGUUCUUAUUAGUUGCCUCAACAGCUCCAUUCAUUUGCGGGCGAUAUGGUGAUGAAUUCAAAUGCCUGAUUUUGAACUCACUGAACAACUCAUCAACGAACUUGUUAUUCAAAUUUGUCCCAUUGUCAGUGACAAUUUCUUCGGGGACACCAUAACGGGCGAUUAUGUCACGCCUAAUAAACUUCACAACAUUUCGGGCCGUGACAUAAGCAUAUGAUGCGGCUUCAAUCCACUUUGAAAAAUAAUCUAUUGCCACCAAUAUGAAUCGGUGCCCAUUUGAAGCUUUGGGAUUUAUUGGGCCAAUCACAUCGAUCCCCCACAUUGAGAAAGGCCAUGGCUCAGAUAGCUGGUGCAACUCCGUUGGAGGAACAUUUAUUUUAUCUCCAUGAAUUUGGCAACGAUGGCAACUUCUAACAUGCUGUAUGCAGUCACUUUCCAGCGCAAGCCAAUAGUAACCCAGUCUCAUAAUCUUUUUGGCCAACAUGUGCCCAUUCAUAUGUGGGCCACAAACUCCUUCAUGCACUUCAUGCAUGAUUUGGGUAGCUUCUGCUUCAUCUAUGCAUCUCAAUAAAACCGAAUCAUAAGAUCUCUUGUAUAAAUUCUUACCACUGACGAAGAACUUUGAGGCCAUCUUCAUUAUGUAUUUUCUAUCGGCUGGAGUGCUCCCUUCUGGAAAUUCCUGCUUUUGAAUAUAGUUCAUGAUGUCAUAAUACCAUGGCUUCUCAUCAAGCUCUUCAUUCACGACCAUGCAAUAAGAAGGUUUGGCUAGAACCUCGAUUUUCAAAGGUUCAACUUCUAAACCGUCAGUAACCUGCAACAUAGAUGACAACGUUGCCAAGGCAUCGGCGAACUGAUUAUGAGAUCUAGCCAAGUAGUCAAACGAGAUUUCAUCGAACUCCUUCACCAACUCUUCGAGGUACUUAUGAUACGGCAGUAAUUUGGCAUCCCUGGUCUUCCAUUCACCUACAGUCUGGAGUAUGAUCAGAGCAGAGUCUCCAUAUACUUUCAAUUUGGCCACUCCCAUUUCAAUUGCGGCCUGAAGUCCGAGAAUACAAGCUUCGUAUUCAGCAAUAUUGUUAGUGCAUGGAAAUAUUAAUUUCGCAGCAACUGGGUGGUGUUGUCCGUCUGGGGAUAUCAGUACUGCCCCAGUACCAGAACCGGACAAGUUCACAGCUCCAUCGAAGAACAUGGACCAUGCAUCUUCAUUUAUGGCCAAAAUACGAUCAUCCAGAGGACAAUCAUCAUCAUUGAAGGUUCUAGGAUUCUCAGCCAAUAAAUCAGCAAUUACUCGGCCUUUAACUGAUUUUUGUGGUAUGAACUGCAUGUCGAAUUCCGAAAUCAAGACCUGCCAUUUGGCUAGCUUACCCACCAAAGCUGGUUGAUUAAAUAAAUACUUGAUGGGAUUGUUCUCAGUCACGAGAAACGUCUGGUAAUGCAAGGUGUACUGUCGCAGUCUAUGCAAUACCCAUACUAACGCAGCACAAGUUUUUUCAGCAUCAGAAUACUUUAGCUCCGAGACAGUGAACUUUUUACUGAGGUAAUAAAUGGCCCGUUCCUUCUGAUCCACAGGACUCUUCUGAGCUAACAUCGCGCCAAGUGACUCACUAUGGAUUGUGAGGUACAAAAUCAAAGGAUGCCCCGAUAUUGGUGGGACAAGAACUGGUGGAUUCAUCAAAUAUUGCUUUAGCUUAUCGAAUGCCUCUCGACAUUCAUCAUUCCACUCAACUCGUACGUUUUUCCUCAAGAGUUUGAAGAAUGGCUUAGCGGUCUCAGAGAGUUGGGAAAUGAAUCGUGCAAUGUAAUUCAGUCUCCCUAGGAGACUCCGGACCUCCUUCACUGUCGACGGAGGUUGCAACUCGCAUAUUGCCUUGGCUUUAGAUGGGUCAAUUUCGAUCCCUUUGCUACUCACCAUGAACCCAAGUAAUUUACCUGACGUUGCCCCGAACACGCACUUGGCAGGGUUUAAACGGAGCUUGAAUUCACGGAGUCGAUCAAAUAACUUCCUGAGGGUUUUGACAUGACUUCUCCCAGGUCGGGUUUUUGCAAUCAUAUCAUCAACAUAUACCUCAAUUUCUUCAUGCAUCAUGUCAUGGAACAACGUAACCAUGGCUCGCUGGUAAGUUGCCCCUGCAUUUUUGAGUCCAAAGGGCAUGACCUUAUAAUGAAAGGUUCCCCACGGGGUGAUAAAUGCUGUCUUCUCUUUGUCUUCCUCCUUCAUUCUUAUCUGGUUGUAGCCAGAAAAACCAUCCAUGAAAGAGAAUAAUUCAAAUCCGGCAGUAUUAUCCACGAGAACAUCGAUAUGUGGCAAUGGGAAGUCAUCCUUUGGGCUGGCCUUGUUCAAAUCUCGAUAAUCAACACACACUCGGACUCGACCAUCCUUCUUCAUGACCGGUACUAUGUUGGCCACCCAUUCAGGGUAUUGCGAGACUUCGAUGAAUCCCACUUUGAGGAGUUUCAUUACUUCCUCUUCUAUCUUCUUCGAGAGCUCCGGUUUAGUCCUUCGAAGCUUCUGCUUCUUAGGGUGCAUGUUUGGAUUAGUGGGUAAACAAUGUUCCACAAUUGAUAGAUCUAAACCUGGCAUAUCAGCGUAUGUCCAAGCAAAAAUAUCCAAAUAUUCUUUUAGCAACUGAGUCAGGUGCUUGGCCUCAUCUUUGGGAAGAUUUGCCCCGAUUUUUAUUUCUUUAGGAUCCUCGUCAUCACUCAAAUUGAUGGUGACGGUUUGCUCGGAGGUGAGAACUUUGGGUUUUUCAUGUUGCUCCCAACUUUGUUGUACUUCAAUGGAGUCACCAUUUGGAUCAUCCGGGUCAUCAUCGUCAUCACACAUGGCAUUGGAUUGGACCAUUUUCUCCUCCUUGCCUGCCAUAAGGCUGCUCCCAUUUCCUCCGAUGGUUCUUCGUUAAUGGCACCUAUCAGGAGAUCAUUGAACAGGCUCGUGAUCCCUUCCAUCCCAUUAUCUGGAUCCUCUGUCUUUGAAGUUGUCGGGUCAUCCAUGCAGCUCCAUCCAUCGGGUACGAUACCUCGGGUGGCGAUCACUCCUCCUUCAUCAUGCAUCAUUCUAGCAGGGUCGGGGAAUGUCUCGCGGAUAUCAAGGAGUAAUGAGUCUUUCUUCUCUUGCUCAUGUCCUCCACCUCUUCCAUGGUACCAUAAUCCGGCGGAACGAGACCUUCGAGGGGCUUCAAUAGGAUUCCGAAUACCCUGUUCUUUUUUACCAAGUCCACGGCCAGGAAUAAAGCCAUUUCCAACCAUCACUCUUGCUACCAUAACUGCUGCAUUUGACACAUCAGGGAUGGGUGCUGUCGAUCCUCGAGAUGCAUGAAUAGUGGAUACGAGCUCAAACGAUUGGUAGCUUGACUCCUCCCUACGUUCUGGCUCGACAUAGGGGAUAGCUGUCUCAUGAUAGAUCCGAUGAUCCUCCUCGCCAUGAACAAUGACUAGCUUUCCUUCGACAACAAAUUUCACGCUUUGGUGGAGACUUGAUGGCACAGCUCCAGCAGUAUGAAUCCAGGGGCGACCUAAUAGGAAAUUGAAUGCUGUAGGAAUGUCCAUCACCUGGAAAAGGACGUUGAACAUCACCGGCCCUAUUUGCAGAUCAAGGUGGGUCUCCCCUAUCACCUCCUUUCUCGUACCAUCAAAAGCUCGGACGGAGGUCUUUGCAGCACUUAUUUUUGAAGGAUCUAUUUUCAGGCGGUGAAGAGUCGCCAAUGGACAGAUAUUCAAGGCAGACCCAUUAUCAAUGAGUAUUCGAGCCACAUGGGAAGCCUUGCACUUGACGGAUAUAUAUAAUGCCUUAGUAUGUCCCCUCCCCUCGAGAGGGAAUUCUUCAUCAGAAAAGGCUAUUAAAUCCUUAAGAAGAAUCGAUCCUACAAAUUCCUCCAACCUGUUUACCUCGAUCGUCUCUGGUACACGAACUUCGCUUAGAACCUUCAUUAGAGACUUUUGAUGUGUAGGAGAUGUUUGCAAAAGUUCAAGUAAAGAGAUCUGAGCAGGCAAUUUCCGCAACUGGUCGACCACAUUAUACUCACUUGCUUUGAUUAUAGCCAGAAAUUCUUUGGCCUCUUCGUCAGUAACUGGCUUUGCAGGUUGGGCAUUAGCUUGAGCAUAGGUCCGACCAGACCUUGUAAUCAGGUCAACAUCUAGCUCGUAUGACCAAGGGACUGCUUUGUUAUCCUUGUACUCAUACAGCUGGGGCAUCUCAAUAAUUAUUUCUUCAUCAGUUGAAGGCACUUCCACUAUCAAUCCUUCAUGGUCGGAGGCGUCCUCAAGUGGGGGCAUGUCCUCGAUCGAUGGAUCUGGUUCACUCUUUUCAGCACUUAGCUUAGCAAAUUCUUUCUCCCAAUCAAUGACGACUUCGGAGAUAGUUGACACUAUUCCAGCUUGGUCAGCAUACACGAUCAUGCCAGCCUUAACCAUUUCUUGAACCCUUUCCUUCAUGGUAGGCAAUGGAGGGUUUUCAUUUGUCGGAUAGUAACCAACUCUAACUAAUCCGCUAUAGAUAUCUUUGGUAGACACUUUCAAGUUCAUCUUUUUGCCAGCAUUGAACUCAAAAAUUGCAUUCACGCUUCCCUGAUGUUCCGGCAACGGAUUCUUUUUGACAUUCGGUUGGGUGGUAUGGAAAGAAAAUGCCUUAGUAUCCAACAAAUUUUGGAUCUUGUGCUUCAAAGUCAAACAUUCAUCAGUUGAAUGGCCGACCUCUCCCAUAUGAUACUCACAUUUUUUGGAGGGGUCAUAGUUGGAGAAUUUUUCAGCAUUGGGCCGCUUUGGUUCGUGGGAGAUCAAUCCCUUCUUUCGGAGUAUCGGCAAGACCUGAGAUAGAGGGCCAGGAAGAGGAGAGAACUGCCUUUUGGUGAAUUGCCGCUGUGCAGGCAUUCGGCCUCCAUCUUGCUGAUUCCCGAGGACACGAACCAUCGGAGGCUUACUAGGGGCUGGUUGUGCAUAUGCAACAUUGACUUCAGUGAUCGGUUCUUUAUCUUUUUUCAUGGUGAACCGUUUGCCUUGAUGAGUAGGUUCAUUGAACCAUCCAUCCCUUAGCCCAAUCUCGAUCUGUUCACCCACUGGGAUAAGUUGGUUGAAGUUCUUGACGUAUGUGCUAGCCAUCCGGUUACGAAACUCAUACGGGAGAGUUUUGACGAACAACUUCAUCAACUCCUUGUUUGUAGGCUUAGGAGUGAUUUGAGCCGCCAAGUUUCGCCACCUUACAGCGUACUCCUUAAAUGACUCACUUUUCUUCUUCUCCAUCCGCUCAAGAUCCUCUCGGGAAGGUGCAAUGUCCAUGUUGAACUUAUAUUGCUUUAGGAAAGCGUCAGCCACAUCAUUCCAGGUGUCGAGAAGGUUUACAUUUUUCAUUAUGUACCAGUUGAGUGCGGGCCCAGUCAAGCUUGCAUGAAACGAUUGGAUCAUGAGAGGCUCGUUUUUGACGUAUUGGGCCAUGCGUACGUGGUACAUCUGCAAAUGAGCUUUUGGGCAGGAAGUACCAUCGUAUUUCUCGAACUUCGGCAUCUUAAACUUCUUCGGCACUUUGACUUUCUCAUAAACCGACAAGUCGAAUGGGAGUGAAUUCCGUGAUUCUUGCAAUUGUUUCAGUUUCUCUUCAAGUUUGGCGAAGCGUUCAUCUUGCUCCGCCUUAGGGACAUUGUCGGGCUUAGCCUUUUCAGCUGUGACGAACAGUGAGUCAUCCUCCAAUUCCGGCAUGUCAUCAUCACCCAUUUGGGCCUUGUUCGUUUGCUUUGGGACUACUAUCUCGGGGAGAGCGGGUGCAAGAGUCUGAUUCACUUUGAGGGAUUGCAUUUGAUCUGUCAUAAGUUGCAUAGAAGUGAGCAACUGCUGGAGUUGAUUUUCCAUAGCAGUCAUACGGUCACGCAUUUCGAUUUGGUCGGCCAUUUUUGCUCUUGAUCGUGUAAUGAUGGGCGAACGUGGAGGAUCCGUUAUCACCUAAAUUGAAGAAACGGACAAAAAUAAGUAUCUCAUAUGAAAUACACCGGUCCAUGGCAAUGGUCUAAAACUUUUAUUCAUUAAUGGAGUUUUUGACAAUCCUAACAAAAUAGAAGCAAGAUUGAUUCAAGCACUUCAUUAAUGAAAUAGAAGCUUAAAAUGCCCUAAACAAACAAACUAGGAAAGUAAAUGACUCAACUUCCUAAACAUUAAUCUAGAAAUGAAACAACAAGAUUGACUCAAACACUUCAUCUAGCUUGAUCAAUAUACACUCGGGACACCACUCGGCGCAAUCGUUUAUUCUCCUCUUGAGCUUUUUCAGCAACCCUUUUGAGGCGUUUAUUCUCAGCGCGGUUGGUGAUCUUCAGUGGCGCCUCUGGUAUCUUUGGAAGUAACUCCUCUGGAAUCUUGUGUUGUUGAGUGUACUUAAUUGAGGCAUAGUACUUCAAUUCUUUGCCCUUCAGUUCCUCCUAGGGGCACUUGAGUUUUCGUGGCUGGCACAUAUCCCACAUUGAUUUAAUUGUGAGAAUGGAAUCUUCAUGGUCUCGGUCUCCAUCAAUGAAGUUGGCUUGGAGUGGAUCUGCUUGCAAUGCCGGGGGAAGCUCUUGCACAACUUGAUACUGACGGGUCACUCUAGUCGGAUAGUACUCCGUUGCUCCAGUGAAUCCCAGUAGAGGGAUUGGGCCAACACCUCCACAUGAAAGUCUCGCCACACGAACUUGGAACCACUUAGCAUGCCAUAGGAAACCCUUGGAAGUCGGUUUUUUCAUGAAAGCUAGCCAUCUAGAAUAAUGGUGAUCUGGUGCAUGUCUUUGGUUGUUCUCAAACCUCAUAAUAGGGUGAUUAGAAUUACUGAUAUCAUGUAUGGUCAUUAAACCACCAAACCCUUUUAUAUGAGAAAGGAACCAAAUUUGCAAAAGUUCAGGAGAGGAAUGGAAAGUCUUAUCACCGCUUCCUUUAAAUCGGGUGAGGGAAAGAAAGGUUUCAGCCAUAAUAGUGUUUACGAAAUUUUUUCCUCCCAACACUUGUUCAACUAAGUGAGCCAUCAAAGGGUUAAUAGCAUUCUUGCAAUGAGGAAAAAGUAUAAACCCAAAGAAAGCUAAAAGGAAAACCCUUCGCAUUUGAAACGAAUUGCCAUUUUCAAAACAUUCUUUUAGAAAAGAUAAAUGACAUGUAUUGCGGUGAGCUUUUAAAACCUUUCUUACAUUGUCCUCCUUAAUUCUCAGAAAAUCGGAUAAGGCCACAAUGGGGUCUAUUCCAAUAGGUGGACUAAUUAAUUCAGCUUUCAAAGGUUUCCUUAUGGCAAUGCUAUACUCUUCCAAGGUGGGCGUGAGUUCAUGCUUACCGCCGAAGAUGAAAGUAGAAGUCUCGAGGCACCAACAAUGAGCAAGUGCUUGGAUGAGGCCGCCAUGGAUGUUGAUACGCAGCAAUGGAAGUAGUCGACUAAUGUGUGACUCUACAAAUUGACGACCAGCUUGGUCUAACUUGUCCCACCAUGCGCUAAGCUCUUCCUUUGGAGGGAGAAUAAUUCGAAUGUCCGGUAUUCCCAUUGUAUAUUGACCAAGACUCAAGACAAUCCUAAUGCCAUGGACCGACAAAAUGAUAUAAUAAAGUAAGUAGAUUGCAAGAGUGCGAAUUUAGAAGGCUUACUUUACCAAUAAACAAAGGGCAAUCACAUAGACAUGCGCAUGGUAAGUGGCUCGAUUUCUAGUCUAUCAGGCUUAACAAAGUGAAGCCACAAGAAUGAUCAGACUAGCCGCGGGCGUGCGAACUAAGUCGGGUCCUCAUGACUUCGGCUUGGUCAAAGAGCCGACCUGGGUUGCAGGCAUGCGAACCGAGGUAGGUACUCUUGACACCAAAAAAGAAACUUCGGGAUUGAGAUGGGCGACUCGUACCACGGGCAUGCGGUCGAAGUGGUAUCCAUCUCAAUACCAUCCUAGAUGAUCCUAUGCGGCCCAGGUCCGGCGGCGGGUUGUGUGUGUAAUAGUGUAGUGUAAAUGCAUAGGCAUGCACAACAGUUUAUAUCAAACAAUGCUUCGUUCAUGAAAAUAAACCAUACAUUCCUACACCUCCCUGCAAAACAAAGGUCAGCAAACACUUCCCCUUAUACCUCCCAUCCUGCAAAAACAUUUAACACCUUAAAUGUUAGGGGCGUACCUGGAAUCCUCGCUGCCAAACAAAAACAUUUUUCAAAAGAAAAGAAAAAUUGGCCUAAGUCCACUAAGAGUUUUAACUCAAGUCCCCAGCGGAGUCGCCAAGCUGUCGCGACCUCCCCGAAGCGGGUGGGACCACCUAAGGGUUCGGCUAAUGGAUUGUUAAACCUAGACUUAACUCGAGCUCUCCCAAGCCCAUACCAAUUCGCGACUUAGGUUCAAGUUCUUAAUAUGCAAAUGAUGUUUAUCAUGGAGUCGCCACUAAUCUUUUUUGGUGGGUCGAUUAGAAACCCAAGUAAAGUAAUGGGAGAAUUACUUCACUCCUACGAACCAGAGAUUGUGAGUUCGGGGACUUGGUUACACUAGAUUUCUCUAAUGCCCUUUCGGUACCAUUCUUUUAUUUUCAAAAUUGUUUUUUGCAGGCAGUUUUGGAUUGAUUUUAAAUCUAUUUUCCUAACAUGUGAUAUGAUCAUGCGGGUGCACAAUCCACCAAUUUAACACCCGAGAAAGCGAUGAAUAAAUUGCAGGACUUACCUCAUAGCAACGAAAGCAUCUGCAUUGUUAGAUCAAAAUUCACAUCAACAGACCUCGAUAUGAUUUUUAAUUAACAGGCAAUUUCUUCUUUUUCUUUUGGUUUUUUACUUGUUUGAUGAGAAUCAUGCAAUAUGCAAUGCAUGCUACUAAUCUAACAUGGAAUGGCAUGACAAUGUGUUCUAAACUACACGACAUGAGUAAAAUAUUUUUUUUUUGUGUUUUCUUAAUGAACAUGCAAUAAUUAAAUAUGCAAAUCAAAAUGACCUAAUUAUAAUGACGGGCAAUUUUUAAUUAAAUGAGCCUAAUUCUACAUGACGUGCACAUGAUAUUGCUAUUCCUAAAAAUGCAAUUUAUCCUAAAAAACUUAAAGUGAGACAUGCAAUUCUAUUCUAAUAUGCAUGAUGAUUUUUUUUUAUAUAUAUAAAAUUCGAAAUUUUAAAAAUUUGCACACAAUUAAACAUGCAACCUAAAAACUAGCAUCCUAAAUUAAUUAAUUUUUUUGGGGGAUUUUUUGUUAUGAAAAUUUAAAAUAAAAAAAAAAUCCUAUCCUAAAUUGACACGUGCAAUUCUUAAAAAACUAAUAUCAUGAAUGCAUUUUUUUGGAUUUUUAUUUUUAAAAAAAAACGGAAUAACUAAAUAUGCUAACCCUAGCCCUAAUCUAGCUCGCAUUUUUUUGAAUUUUUUUAUGCAAAAACAAAAGUUAAUUCAAAUAACCCGAUAUCCAAUUCAAUCAAAGAUAAGAUUAACACCCAAAAUUGACGAACCAUAUCUCGCGCAUGAGAUCGGGUCGGUCAAUUUUAAAUUAAAUCGCGAAUCGAAUCUCGGGCAUGAGAUUGAAUUGUCGAUUUUGCAAGAGAUUAUGAGUCGGAUUUCGGGCGCGAAAAUCGGACUCCUAAUCCCUAAUUUGAUGGGUUAUUUCACAUUGGGACUUCAAUCAUGCAUUAAUGAAUAAUCACACUAAAAAAUAUAUAAAAACGAACUAUAAACUGUAUAAAAAAUAAUAAUAAUAAGAUAAUAAUAAUAAUAAAAAACUACCUAAUGUCCCCCUUUUGCUUUUUUCUUUUUUUUUUUGUUUCCACGCACGGCUUGGCUGCUACAAUCAAUUGAGAGGGGCAACACCGGUCGGAGCUCUGGCAAGGGGAAGACGUCGGAGUUCCGGCGAGGGCGGACCGGCGGCGUUGGCAGCAGCGGACUCGGGCGAAACAGUAGCGACACUUGGGCGGAAGUCUCGGAUGAGACUCGGAUCUGCACAACAGCGGCUUCGUCGGGCGGAGCAGAGUCGCUGGGCUGGCAGUGGCGGCGCGGCGGUCAGCAGCAGGCGGUCGGGUUGCGGCGCAGUGGUGCUCGGAGAAAGGCGAGCACGGUGGUCGUUGGCGUUGGGUCGCAAUGAGGGGGACGGAGGCGCUGCAGCAGAGGAUGGAGCGGCUCGGCAGGGGCGACUCGGCGUCGACUCAGGCUCGGGCAGAGCAGGGAGAGGCGGAGUGGCGCAGUGACUGGCGGAGCGACGAGCGUCUGGAGUCGAGCAAGGCGUCGCAGGUCAGCAGCAGCGAGCAGUAGCUGUGUCGCGGCGAGGGGCGACUCCGGUGGUGCAGCGACGAUGAUGGUCGUGGGGGAUGGUCACGGCAGAGGAGCUUCGGACGGCUAUCAGGUGGUGCAGGACGGCCAGCGGGCUCGGUGGUGCGGCGAGGAGGCUCGCGGUGGAGAUGCUGUGCGGGAGACGGUCACGGCAGCGGAACUUCGAGCGGUUGGAGCUGUCGGGUUGUCACGACCACAACAGGAGCGAUGAGGGGCGGCGCGAGCUCGUGGGUGGUGCUCGCACGGGGCGGCCGGCGGUGCGGUGGCUCGGCUGCCGGUGCUCCGGCGAGCGCAGCGGCGCGGACGCGGGCGGAGUAGCAGAAACCGGUGGAAAUUUAGCAGCGAAGAACUCCUGGAGAAGAUGAACAGUAGGGGUCUUGUCUUUGCUUUUUUCUUUCUUUUUUAAUCUCCUCUCUCUCACGUCUCACUCUCUGCAGUCUCUCUCUAUGCUUUUUCCCUUCUUUUUUUAAUCUCCCCCCCGACCUCAUAUUUUCUUUUGCAGGUUCUCUCCACACGGGCUCUCUUUUUUAAAUAGCUCUCACAAUCCUCUCAAGGGAAUUUUUCGUUCUGCCCCCCUCACAGACCUCUCGUCUCAAUUUUCUCGUUUUCCUCCCCCCCCCUUGACGCGGCUUCCUGUGGUCUUAUUUAUAGGCCGUCCAUUGCCAACUUUAUUGUGACAAGAUGCAGCCGCAACUUUUCCUGAAUUUAAGCUGAACUUUGCCAUUUUUUAUCUUCUUUUCCAGACCUUUCUUUCGGCCACCACUCCGCUCUUCAGCAAGGAAAUCUUCUUGCAGGCGCCUGUAGGAUUUUCUUACAUCCCCCAUUUCGUGCGUGUAUGUACAUGCAUUAAUGAGGAGGUUUCUUCUACGGUGAAUUUUCAUUGCGCCAUCAAAGCUGACAUAUUAUAUAAUAUUAUGGGCAUAUUAUAAUAACACAAUAUGGGCAUAUUAUGAGUCCCGAGUAGGACUAUAAACUGCUCCGCCCAUCAGGCAAGGUGCCUCGUGAGGAUCUCCCGAAAGGGAGGGAGCGGAAGUGAGCCCUGUGAGGGAAGGAAAACCCAAAGGAAAACCCUCCAUAGCAAAGUCCUGGCUAUGGUAGUAAACAUAAGAACCAGGCGUUAGACCCGAGCAGGUCUAUAAAAGGCUCUGGCAUCCAGGAAAGACUGGAUAGUCCCCGGGAUCCGGGGGACGAGAAAGAUUCCGGCCCCAUUGGCAGGCCCGGCCACUCCCUUUACGGGGAAGGGCUGCCACGACUGAGCCACCUCACUCUUCCAGCCUCUCGACGACUGUUGGACUCGAGUAGAGGGCAAUGAUGUCGCCAGUCGAAAGACUGGGUGGCCGGCCAUAUUAUAUAAUAUUAUGGGCAUAUUAUAAUAACACAAUAUGGGCAUAUUAUAUAAUAUGUUGUGAGCUGCUUUUGCUUCUUUGAAGAUUUCUGCCGAAUCCGCACGUCCAUCGAAUUUGUGUAUGCAUGUGCAUGCAUUGAUGAGGAAUAGACAAUGGACGUGCGAGAGCUUCUUUCCUCAUUUUUUUCUUAUGCGUGUUCAGACCAGCGAAAGAGAGACCAUCCUUUUGUGCAUGCAAUCGACCGCGAGCCCUUGCUUCUUGUUGUCCUCUUAGUACCAAUGCAAAUGCGACUACAUGAAAUGCAAUUUUACUAUAUGCAAUUUUUACUCCCUAAUUUUCUAUGCAAUUAAUUACUACAUGAUUAGUCAAAAUUUAGGUGUCAACACAAGUGACUAGAGAUUAUUUUAAGGCCUUUUACUGUGUUAGACAACUCACAACAUCAUGGAAAAAUUUGAUGGAGUUUAAUAAUAGUCAGGACUAGCAAAUUAGCUUCAUCGUAUCCGCAACUUUAGACUUUUAAUAAUUGAUUGGGACCCGCUAGGCUUAGGAUGACACAUGAACAAGUAAAUAUUUGGGGGUUUUAGAAUUUGACAACAUUAUCAAAGUACACGAACUUCACUAGACUAAUUUCAUACAUAUCGUGUCACCUCUGUUAGUAAGUCCAAUAAGCAAUGCAGAAUAUUUCAACAACCUUUAUUUAUUGCCAUGUUGUAAAUUUAUUAAGUAAUGUAAAAUAUUUUCAACAACAUUUAUUUAUUGUUGCAUUGUAUACAAAAUUCACAUGAAUUUAUUAAGCAAUGUAGAAUAUUUUAACAACCUUUAUUUAUUGCUGCGUUGGCCAACUCUGUUGUGCCCACUUAUAUAAAAUUCACAUGAAUUUAUUAAGCAAUGCAGAAUAUUUCAACAACCUUUAUUUAUUGCUGCGUUGGCCAACUCUGUUGCGCCCACUUAUAUAAAAUUCACAUGAAUUUAUUAAGCAAUGUAAAAUAUUUUCAACAACAUUGAUUUAUUGUUGCAUUGUAUAGAAAAUUCACGUGAAUUUAUUAAGCAAUGUAGAAUAUUUCAACAACCUUUAUUUAUUGCUGCGUUGGCCAACUCUGUUGCGCCCACUUCCCCCCUUCCUUCUCUCCGUGGAGUCCUAUUUCUGUGAUAUUUCAAAGGAAUCUCUCACUUUCUGUUUUGAAAAAGACUUGUAUUUGGGGUGGUUUUGGGACAAAAUAACUUUACUCCCAUAAUAUGGUAUAUAGGAAAAUAGUAAAGAAAAACUUUCUUGCUAAAAAAUAAUCUGGGAUGUAAACUAUGAUUGUGCCAAUUAUAAGGGAAAGAUAUGUUGGAAGUCCUAUCCUUCAAGUAUGAAAUGCAAUUAAAUCUUAAUUUUAUUGAUUCAAUCUAGUCUUAAACUUAUUCGUAACAAUACAAUCAAGUCCUUUGAUGGAUAGUAGCUCUCCAAAAACUGUCUCAAAUUAAACUUUUCAACUUUUGAAUCUACAUUUAGCACUCAAUUACACUUUUAAUAAAGUCUUAAGACUUAAUUAGACCAUUUCAAAUAUUGAGGAGAUUGUACUUUGCGUUGAAGGUCGGUCUUGAUUGUAUUGAUUAAAAGGUUUAGAAUUUGAUUACAUUAUGUACAUAAAGCUUAAGACACGCGGUGUAAAUAUUUUCUAUAACUAAGGAACUUUCACAUUAAAUUCACCACACCACAUUCCUAGGUGACAAACAUAACUCACUAAUUUAAAGACAAGAUAUGCAUGAAUGUCGAUUUAGAGUAAUCGUAGGGAGAAUAGUUUUUUAUUUUCCCAGUAGUGCUUUUAAGUGUAGAUGGUUUAGAUUAAACUGAAAAAAUCAUCCCUUUUGUGAGUAGAAAUAGGGAAGAUAGAAUUUCAUAGCUUCCCAAUCUCAUGCUCUUAAUUCUACAACUAUGAGAAAACCUGAUAUGAACUUAGAUGUUCCGGCAUGUUCCGGCUGGUGAUCAAACCUUGGACUUCCUCUCGCGGUAUGGAAGCAGCUGAAGCUUGAUUUCAUUUAUCGUUUCCUUUUGAAAAAAAGAAUUAUAAUAAUGGUCCACAAAAACCGGUGACGCGUGCUAGACACUGACGACCUCCAGGCGACAAACCUAUCCCCAAAGGUCCAAAAACCUAGGGCCAAUGAUCAUUAGCGACGGCUAGGUGACCGUCACCCAUCGUCGCCUAUAAUCUUUAUGUCAACGAAUAUAGCAAAGGGAUUGGCAUUGGGAUAACGCGUUAACGCGACCACAUAUGCGUUCACACCAGACCACCGCAUAGAAACGGCAAGCCAUCAAUCUAUGUUUGUUAAGCUAAGUGUUAUAAUAUGUCUCGAGUUUGAGUCCGUGAACGAAACCGAACCCAAGAUAAAUUAAAGGAAAGUGGAUAUUUGGAUUUCAAGUUGCUAAUUUAUAGAGAUCAAGGCAUGAAUUUAUAGAUUACGGAAAUUGAAUUCCGUAUAUAUUGCUCGUUCAAGAUAACAAAAAAGAAAGAAAAGGAAAGUCCAAGUUGGACUUGUUGACCGAAGUCUCCAACUUUCUUAUUCCGAAUUGAAGUUGCCUACCAUGCAUAUUAUAUAUUUGUUCUUUAUUUGCCGUAAGUGCGUGUGGUUGGCAGAGGGUUGUUGAAGCAAGCCAAGCAACGUGGUUUUCACUCCGUGGCAAACGUGAAGAUCUCUUGAAGCACCGUUUUCUAAGCGAGUGCUUGACGUGGGUUUUGUCAUUAUUUUUCGUUCGUGCAAUUACAUCCAAGAAGUUUAGUGUUUGUAGUCGAUCAAAUCUUGAGGUAAGAUUUGCAUGUAAUUUCUUCGUGAGAUUAAGAGAUUAUUUUCGAGGAAUUUCGGGGCUAAACACUGCGUGCGUUAUUGGGUGUAAUUGGGGCUUGGGAAACACCGAGAGAGUGUUUGAGUGACUUGAGUGUGUAAUCUUCUUGUAUCGCUUGAUCUAUAGUGAAAUUCGAUGCUACUCUCCCCGUGGACGUAGGUCUUUACGACUGAACCAUGUAAAUCUGGUGUCCGAUUUAUUUUUCUUCUUCCGUCUAUAUUUUGUUCGAUCGCUCGCCCUAUCUCAGAAAGUGGUAUCAGAGCAAGGUUUGGCUAAGUUGAAGCGAAUCAAUGGCGACAGAAGAAGUAAAAGUGAAAAUCAACAAAUUUGAUGGGAAGGAUUUUAGUUUCUGGAAGAUGCAGAUUGAAGAUUAUCUUUACCAGAUGAAUCUGCACUUGCCAUUAUUUGGGGAGAAACCAGAGACGAUGAAGCAAGCUGAUUGGGAUUUGCUGGAUAGACGAGCUAUGGGUGUUAUUCGGCUGACGUUGGCUCGUAACGUCGCGUUUAACAUCCUGAAGGAGAAGACCAUUGCUGAUUUGAUGCAAGCCCUGUCGGAUAUGUACGAGAAGCCCUCUGCGAUCAACAAGGUCUGUUUGAUGCGACGUCUGUUUAACUUGAAGAUGAAAGAAGGUGCGUCAGUUGCAGAUCAUAUCAAUGAAUUCAAUGUGAUUGUUAGUCAAUUGAGUUCAGUUGAGAUUGAUUUUGAAGAUGAGGUACGUGCUUUGAUUCUAUUAUCCUCAUUGCCUGAUAGUUGGAAUACUACCGUUACUGCUGUUAGUAAUUCCUCUGGGUCAACAAGUUUGACGUUUGAUGGGGUUCGAGAUCUGAUUCUGAGCGAGGACAUUCGUAGAAGAGAAUCUGGCGAAUCUUUAUCUACUGCUUUAGCAGGUGAAAAUAGAGGAAGAUCUGUAACAUGUGUGGGUAUCGGUAGUACUAAUAUGAAUAGACGUAGUCAAUUUAGGACUGCUAAUGUUGUCUGUUGGAGCUGUGACAAAAGGGGGCAUCUUAGAAGGGAUUGCCUUAAGUUGAAUAAUGAAAAGGGUAAGGGAAUUAUGGUUGAUUCUGCAGAUAAUGUUGUAGCUGUAGCAGAUAAUGCUGAUUAUGUCUUGUCUGUCACUGAUUAUUCAUCGUUUGAUGGAUGGAUUAUGGAUUCUGGUUGUUCUUUUCAUGUCACACUAAAUAGAAACUGGUUUAUCACUUAUCAAUGCACGGGUAGUGGUAAAGUCCAGUUAGGGAACAACGCUGAGUGCGAUGUUGUGGGUGUUGGUGAUGUUAAAAUCAGAAUGCAUGACGGUAUCAUGAGGACAUUGACUGGAGUGAGGCAUGUUCCAGAAUUGAAAAAGAACUUAAUUUCCUUGGGUGCCCUAGGUUCAGCUGGUUACAGGUAUUCUUCAAAAGGUGGAGUUCUGAAGGUUGUUCGAGGUGCCCUGGUGAUAAUGAAAGGAAUCAAGCAUGAUGGCAUGUAUAAACUUCAAGGUGAGACAAUGACAAGUUUCGCCCAAAGACGUCGGAUGCAUCUGUUUGAGAGUCUUUUGACUGCUCGAGGAAGACCUGGGUGUUUGUACCAAAGCACAAGUUUAAUGCCGGUGUCAAGAUCUCGCAGUCAAGAGCUUUGAUCGAGACGGAGACUGGUAAGUCGAUCAAGCAUGUGCAGACUGACAAUAGCAUGGAGUUUUGCUCGGAGCUGGCAAAUAAAUUAUGCAUGAAAGAUAGCAUAGUGAAACACCGCAUUAGUGCCAAUAAAUCACAACAAUUUGCAAAAUUGACGAGCAGAACAUUACUAGAGAUGGCCCGAAAAAUUAUCUCUAGCGCUGGUAUUGCUAGGAGAAUCCUAAUUGAUGUGCUAAGUACGGUAAGCUACCUGGUGAAUAGAUCCCCAUCAACUGCUAUUGAAUGGCGAACUCCUGAAGAAAUGUGAUCAGGUAACGUUGCUGAUUAUUCUAUUCUUAGAAUGUUUGGUUGCCCGUGUUAUUUUCGAGUGAGUGAUGGUAAGCUCGAUGGGAGGGCAAGGUGCAUAUUCCAUGGCUAUGCACAAGGUGAGCGGGUCAAUCAGUUGUGGUGCCCGGAUAUAAAUUCACCUGUUGACAACAGAGAAGUUAUCCUUGACAAGUCUCCAAUACUUCUGGAUAGGAGUGUUUGUAGCAGUGUUAAUACAGAUCUGAACGGUGUUCAGCUUGAGGUGGAGUUGCAACCAAAAACUCCUGAGGUAGCAAGUACAAGUACUAGCAAAGUAAUCGACACAGAUGGUGCUUAUAGUGAGGUGGAGCCUAUAGAGCCAAUAUUUGCUGUAACUGCUGAAAUUAACAAGGUACGUAUUCGAUCUCCGGAUAGAUAUGGAUGCAACAAUGGUUUUGCUUUAUCUACGGUUAAUGAGGUUGCGUCGGAAAAUCCUUACGGAGCAGUUAAAGAUGCAUGUGGAGUUGGUAUUCUAAUGAGAUCCUCAGUUAUGGUGAAGUUCAAGCAAAGCUUGGACUUAGGUAAUAUCUGUGGCGGUUGAGCCCAUCGGGGGCUAUGGGAAAGUAGCAGCAGAGUUUGAAUUUUUACGAAGCGAUUGUAAUUUGACUCAAACGUCGAGCCAAGGUGGAGAUUGUUAUAAUAUGUCUCAAGUUUGAGUCCGUGAACGAAACCGAACCCAAGAUAAAUUAAAGGAAAGUGGAUAUUUGGAUUUCAAGUUGCUAAUUUGUAGAGACCAAGGCAUGAAUUUAUAGAUUACGGAAAUUGAAUUCCGUAUAUAUUGCUCGUUCAAGAUAACAGAAAAAAAAAAAGGAAAGUCCAAGUUGGACUUGUUGACCUAAGUCUCCAACUUUCUUAUUCCGAAUUGAAGUUGCCUGCCAUGCAUAUUAUAUAUUUGUUCUUUAUUUGUCAUAAGUGCGUGUGGUUGCCAGAGGGUUGUUGAAGCGAGCCAAGCAACGUGGUUUUCACUCCGUGGCAAACGUGAAGAUCUCUUGAAGCACCGUUUUCUAAGCGAGUGCUUGACGUGGGUUUUGUCGUUGUUUUUCGUUCGUGCAAUUACAUCCAAGAAGUUUAGUGUUUGUAGUCGAUCAAAUCUUGAGGUAAGAGUUGCAUGUAAUUUCUUCGUGAGAUUAAGAGAUUAUUUUCGAGGAAUUUCGGGGCUAAACACUGCGUGCGUUAUUGGGUGUAAUUGGGGCUUGGGAAACACUGAGAGAGUGUUUGAGUGACUUGAGUGUGUAAUCUCCUUGUAUCGCUUGAUCUAUAGUGAAAUUCGCUGCUGCUCUCCCCGUAGACGUAGUAGGUCUUUACGACUGAACCACGUAAAUCUGGUGUCCGAUUUAUUUUUCUUCUUCCGUCUAUAUUUUGUUCGAUCGCUCGCCCUAUCUCAACACUAAGAAUUGCGCACGUUGCGUUCAUAUAAAUGAAGACCAAACCACCUGUGUUCAUCUUAGACACACAAAUGGAAACACAUGUUCAUUUGAGUUUUUUCCGAUCACGAAGGCCCUUCCCUCUUUGAACCCCACGGUUCAGUCAUCGUCAUCUUCCAUAUCUUGCAGAAUUUAAAAGGACAUAACCAUGUCGUCCCCAAGGUUGAACCAUCCUACUUCCCAAAGAUACACGGUCACCAGUUGUUUCGAGGCCAUUCCUCACCCGGAGCAAUCGGAAAACCGUGUCACUUGGUCAUCCAAGAUAUAUCGUUGCUGUGAUGAGCCACGCAGCUGUAGUUUUUUUGUCCACUCAAAGUUGUAUAAUUUGUAUGGCUCAUGCGUGCUCAGUGAUAUAUAUUGAUGCCGUACGUGUUUCAGGUUGGCAAACAUUUUUUUGCCCAUGCAUCACUUUUGGGAGGAUUGCAGAGUUCGCGGACCCAGGAUCUUCAAGUAAGUAUUUAUCAACUAGUCUUUUUCUCCAUGUGUGUGAACGAAAAAAGAUGAUGGUCAUGGACGAGAUCUACACUGAGCGAUCGGUCCGUGCCUAGUUAAAUAGAUAUACCAAUUCCAAUUUUGUGAAUACACCAAUACAAGCAAAUCCUUUAUCCCUCAUCCUCAUCCUCAACCGCCCCAGACCCAUCAACCUUCUCGUAAUUGCAUACCCCGACUAUGCAUAUCGUGCAAUCUAAAUCUGAGUCCAAGCGACUUCCGCCACCACCGUCAGCAUCAUAUUGGGAAUCUGCUAUCUGAGUAAACAACAACAGAGGAUUCGAGUUUGACCAUCUGAGUAAAGCAGAGGGAGAGAGAGAGAGAGAGAGAGAGAGAGAGAGAGAGAGAGAGAGAGAGAGGAGAGAGAGGAGCCCAGGCGGCACGGUAAUGAGCUGAUAGAGAGAAGAGACAGAUGGUUAGGAUUUGAGCGGUGGGUCGGGCAAUUCCUUGAGUUAGAUCUACACGUCUGUGAUUAAAAAAAAAUAAAAAAACUGGGAAUGCAUGCCAAGUUUUCGAACAGCAACGGCCAUACCAUCCUCGAUAGGAAACCAAAAGCUUGUAGCUCCUUAAAGAGAGUAAAGGGGAAGCUUUGUUAUCUAGAAACUACAGAAUUACCAGGGUAAGUUGACUUGACCCCCUCCCCGCUUUAAAUGUGCUACCAUGACAUCCUGCGCUUUCCCAAAAUGUUUUAGAAUGUUGAAAAUGAGCUUCACAUUUGUAAGGUCAGAACUUUUGAGGGCCGCCACAGUAAUUUACCUCAAAUUAUGAAAUAUUAACAACGUUUUUGUCUUGAUUAUUGAAUAAGGUCGUGAAAAAUGAAAGAGCAUGACUUAGACAGACCAUAGGCGAUGGGCAUAAUUAUUAAAUCUUGUUUUGUUGCAGCUUGUGUUGCGAAAGGCGCGCUCUACUGUUUAGCUGCUGCAUUGACCGGUUGUUUCGGAGGAGUUUGCUGUUGCGGUUACCGUAAUCGCAGAAGGAUGAGGACACGACUCCAGUGGGAGCCGAAGACAUGCAACGAUUGUUGUGUUCAUUGUUUUUGCCAUUGUUGUGCUCUGUGUCAAGAAUAUCGUCACCUCCAAAGCCUCCGCGCCGACCCUUCCACGGGUACUAGACUAUAUAUAUAAUCUCGAAUUCGCUUCCAAGCUAUCUUAAAGAAUUGCUCGUGUAGGACCACUAAUUCUAGAAUCCAUAUUCUCGGAUAAAUUGAUAGAAUGCAGAAUCUUUUUGUUGGAUUCAAACUUUGCGUCUGACUACAAAAGAAACAUCAAAUCUAGCUUUGUUUGGCCCAAGAAUUGACGGAGUGAGUAAGCAUUUAUUUGAAUGUGGCAAAUUCCGUAUAUAGAUCACCGUAUCUUCUACUCAAAGUAAUUUUCUUGGCUAGCUUGUUGAUGGAGUCUAACUCAAUGUGCAUGGGUCCAGCUCCCAUGUCUUGAUAUCCUGUUGUCAAAUAUUUAUAAACUUAGAUCAACGGUUGUGCUUAUACUUUCAGGAUAUAUAUAUAUUGGGUUCUUUUGGUUCUGAUAUAUGCAAUUACCCCAAAUUUUUCAGGACGGGAAGAAAAUGGGCAGAUGCGUAAUGGCUCAAUAUAUAAAUCCUUGGAAGCGAGGCAUAUUUUACCCCGUUUGUUUAAACUUUAUUGUACUUGAAGUAUUUCACAUUAGCAAGAAUCCUUAAAAUCCUUGGUCAAGUUGAAAAUUAGCUUUGUACCCAUGAUAUGCCCCCUUUCCAUUUUUGUAGUUAUCCUUAGAUCCUUGGUUUAAUUACACUAAUAUUUUGCUUACAAUGCCCAAUUGGUAAAAGCAUAUACUUAAACUACUGUAAGAAACCGUUUCUUUAGUAGCUAUUCAUUUUGAUAGCUUACUUGGACCACUGGUGCUAUUUUGAGCUUUCUCUUGGUUGCUUAAGUCGAAUUGGACAAAAUUUUAGGAUUCUUUGUUUGUGUUCUAAUCUCUCUCGAUUCCUUGCCAAAUCCGCAAGUGUUGACCAAGAUUGAUCCAAAUGGAGCUUUGCUUCAACUUAGGCAAGUGAUUACGAGUUCUAAAUUAUUCCAAAUCCAUUGUAUACUGUCUAUUGUUUUUUCUGAUUCUGUUCACCAGCCCCCCUCCCCCCCCCCCCCCCCCCCCCAUAUUCUGGUGUUUUUCUUGCUCUUUGGUUAUGCCCUUACAAGAGUGGGUGCCUUUUUGCCUCUUCAAGAUUCCUGUAAAGAGUUUUUGGUUUGUGAUUAGUAUUUUAUUACCCUUCGAUAUUGUGUUUCUUACCUUUACAAGUUGUGGUUCUUCUUCUUACAUGCUUAUUGGAACAGAUGGAUUAUAAUUUGCAUUGACAACCAAAACAAAUGGUCAAACACCAAAUAAUAAUAAAAAAAUGCCGAAAGCUGCAAGGGAGGAAGUGUAUUCUCGAUCGGAUAUGAAUGAAGAUUCAACUAACUCCUAUGAGCAUACUAAUCACGUGAGAAGUGCUACAUGGGGUUAUUAUACAUAUUUCACACACAUGUUUGCUUUUAAGACUUAUUUGACCUGCUAACCUCUGGCUUCUAACUUGUAAUGGAUGUAUUGUCUACUAAUCAUGUGUUGUGUCAACUAGGGGUGAGCAUUGGUCUAGGGCCGACCCUGGACCGGCCCAACUCUGCUAGUCCUAGUCUAGUUCUUAGAGAGAUUGGGUCGGUCCUUGGUCCUAGAAUUCCUGGACCGGCAUUAUGUGGAUCGAUCCUCGGUCGUGAAAGUUCCAGGUCGGUCCAACCCGGACCCACCUUGACUAUAUAUAUAUAAUUUUUUUAUAUAGAGAAAACCUUAAAAUAAAUGGUGUCAACAACAUUAAAUGGCUCUUUAGUGAGGAGUUCAAUGUAAAAUUCUUUAAUAACUUAGGUUUUUAAUAUCUUUUACAGCAUCAAUAGUCAUAAUUUACGAAGGAGGAAAAUGUUUUAGUGAAGAGUCCUCACGGCAUCCAAAAAGGCACAUUAUGACAUCCUUCUCUAUUAUUUGUUUUCUUCUGUCUUAUUUGUCAUCUUAGUUUUCAAUUUGCUAAAAUCGAAAAAAAACUUCUUCACUCGCCUCGCUCGCUUUGGAUUACUUGUGCCGCUCACCGCACAAUACUCGCUUAGCUUGUUGCUCCCCGCUCGACAUUCGAUACUCAUUAUGUUUGACGCUCACCCCACUUGACCCUCUCCACUUGUCUUUCUUAGCUAAUCUUGCUUAUCAUUGAACUCAUUAGGUCAGUACGGUCUUCGGUUGCCUUUUCAAAGAGUGCAAAAAAUGAAAUAAAAAAUUAUUGGUUAGUCCUUGGUUGACCUUGAAAUCGGACCAAAUCUAUUGGGUUAGUCUAGUCCUCAAUCGCUUUUUUAAGAAGUACAAAUAAUGAAAUAAAAAAUUAUUAAUUGGUUUCGGGUUGACUCUGGAACUGGACCGAACCCAUUGGGUCAGUCCAAUCCUCAGUCCCAAAAAUUGAGGACCGACACUGUGUGGGUUGGUCCUAAGGUUAGAGGGUGGACCGGCCCAACCUGGACCAUGCUCACUCCUAGUGUUAAUGGGUGCAUUGUGCUUGGUUUGGUAGGAAGGAGAGAUGUGUUGUGCAAUUUGGAAAAUGUUGUUACAAGGAUGAAUGCUUGGUGGACGUACUACCUAUUGAGUCUGUGUUUAGAGAUUUUAAGCUAAUGCUACUUUUGUUAUUAAAUGCAUGAAAUCAAAUGUGCAAAGAAAGGAGGCGAAUAAACUUACCUUGCUAAUUGCAUAUUUUGUUGGCAGACAUGAAUGAAUGUACUUUAGACCAUCCUAAUAGGAAUUAUACCUGCAUUUCUGUUAUUAAAUGUUGGUUGAUUUCCAUGAAAAUUUAAUGUUGUUCCGAUAAGGCUUCCCAUGGAACAAUUGCUUCCCUCACUUGGGCUAUUUUAGACAAAUUUAUCAGCAAAAUAAAGCUGAUGUUAUGAAGCUCAUUGGUUUGUUGUUUUCUUACAGAGUAGCAUGGCCUUUCUAUUAAUGCAAGAGAUCUUUCUCGAUCAAUCUCCUUGCCCCUCAUUCUUUGAGAAUUAGAAAGAUCUUUUUCAAGUUUGAAUUUGGUCAUUUGAAAUCUGGGUUCAUCUACUUCAUUUUUUUUACUUAUUUUUUAUUAUUAUUUUUCCUUCUCUUUUAUUUAUUUAUUUUUCUUUUUCUAUUUAUUUUUUUAUUCCCUUCCAUCAUUCCUUAAGUCUCAUAGGUUUGAUCUUGUAGAAUCUAACCUGUUUUCUCAUUGAGCGAAAGGUAUGAAAGAUUGAUUUUUCGAUCAAAAGUACUAUGUGAGUUAAAUCUUCCAUUUUUUCCUCUUUCUCUAUCCCUACCCUUCUAAUGAGGAUUAUAGUGUACUAACUAAGGUGAUCUCUUUCACUCUCUUUUCAGUUUAUCCGUCCCACAGUGAGCAAUUCCCAAUCACUCGAAAAUAAGCUUCUCUAUCCAUACUUGGAAGGGAUUCUACCACCUAGAAAGCACAUUUCUUUGGGGAACACAGGAACUCUUAGCUCUUACAACUAGCACGAAGGAACUCCUUUUGAAGCCUACCUUUCUGGUUAUGGAUUCAACCCUUUCUUUGACUUAUUUUUUGCUUAAUCAACUAGCUAGUAGAGGCAGAAGAAAGUAGAACCUCAAUUGACGACUACAACUUACGCAAAUAGAUACGUAGAAGAAAUUGUAAAUAGGCCAGAAAUAGACUUUCAAAACCUAGUUGAUGGAUUGGGUGUGAGAACCUGCAAACUAGAGUUUGAACGUGGGGAACUUGCUUUAGAAUUCUCAAAAGGGGGAACUAAGGAUUGUGCCCGUACUUAAACAAUGGCUUUUCCCUACUUGAUAGGAAAGGAACUAGCUGGACUUCUUCCUUUAGCGCUUGGCAUCUUAACAGGACUUACUUAACGACUUCUAGCAAUCUUAGUAGUACUUAAAGCUCAACAAGGAAAGAAGUAUUGGAGAGUCUCUUCAAGAGAUAUGUCUUCAAGGAGUAUUUUACGCCACGUCACCAAAGAAUUCUCCCCCCCCCCCUUCAACUUUGACUCUUUAGGGUCCCUGUCCCCAAAAGAAGAAGAUUCAGAUUAGGGCGGGAGUUAGGCAAGGGCCGUGAUUGUCCCUUCUACGACUUUAACCGUUCUUUGGACCGAGGAAGACUAGGGGACUCAGUUAAAGACUACGUCUUUUUCUCUACUUCUCGUUAGGGUUCAGUAUAGGGGAAAGCUUCUUCGGAACGCAUGCCAGGGGAUGUCUUUCUCAAGCCUUUCAUUUAGUGGGAAGAACUCCCAUAAAGACUUCCUUUGAGCAGUGAAGAAGUGCCAUACGCCUUAGAUCAGGGAAUUCCUCUCCUUUUAUCCUUUCAGACAGUUUCAGAGUCAGUGACAGAAGGAAGGUAGGAGAGUCACUCGACCAAGAGGGACUAGGAGAACGAGGAAAGUAGGAUUGUGCAGGAAGGUAGGCUGUCCGAAGUCUCUAAAGAAAGGGGGAAAAAAAGAAUAUCAUGACUAUUCGUCGACACUUAUAUGCUGUGUCUCUUUUCUCUUCUCAUGAUUUGGACUUUGUUCAGUCUUUUAUAUUUCGUUUGUCUUUUGUUGCCAUGAAUCUUUUUUGUUCCAUGUUGGGUACAACAGCUUUCUCGCUAAGUGGGAGAGCGAUCUCGCUUUUUUUACUAAAGCCGGGAUGCUCCCUUGGGCUUUCCUUGGCCGUUGGAUUGGCUGUGAAAGCUUAGCUGAUCAGGAGACAGUCCAAAGGAUGAUUUUGAUUUUGGGAGUAUCCAUCCUGAUUCAGAGGCUGCUGGUAACAUCAUUUGGAGAACUUCUCCUACUAUUGAUGUGGAUUCCAUCAAAUCGUUCAGAGAUAUGAAGCUGCUGCGUGUUCUUUUUAGUUGGAGUCCAAGUUGAAUUGUGACUCUUUUUUUAGGUCAAGCAUGAUCAGAGAACCAGCUGGAUAUUUUUGUGGGAAGAAGAGACUUCGUAGGGUCAUCCUAUCAUAUCUAUUGUAAUCAUCUAAGUUGGUUGUACCUCUUAUUUCUUUUCGUUUUGAACCAUAUACCAACUUGGUUGCUAAUGUCCUGUUGGUUCUAUCGUAAUCAUCUCGUUCCAAAUGAAGAGAGGUUUGUGGACCUCAUUUAAAGCAUAAAUACUUUUCACUAUCUUUCUUCAAGCACAUGUGGUUCGUCCUCAUUAAAAAACCAAGAUAAUACUAUUGGCUAUAGAACAAAAGUAAAUUGUCCAGGGGAAAUAUAUGAACCAGCAUUGAUCACAUUUAACUUAACUUUACCUAAGAAAGAAUAGUAAAUACUGUUUGUGCUGCUGUGAGAAGGAGCAACACGAUGGCUGCGAGAAUGGACAAGAAAGCCCAAGGACUAUGGAAAUAUUCCCUCCUUAGUUUCGCCAUCCAGACGUUCCACCUCUUGUCACAAUGCACAUUCAGAUUUUGGAAGAUCUCAGAGUAAUAGGAAUUGGAUACAGUAACGUAGUCACCUAUCCUGUUGAACAUCUGCGCAACCACCUCAUCAUCGCCCAAAUUGUUCUUAAUAAUCCCUACGCGGCGAAGCAGCUCGACGUCCUUUGAAGAGUUUAUGAGGCUAUCCAUGAAGACAACAUAAUCCGUAAAGUAGUUGAUGUUUCUCCUUCGACGAUACUGCUCGAAUGCGACCAGGUUUCGAAAUUUUGAUUCGGUGCGGUCUCCUAUUUUCAAGACUGGUAUUUGGAGUGUCCCAUUCUCGAAUUUGAUGUCGCUCAGUUUGUCCCCUUGCGCAGCCUUAAACCUGACUCCUGACUCCCUCAGCUCCGUCGCCGAGAAUUUAACUGUUUUGCGUGUUGGCGGGGGCGUUUCAAGUGGCAGGGGCGUUUCAGGCAAGCUAGAAGUGUGCCACGUGUGAUAUAGAUGCAGAAGAUGCUUUGUCUCCUCGCCAAUCGUCCAAUUUUGGGUGGGGCCUCCGAAGUACACGCUGGCGGCAAGGCCGAACUCAAUAUGGUUGUCCGGUUCUUCAGUCAGGUCAUAUAGCUUGCUCAAGACGAAAAGUGGGAGUUGGUUCUCUAGCAGCAGUAAAUCGCGCCUAAUGCUGUUGUGAAUCCCCCAUUCAUGCAUAGGCAAGUCGCCUAUGCUGUUAUGAAGCCCCCAUUCAUGCAUAAGCUAAUUUGAAUCCCCAAUUCAUUGAGCAUACGCGAGAAGCCAAUCACUUCAAUUACCCUUUCAAAGUGCCGACGGAACACCUCAAUGAUGAAACAGCCAUCAAUGAGCAUCAUCGCAAGAAACUUUUCUUGGGAGAGGUCAACGGUGUCCGCAUAGCAAUUACGCGCCUGCUGUUCCAGUUCCCUGAGAGUCGGCAUAUACCUGUCGAUGCCCUCCUCCUUGUUCCUCUCAAGCACUUGCUGCAGGCAUCGCAGUUUUUGCACCUCCAUAGAUUUGAACUUGUCAUUUCCAUGGUGAUAAGGGCCGAUGGCUAGAAUCUCUGGGUCAUAGGCUUUCUCGUUGACUUCACGCAAUUGAUGACGAACCCUAAAUAUACUAUGCUCUGGCGAAGUGGGAGGCAUACUGCAAAGCAUACUCUCGAUGUGUAUUGAGACAUGAUCUUGCACCAUGGAACGAUCAUAGAUCCCAGCAUGCUGUAUUGGCUACAACAUAAUUCAUGUGAUAAUAAGCACGGAGUAAAGCAAGAUGAUGGUUUUUCAUGUUCUUAAAAUGGUUCUUCAUGUGCUUCCCUUUCAUUAAGGGCUACUUACGAAAAAUGUCCUUGUACAUACUCUUGCCAAUUUUUGAUUUUGGUCAUCAUACUAUUUUUUGGGAAACAUACGACCCUUAAACUAAUCUCCAAACAUCCUCAUCCUCCCCUUCCCCCCACCCCUGGGGGGAAUAAAUUUUCAGGACUAAUUCUGCAUUUCCGUGCAAUUAUUAAUGGAAAAUGCUAACUCAACACCGGAGUUGAACAUGUGGAGCUGGCAUCGAAUUUAAACAAAUCAAUAUAUUAGGAAAAAUUACAAAAAAAGGGAAAUUCAUUUCAAGUCGAAGUUCAAAACUGAAUGAUGAAUAGAUUUGGCUGCGGAAAUGCUCAAAUGUAGUAAUUUUUUCCUAUUUUGCUGGUUAUCAGUAAAAAUUACUCGAAUGUUUUUCUUAUUUUGAAAAGUGAAAAAUUUUCCCUUAUUUUAAAAGAUUUUUUCUUGUUGAUGGAAAAUACUUUCCCUAAUCAGUUUAUUUUCUGUGAAAUGAAUACAGAAAAAUUCAAAAAAUGAUGUUUUGGAAGUUAUUUUUCACAAAAUAAACAGAGCUUAAAAGGAGAGAAGACUAAGAAGACUUAGGAAAACGUCGAAUUGACUCAGUCAAUUAACUUCGCAAGUCUUUCCACAAGUCGCAUUAGUAAUUAAUGUAGUCCAUUUUUGUGUGCUGAGCUUUUUAGCGGCGCAGUUUUCACGUCAACAAAAGUCAUUUAGGAGAAGCACUACCAUUUCAAAUAAUAAAAAUAAAAAAUACGUUAGUUAUAAGUUUUGCACGGAUAUUUUUCAAGCCCUGUUACCGGCUUUACCUAGUCUUUCCUAGGUGUCAGCCUUUCUCACUACCCAAGCGGGUUCUCCCCUCAGGUCUAUCCUCAAGCUGGCAGGAGCAAUUUAAGCCUUGUUCUUAUGGAUUUUAUAGGGCCAAGGACUUCGGCCCAAACCGUUUUAUUCGAGACGGUACUCUAGGUGGUACUUAAGGUCCCCACCAGGACCCUCACAGCUGCUGGGGCCGCAGCGCACCUGCGCCCCGACUGGGUCAGCUGACAACCCCUCAUGCAGGGAUUGUCCCUUCAUUCCCGGCACAGCUACCGGAGCAGUUUAAGGACUUACUCAGGUUCAAUAGUCCAUUUUUGUGUGCUGAGCUUUUUAGCGGUGUAGUUUUCACAUCAACAAAAGUCAUUUAGGAGAAGCACUACCAUUUCAAAUAAUAAAAAUAAAAAAUACGUCAGUUAUAAGUUUUGCACGUGGUGAUUCGUAUGAACAUAGUGAGAGGUAUACAUAAGGCAUACAGAGAGGCCAUAUUGGCAAAAUGGAUAACGAGUUAACACUAGGGAUAAAUGAUACCAAAAUCCUUACAGAUUCCACCUGGAAUCUGAAAUUUGGAACCUACCCUUGGUACAGGUUCCUCAUUUUUUUAGAAUCUGAAACCUACCCGUCAGAAUUUGGAACCUGAAACCUACCCUAUUAUAAGUUCUAGGGUUGGUUCCAAGUUCUAACAAAUUCUUUCAUUUUUAUUUUUUUAGUUAAGCAAAAUGAAAAUGAACGCAACAAGGUACCAUUAGCAACACCGUGCUUAUAUACAAACCCACAAUGAAUGUACUUCACUUGAUAUGUUUUUCCAUUCUCAUAUUUGAUUCUCAUAUAAUGAUUCUAACAAUCGAAUAUAUAUAUAUAUAUAUAUAUAUAUAUAUAUAUAUUUCUUAUCACGAGGAAUAAAUGAGAACUAAGUACCUCAUUUGUCACACUCAUGGUAGGAGAUGGCUCUUCUUCACUUUCAUUGUUCAAUAAAUUCAAUUCCGUGAUCGAAGUCGACUCCUCAAAUUCAUCCUCCUCCAUUGACAUGUUAUCUUGAUAUGUCAACUUCACAUAUACAUAACAACAAAUGAAUAUAAUUAGAAAUUUCAGAACAAAAAUCAAACAUUUACAAAAUAACAAAACAAAUUCAAGCUAAGGACAAGAACAUAAACAAAUUUCUUUCCAUUAACAGUCUUUCCUCUUCUCUCAUUCUUUAGAAAAUCAGCAUUGAGCAUAAUUAGACAAGAACAUAGCCUUAUGGAUGGCGGCCUAAUCACACUAAUUGUCGUGUUUAUAAAAUGCCAAGAGCAGAACAUUAAAAUGAUUUCAUCUAUGUUUUCUUUUUAUGGUUCCCAACACAACAUGUGCUUGCUAAAGUAGCAAUUAUUAUGAAUGCCAUUACUAAUGAACUAUAGGGAUAGGUUACGUGCUGUGAAUAACCGCAUGGACCCUUUUCAGAACAAACCAUCCAAAGACUCAGGUCAAAGUCGAAGGAAUAUUUAAGUGCAGUUUCAAUGAGAAACCUUGCCAUUUCAAGCUACAGUUUUGUAUAUUUGUACGAAUAUAAAACACAACUAUUGCUCUGUCAUUCGACAUACUCCUCCAAGAGCCAUAUCUCACUGCUUUUGCCAUAAAAAUUCAAUCGCCAGAUAGCAAUGAUUAAUGCACAAACUCGCCUAUCCAACCUCACUAUUGACAUCCCAAGUGCAGAAUAACACGCUAGAACCAUAGACAAAGGACACUACCGUCUAAUUUUCAGUAAGCCGCAAUUCAACAACAUCAACCUCUUCAAUUCAACUCCAAACUCAAUCAUGCACCAAACUCUAAUCUUUGAAUGUAAAAGCUAUCUAGCAACAGUUGAUCAAACCAAAAUGGAGAGGAAAUAAACAAUCAAAUCAAACGACCGAAUGACAUAUAAACAAAACAGGCAUAGGAUCAUUUCAAAUGAUUUUCAUCUUUGUUUUCUUUUUAUGCAUGCAACUCACUGGCUUCCCCAUUUUAUCUAAUAUUCAUAUCCGAAUCAAACUAGAACACUAAUCUAUCUCUAAUGAAAUUGAAGCACAACGUGCACAGUCCUGAAUCAAUUACUCCAUAGAAACCCAUUAAUACCCGUACAUAUCGCAUGAAUCGAAUACGACAGUCCUAUAAACUCGACAAAACAUAUUGAAAUCCCUUGAAACAAGUAACAACCGCACUGCAAGACACACCACAUAGAUCGGAUCUAAGUACGCAAAUUCUAUGGCCCGCCCUAUCCUGACAGCCGGACGCUACAUUCAUGCCAGUUUUCACUUUGCUUUCCCCUCUGUCUGUUGCGAAGAGGAGGAUAUGAAAUCAACCAACACCCUUAAACCCAACAACAAUCAUGUCCGCAGCAAACCAAGAGAAGCCCAGAACUAAGCCCCAAUCUGGCAUGCGUGCAAACUUCGACAGCUGGAUGAUGGUCGCUGUAGUGAGAGAGAGAGAAACAGAGGGAUUUCGCCAAACUCGUUGGGCCUGAGCUGCGGCCGACGACCGCAAACGAAGGGCUCGGCGAUGAUAGAGAGGAAACAAAUGGAGUCGAAGGGCUCAGUGUAGGGCUCAACAUCGUGGAAGGGCUCAACGUCUUGGAAUGGAAGACAGAUUCGAAAUGAGAAGUGGAAAGAAAAGGGAAGUGACUCGAAAUGAGAAGUGGAAAGAAAAGGGAAGUGACUCGGGAAAUGGAGGGGAAAUAAUUUUGGAUUUCGGAUUCCCGGACCCGUUCCCUUUUGGUUUUGGUUCCGGUUCCUAACUGGGGACUGAACCGAGAACCGGUGGUUCCAAUAAAACCGGAACCGGGAACCGAAUUGGACCCACCGGUUCGAUUCUCCGGUUCCCGGUUCUACCCAGGAACCAUGCUCACUAGUUAACACGACUAUAUAUACGCUUCUCAUUAGAUCAUUGUAUGAGCGCCAUACAUAACUUUUGACAUUUUUAAUGUUCUUUAGACGAUUAUUUUACAUGUGCUUCCCUUUGAUUAAGGGCAACUUACAAAGACUGUCCUCUUAUGAUAUUUCAAUUUUCACUUUUGGUCAUCACAUUACUUUUCAUGACACAUAUGAUCCCUAAAUUAAUUUCUUAAAUUUAGUAGAAAGAAAACUAAUUUCCAAACAAAUUUCAGGAUGAGUUUCGCAUUUUUGUGAGAAUAUCGACGGAACGCAAAUGAAGCACCGCGGUGUGGACAUUUAAUAUAAACAAAAAAACAAAUGGAUAGUUGAGGAAAAAUUACAAACCCCGCGCUAAUUCUCCUUAUAUAAUUUUGCUCCGAGAAUAAAUUAACAGCUGUACGGGCUUUUUGCUUUUGAGCUUAAGAGAACCUCCUUUUUCUCUCUGGAAAAGUUUUGAGGAUAUGAGUCCCCACAUUUCAUCUCUCCAGCCACUGAGCGAGCGAGGACAAUCUUUUAGCCAUUAAAAUGUGGAUUUUAAAUUUAUUUUGUCUGUUCUUAUUGUGAGCUACUUGCCAUAGAUGUUGACGCCGUGAGAACCGCAUUGAAUAAUUAUAGACUUCAUAAGAAGAAUAAUUGGAACGAAAUUGAACCAAGAUAAAAUACAGAGAUAUCAUCAAACGCAAUGGGAACUGAGGAUUUGAGGUUAUAGAAGGUGAGACAAGCUUCUAGCUAAAUAACAUAUAAAUGACUAUUAAAAAGAAAAAUUAUACUUAAGAAUAUAAGGAAUUUUUGGACCUAGGGAGGCAAGGCCUUCACUAGCCCGGUAGCCCCCUAGGGCCGGUGCUGAUUUAACGGCAGACAUAAGUCCAGAAAUUAUGUUUGAUUACCCCUCUCUAGAAGGGUGAAAGCAAUCGGUAACUGAAUCAGGAGAAGACAAAAUCGAUGCACGAGCGAUUUUUUCUUAUUGAGACGCGUCAGUUAACGUAAUUUCGGCCCCUAAAUAAGAUCUAAUGUGUAUGAUUUAAUUUAAUAGUUCCCGGAAUCAUGUUAACUAAUGGGCCAUAAUUUGGAAUUAAAAGAAAUGGUCUCAUCCUUCAACUUUAUGUUUUUUUUUUCCCUCAAUGUGAAUAAUUACAACAGUCAAGGAUCAGAAAAACAAAAGGGAAAUUCGUAAGACUUACUUGAUUACGAUGAUGGUUGCUCAUUCUUCUCGCCAAGCUAGACCAGCCACUAUCACGUAGUAGCCAGUUCUCCUCUUUUUGUGGGACUGCUUUUCAGUGAAGUAGAGAUAAAAUGAGACUGCUGCAUACACCAACCAUUUAUACAAAAUCCCGACGGUGGAGGGUACUCCAAUAAAUUGGAUGAAGAUGCAAAGGUCUCAGAAAGACUAAGAAAGAAGCGCCAAAUAUUGACUUAAGGAGAAAGGCGGAUAAAAUCAUCCACAAGUCGCGUAUGUGAAAACGGACCAUUUCAGGAAACUUCAUGAAACACGUGGAAGGAGUCCUGCGUGAAAGAGCCCUACGUUCUACCUGCCCAGCUGGAAAUCAGAAUUGCCUUCAUGGGAGAGACAACUUGUACAAUUGUGAUAAAUGCAAAUAUAAAGAUGCUGGCCCAAUUCUCUAGAUUGGUGCGGUCAAACAAUGCGACGAGAGAUUAUUAAAUUAAGAGUUGAAAGUUACAUAUUAAGAUUUUAACAGCUGCAUGUAAAAUGUUCUAGGUAUUUCAAUAAACUAUGAGAAAUAUACGAACUAGCAUUAAUCACAUUUAUUUUUGCUUUCUGUAAGAAAGAAUACUAAAUUAUGAUGUUUACUAGAAUGGACCAGAAAGCCCAAGGACUAAGGAAAUAUUCCCACCUUCGUUUUGCCAUCCAACAUUCCACCUCUUGUUAUAAUAUGCAUUCACGUUUUUGAAGAUCUCAGAGUAAAAGAAAUUGGAUAGCGUGAGGUAGUCACCUGUCUUGUUGAUCACAUGUGCGACAACCUCGUCAUUGCCCAAGUAGUUCUUGAUAAUCCCUUCGUGGCGGAGCACCUCGACGUCCUUUGAAGAGUUUAUGAGGCAAUCCAUGAAGGUCACAUAAUCUGUAAAGUACUUGAUGCCUCUACCUUGACGAUGCUGCUCAUACAUGAUUAGGUUUUGAAAUUGUGACUCGGUGUGGUCCCGUACACUCAAGACCGGUAUCUCUAGUUUCCCAUUCUUGAAUAUGAUGUCUUUCAUGUGUCGCCCUCACACUGCCUUUCAUGAAAUUCGUUGCAUGUCUAAUUCCAUUUGUUAUUCAGCAUGACGAUCAUUCACUUCUUUACUUCUUUUGCAACAUCUCAUAUACAACCAAUUGUAUUUGGUUCUGCAGAGUUGUAAGACACGAAAGCACACCUAAAAUCUCAAUAGCUAGAAUAAAGACUGCAUAUAAACAAGUUUUACGCACCUAAUUUGGAUUAUCAUUCUUGAUGUGGAAUAGCAAUGAUCCAAACUCAAGAAUUUCUCCUCAACUGUCAUCUAUAUCAUUGGCUCAAGGGGACGGCCCCUUACCCUUAACGAUUAAUAAACGCUCAUUUAUAAGGAUAAUUGUGCGUGUUAGGGUUAAAGGAGAUACUUGAGCACUAUUUAUAGAAUUUCCAAUUAAACUCUCUCAUUACGGGCCGAGCUCAACUUGGCCCACACUAACGUGUCUCAUAUUAGACUAAUUAAGAAACUUUCUAUCUCAUCUUAAACAAAUUCCGUAAAAUGGUAAAUUAUAAUAUCAAUUAAUGUAGCCCACGUUAAGAAAACUCUCAUAUUCUUGCACUUGAGCUAUAUUAAUUGAAAUUGUAUUAUUUGUACAGUCCUUGAUCUAGAGAUAAUUCUUAAUAGUCAACUAUCCCAUAAAUUCUCAAACACCAAAUCAUUGUGGUAACUAUAUGUAUACACAUAGAGUCUUCCAUGGUCAUGAGUGCUUUUUAAUUUUAUUGAUUUGUAUUCAAUAUGGUAAUGUAGCAAAUGGAUAACACCUCACAUAAAAAGUAAUACCUUAUGUGUUAUCUCAUUUGUCGGUCAACAUUCUAUUACCUUAAGUGUCAUAAAAACCUAUGUCACUAGAGAAUAUCUUUACGGUUCAAUGAGCCCACAUAUGUCUUGUCCUUACAGUUAACUUUUCUUUAUGCGUAACAAGACAUAUGCUCAAAACUAAUAACCAGAUGCUCCUAGCCUUCACUUAAGAUUUAUACAAUACCUUGAAAUUUUUAGUUAUAUGUAUUCAAUAAAAUAACAAUAAGUUUACAAGUACUUUGUUAAAUGCAAAAGUUGAUAUAUAUUAUAACAUUACUAAAUGUCACAAACAUAGAUAUAAACUUUAUUAGAGCAAAACCGAAACAACUUCCACUAAACAACGGUAUCCCAUGAUGCUCUUAAGCCUAUGUUAAUGAUAUAUUGUUUAAGAAUACAAGGAUGAAGGCCUAUAGUUAGUAGAUCUCUAACCAUAUCAUCUAUGUAAAUAUACUUUAUUGUAACAUCAACAUAUGUUUAGACUUCUUAAGACCUUCAUUGUUGUUAAUAAACAAUAUUGCAGAGUUAUUAUCUCAAUACAACCGUAUGGGUCUAUCCAUAAAGUCGAAUAUGCUCAACUCCCUAAUGAGAUUCGGGAGCCUAAUAAACUGAGUAACCGUUGAAAAGCAUGCUAAAAACUCCGCUUACAUGGUAAAGAAUGAUAUAGAUUUUUAUUUACUGUACCUUCUGAUAAUAUAAAGAUGUGUUAUAUUGUUGACUUCAUGUCAUUUAACAACCAACAAAGUUUACAUUAAAGUACCUUACUAGCUGUAAGGCUUGAAUAUGUCUGUAAAUUAACAUAUAAUCUUUUAUCCUUUUUAAGUACCUUAAAAGCUUAUUGACAGUAACCUAGUGAUCGUGUCUUGGAUUUAACUAAUAUGUGCCUACAAGUCCUGUCAUAAAGAUGAUGUUUAGUCUAGUGUACAUCCUUUAAUUGGGUUUCAAGAUCAUUGGCACAAGGUACAUCAUUUAAUUGGGUUUUCUUAGUGUCUAAAUAAGGAUAAUGUGACAGAUUCAGUUCAUUACUCUUAAAAUAGGAGUAAUUCCCGACUUACAGUGAUGUAUAUUGAAUCUUUGCAAAAUACGAUAAGCAAAUGUCCUCUGAGAUAAACUCAAUAUAUGAUGAGAAUAAUCUUUACAAAUUUCAGUACCAAGGACAAAAGACUCAUCAUCAAGGUCCUCCACGUCAAUUUUUUUUAAUAAUAUCUGAUUUGUCUCAUGUAAUAAUUUAAGAUCACUGCUUGCAAGCAAGAUAUUAUGUACAUAUAUUGUAAGAAAAAUAAAUUUCCUCUUACUAACCUUGUAGUAUAUACACUGAUUUGCUUUAUUCUCAAAUGAACGAAGUGAUAAUAUUAUGAAACUUUAAUAACAUUGUCUAAAAACUUGCUUGAGGUCAUGAAUAAAACUUUUCAGUCUACACACAAAUUUAUCUGAAUCAUUUGGUACAAAACCUUUGGAUUGUAUCAUAGAGACUUUGUUAUCAGAGUAUCCAUAUAGAAAGAUAGUUUUAACAUCCAUUUGGUGUAACUUCAUAUCAAAAUGAGCUACUUAUGCCAUGUUCACUCUGAAAGAAUAUUUUAAAAAGACCAAAAAAAAAAUAAAAAAAUUCUCCAUUAUCCACCCCUUCUUUCUAAGUGAAAUCCUUGGCUACCAAUUUGGCUUUAAACCCCCCAAUCUUUCUUCGGAGUCAUUUUUAAUCAUAUACACCCAUUUGCAGCUGAUAAGCUCGUGACCUUCAGGAAACUCAAUAAGUUCCCAUACACUAUUAUGUUCCAUAGAUUGCAUAUCGUUUUUCAUUGCAUCUAAUCUUAGAUAUGAUUGAGAACAAGAAACAAUAUCUAUAUAAGUCAUUGGAUUGACCAUGCGGCAAAUAUCGAAGUCAUGCUCUCACAUAUAGACUAUAUGUUUAAUGAUAUAAUUGAUCGUUUCUCGUUAACAGAUAGUAUGAGUGGAGCUAUAACCACUUCAUCUGACACCUGAGAGGCUUGAGAAACUUCAUCGGGAACUAUUUCAAUAACAGUAUCCUAAACUUUAACAAGCUUAAUCUUUGGUAUAGAAAGCUCUACAAUUGUUUGUAUAGGCAAAGACAAAAAUACAGUGAUUUCCACAGUAAUAUUAUGUUUAAUAGUUUGAGAGGAGUUAUCCUCUACGACUACAUCGAAUUCCAAAAACUUUACCGUUUGUAAUUUCACAAUCCUUGUACCUUCAUUAAGGUCAUAAAAUCGAUACCCCAUUGAAUGAUCUAGGUUAGAUAUGAAAUAAUACCGAGUGAUUCUGGAUUCCUAUUUACUUAAUGUUGGAUUAUAUAACCUCACUUAUGCAAGACAUCCCUAAAUUUUAAGAUGAUUCAAGUUAAUUUUCAUCUAGUCCAUAACUUAAAAUGAGUCAAGGAACAAUUUUGGUGGAAACACGAUUUUAUAUGUGAAAAGAUCGAUUUUAAAGCGUCAUCCCAUAGAAAACCGAAUAAAUUAAUCCUACUAAUCAUACUCCUCAUAAUCUUCAGAAGGGUGAAUAUUGCGUCUUUCAACCACACCAUUAUAUUCAGGAUUUUUGGGUAUAGUAAAUUAAGUUACCAUCCCAGAAUCCUAUGAAUAUUUGACAAAUGACUCUUUAAGCUAUCUAACAUUGUCAUACUUGCCAAAAUACUCAACACUACAGCCAAGUCUGACAAUUUUUAAAACUUAUCCCAACUAAUUUUUUCGAUUUUAGUCCCAAAAAAAAAAAAAUUUAUUUAUCCACAAAUUUAGGCUUUAUCCUCAAUCAAGUACAAAAAAAAUAGUCGUCAAUGACUGUGUUGAAAUAAACAUUUCUACAUAACGUUACCAUAUAAGGUCCACUAAAAUUAAUAUGAAUGACCUCCAAUAGGUCAGAACUUUAGACUGCAGUUUUAUUAUUUAUCAUAGUCGUCUCAUUUCUACAAUAGUCUACGCAAGUGUUUAGGUAAUUUUAAAGAGUAGAUAGAAUGUUAAUAUUAUUAGCAUUUCUACUCUUUCUUUAAACAUUAAUGUAUGGGAUUAUUCCUUAGGCAAAAGUCUUUUAGAAAUAGCAUUUUCAAUUGUAUAUGCGAUGUAUAUAUCAUUGGGAGUUAAACACAAUUUGUACAAUUCAUUGGACAUAAUGUAUUACUCAACCUUAUUUGAAUUAAAGAACACAAAAAAUAACUUCUUUUUUUAAUUUCAAAAACUAGCUAUAUAUAUUCAUACAUAAUAUGGAAACUAAGUUCCAUCACAAAGAAGGUAUAUAAAAUGUGUUUCUCAACAUCGGAUUAAAAAUGAAAUCUAGAAUUAAAAUGAUAUCUCUAAUGAACUCAACGUCAACUUUGUCGUUGUUUUCCACGGUGAGCUAUUAUUCAUCAUGAUUUGACUUCCUUAGAUUUAUGAAUCUCUGUAUGGUAAACAUGACAAAUUUAUUGAACCACUAUCUACCCACCAUGUACUAGAAGGGCUUAUGAUAAGUAUUGGAUUCAUAAACAAUGCCAAAGAAUCAUUACCUACUGGCUCAUGCUUGGAUAACCAAAAUUUUGUAUAUUUACCACAAUCUAUUUUGAUGUGGUCUUUCUUCUUUAAAAAUAAAAAUAAAAAAAGCAACGGUCUCCAUACCUUGAAGGAUGUUUUCUUAGGACCCGGAUUGUCAGAAUGAUUGGUAGUUUCGUGAGUUCCUUUAUGAGUAUAAUUUUUAUAUUUCAAAUCUACCAUCCUUAGAAUGUAAUCUCUAAUUUCAUCAGAACCAUCAUACCUUAUGUUGAAAAGUCAUUGUAGAUGUGUCCUAAUUUUGGCAUUAGAUAAUACAUAAUUUUAAGCUAUCAAAGCUUUUAUCAUCCUUUUUAACAGUGCAGUCAGUUAGUAAGUCAUUUUCGAGUGUUCUUGAAUGGAAUGCUUCAUGAAUAAUAGGCAAAUCCAAUUACUUUUUUCUCAAAAAAAAAAAAAAUCUUUCCAUUACUUGAAGUUUGAACCGGUAAGAACCUCAAUAGUAAUUGAGUUAUUAAUUACAGGUAAGAUGAAUAAAAUAACAAAUAAUGUAUAAUUAGUAUCAUAUGAGUAAUGUGUAAUUUGAAGACAUAUAAGUACACAUCCAGAGAGUUACAUGCAUCAUCACAAAAUUACUUUUGGGCAGAAUAAAUGACAUGUAUUUGUGUACUCCUCAUAUGACAACGGCCAUGAGAAUAUAUUCCAACCUUUAUGAAUACAUCACUUUUAGGUGUAUGAAUUUCUAAGAUUAGUCACUCCUCCACCAUACUGUUAUGUAUUUAUCCAUGAACUAAUACACAAUCAUCUCCUUUGAGAGUAUGACCACGCAUUAGAAUAUGAGACAUCUCAUUAUUAUAUGAGAUCAAUAAUUCUCAAAUCCAAUCAAGUGUGUCACUUUAGCAGUCACAAUUCAAUUGAAUCUUCGAAACACUCUUAUACCAAAGAUAUAAACUUUAUUUCUUGCAUACAUCAUAUAUGUGAUUUUAACCUUUGUGACAUGGAUAAUUUGUCACUAAAAUCACAUGUCAUGCCAAUUAUAUAUCUCCAUUUAAUGAUAUAUGUUGAAUCUUAUUAAUGAAUCAAUGCUCUACACAUUUUUUAUGUGAAGAUAUUCAUGUGAGUUUGCACUUGUAUUUCCAAAAGCAUAGGAAAGUAGAGAAAAAAAAUGCAGAAAUACCCUAAAAAUACCAACAAAAAAAAACACAUGUAUUUAAGGUUUCAUACAUAUUUCCACAUCUAUAAAAUUACGCUUAUACAAUAAGUAGGUGCACUUAUCCCAUAUAAAGGAAAGUUUUUAUUUGUCACUUGCCAUUAAUGGUGAGUUCAUUUUUUCGAGUUAGUUACUCCUAUUCAGCCUAUACCCAAUAUGCAAAUAAAACUCAUGCAUAAGAAUUUUUUUUUCUGCAUUAAUGAUGUCUACUAGAUGGAAAUUAUUGGGGUAAUGCCAGAGAAUACUACCUUUCGAUAGAAUAUAUUAUAAUGUAUUUUUCCUAAUAUCUAAUCCAAUAGGAGAAAUAGAGAGUAAUCUUUAAAAAAAAAAAAAUUCAAAUUUUCAUUUCCAAACUUCUUGACCUAUAUAUAUUUAUAUAUAUUUACAUAUUUUCUUGAUAUAUAAACAUUCUAUGCUUUAUUUGUUUUACUUGAAAUCUGAGCAAGAAGAAGUUCACUCAUCAUGUUCAUUAUGAAGUCACUUUACGUAGACUUGGGAAAAUUCUUGCACAUUUCUCAUUAGUGGAACCAAAGAUCAUGUCAUUUACAUAAGUUCGCACUAACAAAAUAUAUUCAUCUUUCUUCUUUAUUAACAAAGUUGUGUUUAUUUUACUUGUUUCAAAACUGUAGUCAAUUACAAAAUUACAUAAUAUCUCAUACCAAGCAAGGAGCUUGCUCGAGACCGUGUAAAGCUUUUCAGAGCUUGUAAGCACAAUUUUCUCAUCUAGGAUCUUCAAAGUCUGGUGAUUGCUCUACAUAGAACUUUAUCUUUAAUAAAACAAUCUAGAUAGAUACUAUCACAUUCAUUUGAUAUAAGUUGGAAUCAUAAUAACAGGUAUAGCAAAUAAUAGAUGUAAAUCACCCAAUGAGUGCACAUGUCUCAUCAUAAUUUAUUACUUCUUCUUGAGAAUAUCCUUGUAGAACAAGUUUAGCUUUAUUUUGUACAACUUUACCUUUCUUGAGGUUAGUUUGAUGUAUACGAAACAUGUCAAAAAAAGUUUCUAAGGUGAAAUGAAAACUAUGUGAAUGUAAAAAAAUAUAUUCCUUUCUUCUCUCCUUAGUGAAUUGGUAGGACUAAUUACACCGAUUUGCACUGGUGGAUAGGUAUGGAUUCACGGCAUGAGGAAUCUGCGCCCCAUGUUGCCUUACCCCAGACAUGGCAAAUUCUCCCUGUGAAAAAUGCCUAGCAUAGGAGAAAAUGACAAAUACUACUAUAAAAACUACGUAGUCCACUCAAACUAAAGAUUAUAUUACUUGAAAUUGUUGUUAUAUUAAGUUGAGAAUCAGGAUUAUCCAGCAUUUUACGAUAAAUGUUAUAUAGUUAAUCAUAACCUUAAGUUGAAGAUUCAGGUUUAAUGGUUCCUGAUCAGCUUUCGCGCACCAUGACUAGUGCACCUCCUCCGAUGAUUUUAAGGUCGCCCUCCCUCACAUCGACUCGGUGCAUACGAUUUUCUGUGGGGUUAAAUCUAACAUCACAAGAAGAGCAGACUUUUUUGCCAUCUGACUUAACACCUUAUUGGUUCGUUCAUGUUCUAUUUACUUAAAAGGUCUUACUUUUUACUGGCAUUUAACUCAAGAAAAGAUAAUUUACCAGGGUUUGUCAAUCAUCCACGUUCAAUUUCAUUAUAUGUAUGGUCUAUUGAUUGCAAGCGACUAGCAUGGUAAUUAUCUGAAUUGAUCUUCACUUUUUAAUUAAUCUAAAUCUAAAUCUAGCAAUUCACAAAUGUUGACCUUUUUCUCUAAUUUGAAACUUUUAGAAUAGUUAAAUGUUGACACGUGAAUUCACAUGUAAAUUUUUCAUGACAUUUAUAAUAUAAUAAAUUUUAGCAAAAAAAGUAAAAAAGAAGUACUCUUUACUUUUAUCUAAGGGUGACCAAUCCAAUCUUAGGGUGCCCCAUUCAUAACAUAUUUAUCGUGACUAAUUUGAAGUUUGCAUUUUAUUUUUGAGCAUUGGGUGAGUCGGAGUCUGGUAUGCCAAACAUGAAUCGAUAGAUCAUGAAUGGGCAUUCAUUCAUGGUAAUCUUCAUGAAUGGGGGGGGGGGGGGGGGGCAUUCAUUCAUGAUAUAAGUGAUAUUUACAUUGACGAAACAUGGGCAUAAGAAUAGUAUGAUUGCUAAAACUUUCGUACGGCGCUUACUUGAAUGCAAAAACUUUUUGUUUCACUCACUUGAGUGCCACAUCGGAGAAAAAUCGAUUAUUUCAGUGUCAAUUCCAACCAAAAAUUUUAUGUGGAUUUUUUUUUUGUAUUUUUUAACAUUUUUUAACUUUUUAUUUUUAUAUUUAUUUUGUUUUUGUUUUUUUUUUCCUUUAGGACUGACAAGGGUCACCAGCAACCCUCGUCAACUGUAGCAACCUUGUCUAUAUUGGGUGAGAGCUGCUUCACCCUUGGCCGUGAAGGCCCUAGACGAGGCUGCGUGUGACACCGCCCAGAGCAAGUGAAGGUUAUCACAGCCUCUCCAGUGAUGGGCGAGGCUGUCGAGGCCUCACUGAUCGCUAGCAAGGCCAUGAUGACCCUCGCCCACUUUGGGCAAUGUCACUCAUGGCCAUCCAGAGCUAGACAUUGCCUAGAGCGGGCGAGGGACGUCGUGGCCUUGCCUAGGGCUUUCGCGACUGAGGGCGAGACGGUAAAAAAAAGCAAAAUAAAAAAUAAAAAAUUCAAAAAAUAUAAUAAUAAAAAUAUUAAGAAUAAUUAAAGAAAAUUUCCCGCAGCCACAUUGUAAAAUCUACAGAAUAAGUGGAAAUGUGGUAUUAGAAUUGUGGAUGGUGAAAUUGUUAUUUAGUUAGUUACUUGUAAAUAGCGAUACGGCCACUUGUGACAUCUAAAAAACAACUGCCAACUAUUAUUGAGUCUGUGGAUGGUGAAAUUGUUAUUUCUUUCAUGAAUUACAAAUAGUUGGCUAGACUAAUAAUAAACAGUCACAUUUUACGAUUGACCAUCAAUAAUUCAAAUUUAUUAUUAAAAUUUGCAUGUGUAAACACAUAACGAAAUUCUUUUUUUGGUAAAUGGAAUUUUUGAAAUCUACCUAGAUUAAGUGGAAUUAACCGCUGUCUCCCAUAGUCAGAUAAGUACAAAAGAAAUGUCCCAAAAUCAACACCAAUAUUGCCACUACAAAAUGAUUGAGACUAUAAUUGAUGUAGAAAUACUUUUCACCGUACAAGUCAUUUAAUAUCUUCCUUUAAGUACAUCAAUAUUGCCACUAACUGGUCAGGUAUCUGGCCAAAGUUUGAACAUCCGUGUUCUUCUUCCAAUUUUGCCUUCAAGUUUCCUCGGUGCCCUCGGCAAGAGUUUAUCUUUGUUGUCACUUCAUUUGCCCGGUGUCAGAAGCAAAAUUCUAGAGCAUAACAGUGGUAUGUGGACGUCAGUGGUUGGCCUUUAGCUUUCCUUGUUUGAGUUACAUAUUAAGGUAUACAAAAAAUCGAUCAGCUCGUCCUUAAGCAAUUUCUUUGCCCUCUCUUUCUUUUUUAGCAGACAGAAGUAGAACAGGUGUGAAUCUUUAGGUGUAGUGAAAUUUAACUUCAGCUUUUCUAUUGAGUUGCAGUCGGUAUGAACGAUUCUUGCUUUUCCUUUGUAUUUUGCCAUGGCAAUGAAUCGAUUCACAUGAAUUCAUUGGAUAUAGUCGACCCAAAAGUUUCAAUACCCUUAUAAUUCAGAAAAGGAAAUUUAUCUUAUCUUACUAAAGAGGUCCAAAAAUAUAAAGUCAUUUUCAGUAACUAUAGAGUAAGAAUUCAACUUGGUUUAGAACGGCGACAGAUAUAUAAACCCCAUUAAUGUGUAUAUUUUCAUGGUUAUUAGGUAAACUGGUAAUAGUAAAACUUGAAUCUCAACAUUUGGAAAAAUACUUUGCCAAAAAUUAAUGUCAGUAUAAUUUACAUCAACAAACAAAUGAAAAGUACAUUCUUCAUCAAUGAAAAUAUUAGGCAUAAAUUAUUAAUAAUGAAAACAUUUUGAAUAAAAUCAACGUCAUGAAAAAUGAUCGCUCAUAUCAUUUGUGAAAAUAACUUUAGACGUAAAAUGUUGUUGAUUAUGAAAAUAUUUUUUAUUGAUUAAUUAUUCUAAGCGAUGUAUAUAAUUAUUUGUUGACCAAAUAUUUUUUAAAUCAUCUAUUAUUUAUGACAUUGAAAAAUCCUGAAUGUGAAAGUUUGUUAACUUCUGUCAUAGGUAAUUUACACGCAAAAGAUACAGUUUCGAUGACUAUCGAUUAAAUUUGUCACGUCGGGAAUGUCAUAUUCAAAAUUUACGCAAUUUUGGGGUCUAUCCUCGUUUGUCCCUUGUAGUCACCUUUUCUUGGGACCCCAAGCGUCUUUUCCUUUCACACCACCAAACACUUGGGUUGCAGUAAACGUCGAUGCGAACACAAUUUUUGGGUCUAAUCCAAAUUUUCUCUUUAAGACCCUUUUUGGUGGACCCCAUGCGUCUUUUUUCACCACACCAAACAUUUGCGAGCCCCGUGUCUGUACGUUGAUUGCAGAAGCAAAUCAAAAAAGAUUUCAGCAUUUUAUGUCCAGUUGCCCUCUCCAUAGUUCCGUAUCGCAAUUAUAGGGAUAAGAACGCUUCAAGUGCCAAAAGUUGGCACAAAUAGACACUUAAGUGCCAAAAGUUACGAAAGGUACAUUUAAGUGUCACAUUCGAAGAAAAACGGAUCACUUAAGUGCCACUCCGGCCAAAGUCCGGCCAAAAGGCUGACGUGAUAUUUUUCCGACAAAUUUCCGGCGAAGUGAACCCAAAACGACACUGUUUUGCAUGCUGACGUGGCAAAUAAUGCAAAAACGGCAUCGCUUUGGGUUGACAUGGAAAAAAAUAAUAUAAAAAUUAAAUAAAUUUAAUUUAACAUUAGAUUUAGUUAAAAUAUUAAAAAAUAAUAAUUUUAAAAUUACAUUUAGUUAAAAUACUAAAAAAUAAUUUUAAAAUUAAAUUUAGUUAAAAUAUUAAAAAAAUAAUUUUAAAAUUAGAUUUAGUUAAAAUAUUAAAAAUAAUAAUUUUAAAAAUAAAAAAUUAUAAAAUUAGAUUUAGUUAAAAAAUUAAAAAAAUAAUUUUAAAAUUAAAUUUAGUUAAAAUAUUAAAAAAAUAAUUUAGAAAUAAAAAUUAAAAAAAAUUGAAAAAUAAUAAUUUUAAAAUUAGAUUUAGUUAAAAUAUUAAAAAUAAUAAUUUUAAAAAUAAAAAAUUAUAAAAUUAGAUUUAGUUAAAAAAUUAAAAAAAUAAUUUUAAAAUUAAAUUUAGUUAAAAUAUUAAAAAAAUAAUUUAGAAAUAAAAAUUAAAAAAAAUUGAAAAAUAAUAAUUUUAAAAUUAGAUUUAGUUAAAAUAUUAAAAAAUAAUAAUUUUUAAAAUAAUAAUUAAAUUAAAAUAUUUUAAAAUAAUAAUUUUAAAAUUAAAAAUUUUUAAAAAAUGGGGGUGGUGGCUAGGCUGCCCUCAGCCACCGCCCCCCCUUUUUAUUAAUUUAUAAAUUUUUUAAAUUUUUUUAAAAUUUUUUUAAAAUUUUUUAAUUUAAAAUUAUUAUUUCUUUAAUAUUUUAACUAAAUUUAAUUUUAAAAUUUUUUUUUUAAUAUUUUAACUAAAUCUAAUUUUAAAAUUAUUUUUUUUUUAUUAUUUUAAAAUUUUUAUAUUUUUAUAUUUUAAUUUUACAAUUUUUUAUUUUUAAAAUUAUUAUUUUUGAAUUAUUUUAACUAAAUUUAAAUUUAAAAUUAUUUUUUUAAAUUUUUUUAAAUUUUAAAUUAUUAAUUAUUAAUAUUUUAACUAAAUUUAAUUUAAAAUUAUUAUUUUUAAAUAUUUUAACUAAAUGUAAUUUUAAAUUUAUUAUUUUUUUAAUAUUUUAACUAUUAAAAUUAUUAUGUUUUAAUAUUUUAACUAAAUCUAAUUUUAAAUUUAAUUUAUUUAAUUUUUAUAUUAUUUUUUUAUCACAUUAGCCCAAGACGACGCUGUUUUUGUAUUAUUUAGCCAUGUCAGCGUGCAAAACAGCGUCGUUUUGGGCUUAGUUCACCGGAAAAAUGCCACGUUGGCAUUUUGGCCGGAUUUUGGCUGGAUUGGCACUCAAGUGAUCCAUUUUGCUCCGAUUUUGGCACUUAAGUGUACAUUUCGUAACUUUUGGCACUUAAGUGUCCCUUUGUGCCAACUUUUGGCACUCCAGGGUUCCUUGUCCCUUUUCACCGCAAUUAUAUAUCGCUUGAGACUUCAAAUAACGUCUCGGUAGCACAAAUGGAUGUCGCCUUCGAAGGAUCAAACCGUACAAGAUCUUGCGGACACUGGUCAUAUCUACUGGGAUUGAUGCGACCGCAACUUUUUGGGUCUUUCUUGCCUGAAAUAAACACCCUUGAGUAGCUAGAGGAAGCCUAUAGAGCGAGAGACAACUCUCUAUAGAGAACUCACGUCGUCGUGAAUGGAGGCACCGUAAAGUCGACCACUGAAAGUAGAACAACGGACGAGGUAAUUUGGACGAACAAUUACAAUAAGGGAAAAUGUCGCAAAUGGUCCAUGAACUUUUAUUUAAUAUUCAAUUUUAUCAUUGAACUUUCGAUUUGCUCAAUUUGAUCUCUGAACUACCACUUAAUGUAUGAUCUCGUCCCUAGACUUUUAAUUUAUUUAAUUUGAUCCAUGAAUUAUCGAUAAAUAUCUAAUCUAGUCCAUGACUAUUUGAAAAUUAACCAAUUCCGUCCUUCUGUUAGUUAAAGUUAACGAAAUUGGCUUCCAUAGCUUUUAGUCUCUUCAAUAUAAAAUAAAAAAGGACAUGUGGAAUAUCCACAUGGAAAUUACCUUUGAAACAUGUCAAAUUGUGGCCACCGUCCAAAAAAAAAGAUACAAAACCAUUUCUUCUCUUUGCUUUUGUGAUCAGUGCUCUGAUCUCUAGCUGACCGCUAAUUUGUUUUCCUUUUUAAAGAUAUAUAUUGAAUCAUAAUUCUAGUAAUCCAACUUAGUUCCACGUCAUCAAUUAAUGUUCCACGUCAUCACUUAAAGGUUUGAACAAACGGAAUGACUAGAUGGAAUAUUUGUUAAUAGUUCAUGGACCAAAUUGAGCAAAUCGAAAGCUCAGAAACGAAAUUGGUCAAUCUUCAAAUAGUUCAGGACUAGAUUGGACAUUUAUCGAUAAUUCAAGGACCAAAUUGAACAAAUUAAAAGUUUAGGGACGAUAUUGCACAUUAAGUGAAUGUUUAAGGACUGUUUGUGACAUUUUCCCUAAAAUGAAAGAGGCCAAACGAGUGAGGGCACCCGGUCGACUGUCAUACAUUUUGAAAAAGAAGGUAUCGCAUUAAACAAUGUCUCAGCUUCCCCCAACUAUUCUCAUUUAAUCUCUGUGUCUCUCUCAACUACCCUUAUUAAAGCAAUCUUUUGAUACUUAUAUGUUUGUGAGUCCCUCUUCAUUUCUAGAAGAGGGACUCAUCACAUUCAAGGCCAUCUCAACUCCCACAACUACCCUCAAUUACUCAUGAAGAGGGACUCAUCGCAUUCAAGGCCAUCUCAACUCCCACAACUACCCUCAAUUACUCUUAUCUCCCUCUCUCACAACUACCCUAAUUAAUGCAAUAUGUCAUAUAUCUAGAGGGUUGUCCAUCAGCAGCGAAAGAAAGGCUAUGGAGACUUGGAUAUUAGUGAUGGUGACUGAUUAGGGAACAUUAAAUUGUUAAAAAAAAGGGGGAAAAUCUCAAAUAAGGACUCAAAGUGAGCUUAUUUUCUGAAAUAAGGACCUGAAGUGACCGUUGUCCCAAACAAAGACCCGAAAUGACUAACAAGUCUCAAAUAAGGACCUAAACUUGCCGGCCUACCAAAAUGUUCAUCAGCAAGCGAGAGUGUGACAUUUCUGAUGGCCGGAAUAUGGGCAAUUUUGUCUAAAAAAAUAUAGAUAAAAAUUAACAAACCCUAAAAACCACCCCCCCAAACUCUUCACGUUCUUUUGACCUAAAAAGAAAAACUCUUCAUGUUCUCACUUUUUUCUUCUUUUGCUCUUCAUCUUCUCCAUUCUUUGUCCUCUCUCCUUAGAGCACGGAAAUUUUCUAUUAAUAGAACACGAAUUGAAACACAACAAGAAACCCCUACCUUCGUUUCUUCUCAUCUUCUUCUUUUGUUCUCUGUCUUCAUUUCUUUCCAACGAAGAAGACAAAUAUUGAGUAAAGCCACCUUUUCGUUAUUAAGACACUCGUGUGUAACACGAGGACCUUGAUUCUUCAUUGUCUUUUCCUAGGUUCGCCAAACACUUUGAUUCACACUCCCAUUCAAAUUUACCAUAAAAAACCUAAACUGAUACACUUUUGAUAAAUUCACCCCAAACUGUUAUACCAGUGACGAAUUAACCCUAUGUUAGUUUCCAUUAAUUUUUUGUGUCAAAUUACUAAGUUGAAUGAUAUAUGAUAGUUGACUAAUAUACCAAUUUUCGAUUUUAUUCUCUGUUUGUUACAUUUAUACAAUUUUUAUGAUUUUUUGUGAUAUUAAUCUAAUAUAACAUAUGGUAUAUUUAUCAUAAAUGUACCAGUUUAGGAUUUUUAGCGGUUGAAUAAAUUAGUUUAUGGUAAAUUUAUCACAAAUAUAUCAAUUUGAGAUUUUUUAUUAUCAAUCGAGAUAAAUUUGAUACAGAUAUAUUAAUUUGGAAUUUUUUAUGAUCAAAAAAUUAAUUUGAAGUAAAUUUAUUAUAUGUAUAUCAGUUUAAAAUUUUUCAGGAUAUUAAUUAUUAUCAAAAUUACAUGAUAAAACCAGAGCAACGAUCCCAACGAUUCCGAAUUCACAAAAGUCGAAACCUUAAGCCUCAUUUGUUGCUAUGUUUAUGGGAGGAAAUCAAAUUAUGGCCAAUGGGAAUGGAACGAAAGACCUCGACGGCAGUUGCAAAGUGGUUAGGAGUUCACUUCAAUCAGCCUCCACAGCAUAAGGCUAUUAAUGCACAUGACAGAAGAAGACGGAGAAGCAGAGGACAUCUAGCUAUCGAUAAUAGCGUAGGGUAUAACAGACAAUAUUUUGAAGAAAAUAAAUGAGAACAGUCACCCUUAUUUCUCCUUUCUUUUUUAUCUUUUGUUUUUCUUUAGAGUAAGCACUCAACACGGCAUAGGCAUUUGAAUUUUUUUUUCCCUAAAUGAAGGGGGAGCAACUCGCAUUUGCAUUGUCCGUUUUGAAAUAUAAGGAUCGGACUAGUAAGUAGUAAGUAGCUUACGAUCAAAUCUUUGAUACUUUAACUCGUUUACAUGUAUAAUAUUUUCGUGUCAAUUAUAUAAUUUGUGUGGUUAAUAUAAUCAUGUUACGUGAUUUUAUAGCUUGAGACUUACAAUUAGCAAGUUAGUGAUGAUGGGAGUUUUUGUGCUACUUAUGUAUUUGAGUUCUCAAACUUUUAUUUCAUUCGUCUAAGAAUUGAAAAUUGCAUUAAAAAGCAUGUGAGAGAUUCAGGUUGCUCUAUCGAUUUCUAAUGGACAGAAAUCACAUCCGGCUUAUUUCAUUCCCUUUAGAUGUGUUAACAUAUUGUGUGAGUAUGUACGUCUACAUGAUCAUGAAUUAAACUUGGAGACGUGCAAGUGGUCUCGGUUUUUGCCGGUUAGAACCAAUUGUAGUUUUGUGGUUGUUUUUGGUAUCCAGCUUGCUAGAUAAUGCAUAUUUGGUGAUGUGGUUGACUUUUGGCAUGCUUAGAGCUUAUACUUGAUAAUAUGUGAAAUUGAUUACUUAAUUGUGCAAUUGGGUUCUUGGUUGUUGUUAUGGACUAUUAUUGCAAAAAAUGGAUUUUGGUAUUUAAAUAGAAAAAUACCGGGUGUCGAUUUUUGACGCCAAAAAAUGUUUAUAUAGUAUAUGAAAUCGUGGAAUUUUGAAAUGAGAGGGUACCAUGCUUACUGGUUCGAUUUAAAUGCGUGAUCAUGCACGAUUAUUUUAUUGGGAUGAUUUUUAGUACAAAGAAAAUGGGUCAAGUGUUUGAUGUGUGUGUGGUCAAGUAUUUGAAAUUGAGGUAUUUGAGUGCAAAGCAUGAUAUUUUUGGCCAAGUAUGGAUGUGUGUGUGGUCACUAUCAGAACCUGUCACCCAACGAGAGUUUGGAGACAACGCCCAAUUUUAUCGGAUGCCCGAUAGGAGUUCGGAAGCUGGUCGGGGUGGAGGCCGGACCGAUGCCCCUUUUUGGGAUGUCAUCUAGGCAGGAGUUCUAGACAUUGCCCUGCUUGAUUGGACGAGACGACGCUCGGUUAUGCUGAAUGACCGUCGACUGGGGAGUUGGCCGUGACCGAUGGGUCGUAAGAACUGGAAUCUGCAUAAGUGGUUGAGAUAGCUGUGCCUUAUUAUGGGGUAAAAUUGUGUGGCACGGAAUGAGACGCGUAAUAACGAUUUUACCUUAUAAUUGGGACCCAUGUGAUUGGUUGUGAUGAAAUGAUAUGUUCCAGUUAUUGAUUAUGCUUGCUGUGUUUAUAAGUGUAUAUUUGACGCACUAAUCUACAUGGACGUGCUGACGCGAGGUAAGUUUUGUGUAACACCUGUUUAGGUUGCCUCUGAGUGAAUUCUCGUCCUAAUCGAGGUUUAGGGUGUUAACUCACUGAUAUUUUUAUCUCACUCUGUCGUGGUUAAAUAUUUUCAAAUCCUUAGAUGGAGAACUUGAGGCCCGAGGUUGAAGGGUUCGGAGCAUAGGUGGCUCAAUAGUCCUCGUUAGGUCGGACUUAUGUGUAUAGACCUAUAAGACUAAUUUGGCUUGUAUAUAAAGUGUGUUUUGUGAAAAUUGGUUGUCCUGCUUUUCUCUCACAUGUUUGAUUAUUGUUUGGGGUUUAUUAGUUCGCUUCCACAUGUGCAUAAAACGAAAGGGUUGGCGACACGUCCUGGGACAUCGCAAAUUUUAGUCGAUCGUCGAGAGAUAUGCGCGUGCCUGGGGUUCAGGACGUGACAUCACCGCUCGAAGUGGUAUCAAAGCUGGUUAGUGUCUGGAGUGAUAAGGUGCGAUGGGUCAUGGAAUAGUUAGUAGGAAAGACUUUUUCCUUGUUGACACCUAAAUUUUUACAUAAAAAAUGGGUUAAUUUUUACCCCAAAAAAAUAAAUAAUAAAAAUUGCACGACAUAUAGUUUAGAAACAUUUAUGUUAUUUUGUGUUAUUUUAUUUUAUUUUAUUGGACCAACGGUGAGGGCAAGAUUUUUCACAUAUUCCGCUAAGAUUUUUCACAUAUUCACGUAAUAUACACUGAGGGAGAUAUUUUGAACAGAAAGGAAAUUUUCGGAUGGAAUAUUCGAAAAAUAUAAAAGAGAAUAUCGCGCAGGGUGUAAUGAUAUAUUCAGGAGAUUAUGCGCAAGCAAAAUUGGAAACAAAAUGUGCAACAAAGAUUUAAAAUUUUCCCCUAUAAAAGGUGUGGUGUGUGUACAGAGACAGGGGGAGAAAAAUUCGAAAAAAUUUGAGAGCAAAUACAUAGAGAGGUUUUUUUUUUUUUUUUAGGGGAAUUUUGAAAAAAGGGGAGGGGAAGAGAGUGUACGGCGUCGCUAAAAAAAGAGAAAAAGGAAACCUUAGCCAACUGUUCAUCUUCUUCGGAGGCCCCCGACCGCACCGGCACUGCGACGCCGGUCUGCUCGCCUUCGCCACGUUGCGCCGCUGGUCUCGCAAAGCCAUCUGCACCUCGUUCUUCUCGCCAACAGAGAUCUGCUCGUGACUCGACUCCGACGCCACAGCCGCUUCCCCAAUCUCGCCUCCGAGCGCCAUCGCCUCUGCAUGCGCCUUCGCUUUGCCUACAGCUGCAUCAAUAGCGACAACCUGACGCUUCUACUACCUCACCGACCGAGAUCCCCGCGACCCAACGCUCGACGUUCCCUGCUCCAACCAACACCCGACGCCGGCAGAUCUGGGUCGAGCUCGCCUCUGCUCGUGACCUAGCACCGACGCCCAGCAACACCACCGGAGCCCGACGCUGUGCCUUGGUGACCUCCACGUCCCCGCUGUCCCUACUCGCCGUGCCGACGCUACCCGGAGCUGAAGACUAGCGACCCGACAUUGCAGCCCAAGUUGCUCCUCCCUCGCCGCGUGCUGCUUCCCCCUUGCUGGACCUUCGCCAGAGCUCUGACCGCGACGCCCCUGUUGGAUCUCCGAUCAGCCACCCUUGGCUAGGCCCCACAGUCGCCAAGCCCAAUUUUGAAAAAAGGAGAAAAAGAAAACACAUUAGGUAGUUUUUUCUUUUUUUGUUUAUUUUAUUUCUUAUUUUUAUUUUAUUUUACUUUAUUUUGUUUUUUAGUAUAAUUAGUCUUUAAUAUAUGAUUGAAAUUCCAACAUACCUAAUUCGCAACCGCGUUGGGUUUUUUAUUCCAUCUAUAAGGCUUAAGAUGAAAUAAUUAAUCAAGCGGGAAUAAAAUUGAUAUUUUGAUCUUUAAGGCUUAAGAUCAAUUUAUCGAUUUUAUUAGCGAGAUAUCAUCCCUUGAUCUGAACAAUGUAUGAUACCUGUGGUGAUUUUGAAUGGUUUGUCUUGUCUUGAUUGCUUUAUUUAUCUUGAAAUAUGUUUGAGUUAGAAUAUUGCAUGCUUUAAGGUUAUUUGCAUAUUUAAAUUAAGCAUUUUAUUUAUCAUGAAUUGUCGAAAUAAAAGAAAUAAAAAACAUAAAUUAGGGAUGUUAGAUUUUUGUUUCAUUAGGUUAAAUUGCAUGUUUAAUUAUUUGACAUUUUUUUAAUUUCGAAAUUAAUUAAAAAAAAACAAAAAUCAUCAUGCAUAUGUCAUGUAGAAUUAGGAUACCCUUUGUAUGUGAUUGCACAUUAGGAUAAAAUUACAUAUUUCAUUUUAAGUUUUGAUUGAUUUAGAUAGACUGCAUCUUGGGUUAGAGAUUGUUAAGUUAAGAUAAUAUCUUGGUUUAAAUUAGGGUUUAGCCUAACCUAAUCCUUAAUAUAAGUUGGAUAGAAUAUUAAUUUAGUUAGAUAAUUUUCAUAGUUUUCUAAUUUCGAAUUUCAUAAAAAAAAUACAAAAGUGUCUUUGGAUAAAUUAGUUUCAAUCUCUAGGAUAGAUUGCAUUUUUUUAAAGAAAAAUAAAAAAUAAAAAAUGCCAUUGCAUGUCAUUUAGAAUUAGAUUCAUGAAAUGCGUGUCAUUUAAUGAUUGUUGCUAGGUCCAUUUAAUUAGAAAUUGCUUGUCAUUAGCAUUAGUUCAUUUAGUUAUAUUGCAUUGCAUAAAACAUGAUUCUCAUUAAUUAAAUGAAAACAAAAAGAAAUUGUGUGUUAAUUAGAAAUCAUAUCUAGGGUUGAUGAUGUGAAUUAUGAUCUAACGAUGCAGAUGCUUUUGUUGCUACAAAGUAAGUCCCGUAAUUUAUCCAUUGUUUUCUUGGGUGUUAAAUUUGUGGUUUGCGCACCUGCAUAAUCACCUCACAUGUUAGAGAAAUAGAUUUAAAAUCAAUCCAAGCUGCAUUCAAAAAUAUUUUUGAAAAUAAAAAGAAAUGGUACCGAAAGGGCAUUAGAGAAGUCUAGUGUAAUCAAGUCCUCGUACCGAAAGUCUUUGGUUUGUAGGAGUAAAAUAAUCCUCCCAUUAUUUUACUUAGGUGUCUAAUCAAUCUAUCAUAAACUAAUUAGUAGUGACUCCUAGAUAAAAUCCAUUUGCAUGUUAAGAAAUUUUAACUAAGUCGCAAAUUGGUAUGAGCUUGGGAGAGCCCGAGCUAAGUUUAGGCUUAAUAAUCCAUUAGCCUAAUUUUAGGUGGUGCACCUGAAAUUUUGGUCGCGACAUUCCUUAUGCGUCUGCCUAUGAUUGAUUGAUUGAUUGAUUUGUGUGGGUCAUUUAAAUUUCUAAUUAUGUAUGGAAUUGGAAAGCAAGUUCUAUAGAGAUCCUGUAGAAUGAGCGAUCUGGAGUAAAGGACUCAUCGGAAGAGGACUGUUGCGUUUGUCUUUUGGGGUAGAACGCCGACUAGGGUCGGUGCCCGAGGUAGAGCGCUGGCUCAGGCCAGCGUGAAAGAAAGAGUACCAUCGCAGGCUAGUACUAGUGUAGCAACACCCGGCGAUCCUAGAAUAGAUGAGAUCAUUCAGGCGCUUGAGACAUUAGGUAACUUGAUGGGUUAGCAAGCAUAGAAUGAAGCCGCUGCUACCACCGCUGCCAUUGCUGCCGCCAAUGCCGCUGCCGCUACUGCAGCCACACCUGCUGAAGUCCCGCCUGGGAAUGUGAUCAGGGAGUGACUGAUGCAUAAGUUAGUAUAGCAAUUUCUGAAGCUAAACCUGUCGAGGUUCUCAGGAGCAGGCAAUCCUGAGGUUAUAACCCUUUGGAAAUGCAAGCAUCUGGUGGCGAGCCACAAGAGUGUUUCCUGAAGGCAUGGUCCUGGUGUGGAACACUUUCGUUGAAGUCUUCAAUGGGAAGUACUUUUAUGACUGUGCCAGAGAGCAGAAGAUGGCAGAGUUUCAACAUCUUCGUUAGGGUCUGAUGUCUAUGGAUUAGUAUGAGGCAAAGUUCGCUGAACUGUCCCAGUACGCCCCCAGGCUGAUUGAGGAUCCAGUAGACAGAGUAAGGAGAUUCCAAGAUGGACCGAGACUGGAGUUAAAGGAUCUGUUGGUGCCGUUUAAUAUGAAGGAUUACAACAAUUUGUACGAAAAUGCACAGCUGAUUGAGAGAAACUUGAAUGAGCGAGCCACUGUGUUUGGGUCGUGGUUCGAGCCCAACAGAGAUGGUAAUUGGUUCGGGAAGAGGCCGAUGACUAGAGGAGAGUAUUCCAUUCCGCCCAACCGAAUGGGUGGAAUCGGAAAGCCAGCACCCAACCCGAAUGGCGUGUGUUGAAUUUGUAGAAGGAAGCAUGGACUAAUCUCGUGCCCUGGUAGAGCGGGAGUGUGUUACGGAUGUGGUCAGCACGGCCACCAGGUGAAGGACUGUACGCAUAGGUCCAGGGGAGCAUAGGCACCACAACCACAGAUAGGGUAUCACUAGGAUGGCGAAUGGGACAAGAAUGAACCGAGCUAUGCAUCGAUCAGGGGAAUAAUGUUUCUAGGAUAAUUUUGAUCAGAGUGGCACAGCGGAAAUAUAGUUAAGCUUGUAGAACUUCGGUUUACUGAAAUGAAAUUGUAGAAAGGAGAAUCACUGGUUAGAGUUGUACUCGACUAUUUUGCUUAUGUAUAACUUUGAUGUCAUAAAUGAAAAGGAGUGGCUCAAGGAGCAUCUUGUUGUAAUGGAUUGUUGUCAUGCAGUAAUCUACUUUAACCCGUUAGCGUGUGGAAGUUUUGAGUCUAUUGAAAACCGAGAAGGACCCUCGAUUACCUUAAUUUCAUCGCUUGAGGCAACCCGUUUGUUAGAAGUGGGUUGCCAAGGUUAUUUGGCAACUGUAGUGGAUACGACAGUUGAUGAGUCGAAGAUGGAGAACAUCGCCGUGCUACAGGAGUUUUCUGAAGUGUUUCCUGAGGAAUUACCCGGUCUGCCACUAGAAAGGGAGAUCAAGUUUGUGAUUGAGUUGGCCCUCGGGACAGAGCCAAUUUCCAAGGCUCCUUACCGUAUGGUGUUGUCAGAAUUGAAACAACUGAAGGUGCAGAUGCAGGAGUUGUUGGAUAAAUGAUUUAUAUGUUCCAGUGCAUCACCUUAGGGAGCACUAUUCCUGUUUGUGAGGAAGAAAUAUGGUUCGUUACGUCUUUGCAUCGACUAUUGACAACUUAACCAGGUGAUGAUCAAGGAUAAGUAUCCGUUGCCAAUGAUUGAUGAUCUGUUUGAUCAGUUAUAAUGAGCAUCGAUAUUUUCCAAGAUUGACUUAAGGACGGGUUAUCAUCAGCUGAGAAUUAAGAAGGAGUUAAACAUGAGACCGCGUCAUUGGAUGGAACUCCUCAAGGACUACGAUUGCGACAUUCUGUAUCAUCUCGAAAAAGCUGACAAAGCCGCAAAUGUGUUGAGUCGGAAGUCAUCGAUUGCGUAGAUGAUGGUUCAGAAGUGGACCCUACUGGAAGGAGCUCAAGAUUCGGUUUUCAAAUUUGAAGUAAGCUACCUUUCAAAUCUUAUGGCCACCCUCAGAAUUGAACCAAAAGUACAUAUAAGGAUUAAGACGUUGCAAUUGACAGAUCUUGAGAUCUAUAAGAUUCUGCAAGAGGAUGCAGAAAAGAGAAAGGCUGACUUUCAGAUUUCUGAAGAUGGAACACUAAAGUUUCGUGGACGAUUAUGUGUACCUGAAGAUGCAGAGGUUAAGGAGGAGAUCUUGCUAGAAGCUCAUCGUAGCAGUUAUUAGCAAAGUAUUCAUAUGUCACCAUUUGAAGCAUUGUAUGGUAGAGCGUGCAGAACUCCUGUCUGUUGGGACGAAGUUGGGGAGCAUAAGAUUACGGGCCCUGAGUUAGUCUAACAGUUAGUCGACGCCGUCAAAAUUAUUCAAGAAAGACUCAAGACUACUCAGAGUCGCUAGAAAAGUUAUGCAAAUAAGCGGCGAAGGCCAUUGGAAUUCCAAGUUGGGGUGAGUACGGAUUUCUUAAGGUGUCACCAAUGAGGGGUACUUCGCACUUCGGCAAGAAAAUGGAGUUAAGUCCGAGGUACGUCGGUUCCUUUGAAAUUCUGGAGUGAAUAGGGACUUUGGUGUAUCGUCUGGCAUUGUCACCAAGACUUGCUCAAGUGCACGAUGUCUUCCACGUGUUGAUGUUGAGGAAGUACGAGUCUGACCCGACCCACGUGCCGAGUUUUGAGGAAUUAGACGUGGAUGAAAGAGUGUUAUACAUGGAGAGACCGAUUUGGAUCAUGGAUUGAAAGGAGCAAGUGUUGCGUACCAAGACGAUCUCUUUAGUCAAAGUGGUCUGACAACACCACGGAAUAGAAAUAGUUACUUGGGAAAGCGAAAAAUCGAUAAUACGACAAUACCCCCACUUUUUUUAAGAAGAAUUGUAAUGAUUUAAAUUUCGAGGAUGAAAUUUUUAUAAGAGGGAGAGAGUUAUGACAUCCUGAAUUUUCAACUUCGUCCCAAUAAUAUAAAAUGGGUAUUUCGUUGACACGCCUAUGGUCCUUUUUUUCUGAGAUGAUCACUCAUGAGUUAACUAACAUAUUAGGUGAAACCGAUAAGAGAUAUAAAUGCAACAGACUUGAUAAUUUGAUUAGAAAUUGAUUGCUCGAUCGUGAUAAUUGACAAGGGUCAAUACGACACCAUUAUAAUCAAUUAAUGAUCAGAUAUAAGUCAAUUCGACGGAAGCACGUAAUUGAAUUAUGGAUGAUUCCACCUGAUUGCAAAAUUCGCGUCGAACGACACUAACUUAGUUUUCUGUUGAUUCUGUACUCAAUACCUGUAAUUGAAACCUUGCGAUUUUUGCAACAACCAAGAGUCGCAUUUGAGUUGGAGAUGCACAAAUGUGGAUCGAAAAUUAUCAACCACGGGUCAAAUGCGAUAAAAUCCCAAAAAGCUACCCGGUAGGUUGGGUCACGCUAAAUCGUGUCCGGUCGAUUUUAACCACGAAAUUGAACUCGGUUUUGAGAAUUGAACGUUCGAGCGUGUCGCGAUUUAUUUUUAGGAUCUUGUCUCAUCUUUUGAGAAAUUUCUGUUGAGCUGAGAAAGUUUACGGAAAAUCAAUUUCGAUAAAUUGGGAAAAGAAAGGAAAUUUGCAUGGGCUGAUUUGGUGUGAUUUUUGGCCACAUAAGUGAAUUAGUUUGUGAAGAAUUGAAGGGAAGUUCGUAUGGGCUUCUAUUAUUUGGUCUUCAAAUUAGCUUGUUUAGGAAGCUUUGGGAGGGAAAAAUGCCCAUUGGUUGCUGCCAAGACUUCAAGGGCAGAAGACUUUGAGGCACAAAGCACUCAAGUGAAAGAUAUUUCAAAUGGAAGAUAAAGUGGCUGCAUGCAAGACUUCUUGGCCCCCUUGUUCCCUCCUCUCUCUCCCUUCUUCUUCUUCUUCUUCUUCUAUUUCCCCCAUGUGCAGCCUUCUUCCAGCAGAAGCAACUUCAGCCUCUUCUCCGUCACUUCUUCUCCAUUUUCACUCCAUUUACUUGCUGCAACUCAGAGUCAAGCCAGAACCAACCAGCCACUAGCCACUAGCCCUUGCACCGCCCAGACUAGCCACCCGUGAGCCCGGUCCCCCUCGACCAGCCAGUCAAGCGACCAUCCAGACCAACCUGCGUCGCAGCCGCUUGGUCGACCGCCCGUCGUAACUGCUGCCGUCCCCUAGCUAGCUCAUCACGUCCACCGCUCCAGCCGCUUGUCCCCAUUGUUGCUUGCUCCCGUUCGGCUCAGCCAGCCACCUCGGCCCCCUCGACUAGCCCCUUAGGAGAACCGAAGUUCCAGCAGCAAGCCAUAAGCUUGUAAGGCUUUUUCCAUCACCGUUUGAACUCUGUUGGAGACACGGUUGUCUCGAGUCCUCAUUGCCUUCGUGUGGCUGUCACCGUGAACCCACCACCGUCGAAUUCCAGUGAGUUAACUCUCUAAUCAUUGAUUAGGUUGUUAAUUGUACUUAAGGGAUUAGAUUAGUACGGAUUAACUUAGUUAAAUUACUAUUAAGUGAGAUAAUCCUUAAUAUGGAUUAGUGUUAAUCUAGUUUGGUUAGAUUAGCACUAAUGAGGGUGGUUUACUCUAAUUUAGUGGAUUUCCCUCAGAUUUGGUUAUUGGACACUCGCCAUUUGCCAUUUUUGUGAGGAAAAAUAAGCUAUGAUUUUAAGAUUGCUUCCUUCUUGAGAAAUGUUCAAGACAUCUUUAGCUAUGACAUAUAUUUUACUAAAGAUUUCAUGGAAUUAAAAGAAUGAGAUUUCAGCUUCAUUAUUUGCAAAACAGAAUCUUAGAUUAUGCUGGAAUUUGUGACAUUUUGAUGUUCAAAGGAUUUUUAUCAAUUCUUAGGGUCUGAUUUUUUAAAAGAGUUUCUUCACAAACGUUGUUCAUCACGUUUUUUAGUUUAACAUAGUCAAAUUUCAGAUCAAACGGACAAGUUUUGGAUCUUGAACCAAACUGAUUUUGGAAAAUGUAAUUUCUGGAAACAAACACAAUUUUUGUAACGGUUUGAGCAAUUUACUUCUCUUAAUAUAGAAAGAUAUGAGUCAAGAUGUCUACAUAAAAAAUAUUCAUUUAUGUGUCCUUUACAACAUAUUCAAAUUUGAGAAAUUUUCAAACUCGUUUGAUUAGGUUUCUAGAAUUGAACUUGGAGACAUGCGAGUGGUCUCAAUUUCUACCGGUUAGGGCCGAUUGUAGUUUUGUGGUUGUUCUUGGUAUCUAGCUUGCUAGAUAAUGCAUAUUUGGUGAUUUGGUUGACUUUUGGCAUGCUUAAAGCUUAUGCUUGAUAAUAUAUGAAAUUAAUUGCUUAAUUGUGCAAUUGGGUUCUUGAUUGUUUUUUUUUUUUUUUGGGUGACCCAGGGAAGCUCGUACAACCAGUAGCCAGCGAGUAAACCCUAGGGUGACGCCAAGGAAACCACCACCCUGAUGCCACGGGUAAGUCCACAAAUGACGAUGCUGGGAUUUGAACUUGUCCCCGUCGUGAGGAGGACAAAGUCCGAACCAACGCCGCCACCACAUGGGGUGGUUGGGUUCUUGAUUGUUGUUAUGGACUAUUAUUACAAAAAUUGGAUUUUGGUAUUUAAAUAGAAAAAUACCGGGUGUCGAUUUUUUAUGCAAAAAAUGUUUAUAUAGUAUAUGAAAUUGCGGAAUUUUGAAAUGAGAGGGUACCAUGCUUACUGGUUCGAUUUAAAUGCGUGACCACACAUGAUUAUUUUAUCGGGAUGAUUUUUAAUAUGAAGAAAAGGGUCAAGUCCAUUAUUUAAAAUUGAGGUAUUUGAGUGCAAAGUACGAUAUUCUUGGCUAAGUAUGGAUGUGCGUGUGGUCACUAUUGGAACCUAUCACCCAACGGGAGUUUGAUGACGAUGUUCGAUUUUAUUGGAUGCUCGGUAGGAGUUUGGAAGCCGGUCACGAUGGAGGCCGAACCGAUGCCCCUUUUUAAGAUGUUGUCUAGGUGGAAGUUCUAAACGUUGCCGUGUUCGAUGGGAUGAGGCGACGCCCGGUUAUGUCAGAUGACCACCAACUGGGGAGUUGGCCUGACCAAUGGGUCGUAAGAACUAGAACAUGCAUGAGUGGUUGAGAUAGCUGCGCCUUAUUAUGGGAUAUAAUUGUAUGGCACAGAAUGAGACGUGUCAUAAUGAUUUUACUUUAUAAUUGGGACCCAUGUGAUUGGUUGUGAUGAAAUGAUAUGUUCCAGUUAUUGAUUACACUGUUACAUUUAUAAGUGUAUAUGUGACGCACCAAUCUACAAGGACGUGCUGAGGCAAGAUAAGUUUUGUGUGACGCCUAUUUAGGCUGCCUCUGAGUGAAUUCUCGUUCUAAUCGGAGUUUAGGGCGUUGACUCACUGAGAUUUUUAUUUCACCCUAUCGUGGUUAAAUAUUUUUAGGUCCUGAGAUGGAGAACUCGGGGCCCGAGAUUGAAGUGUUCAGAGCAUAGGUGGCUCAGUAGUCCUUGUUGGGUCGGACUUAUGUGUAUAGACCUGUAAGACUAAUUUGGCUGUAUAUAAAGUGUGUUUUGCUAAAAUUGGUUGUCCUACUUUUUUAUCCCAUGUUUGAUUGUUGUCUGGGGUUUAUUGGUUCGCCUCCGCAUGUGCAUAAAACGAAAGGGUCUGAUUAUUGGUUUGACCCGGACCCUAAAGAUCCAGGUUGGGUUAGGAUUUGGACUGGUUUCAAGGGCCCGGUCCUAAUGUGGUAAUGGCCCGAUGGACUUGGGCUAUAACAACGAUAUGAGCCAAGUUGUCAAUUUCGCCAUUUCUAGUCAUUCUAAGCCCAAUCAGCAUUCAGCCCACACGCUCAAUUCAGUCCAACUUAUUCUCUUAACCCAAUUUGCAUACUCGGCCCAAUUAAUUGAGCCCUUAACACCUCGGUCCAAAUCAUCGGACUUUCUAAUCAGCUCCUCUUUAAUUCAGCCUGGCCGGCCCCAACAAACAGAUCCCACCCAAGCUUCAUUAUGCAUUUUUUACAUUUUUUACAUUUUUUUAAUUUCUUUUUCCUAUAUAAUUUUAUUAUUUCCCUGCAUCUUCUUCCCCAAGAGCUCGUCGUCUUCUUCCCGAGCUUGCCUGCACCGAGAACGACGCCUCCUUCGGACAAGCUCCGGCCAUCAUUGGAUCACCCUCUGUCAGUCGUCCAUUCUGACCACCACCGGACCACCAUAUUGGCCGCUGCUGGUCUAUCAUUGGCAACAAUCAGGACAAACUCAUUCUAAAUCGGCUGCGGUUUUUCGACCAAAGCAACAUUAAAAUUUUUUCGUACCAUACCAUGAGCACAUCUACAUAGAAAAUGGAAGGGAGUGGGGAGCUAAAUGUGUCGGACUCAAACCGCGGGCAUUGCUGGUAAGCAGGGGGUUCUCCGGCUGGAAGUUUUAUCCAUGACAAAAGUACAUCAUAUUAGAGAUUAUUAGAAUUUUUUUAAAGAUAAUUGAGGAUAUUUUUCUUGAUUUUUCAUAUCUUUUGUGAUGGUAUAUUGAUUGUGCAUAACUUGAUUGGUUUGUCGCCUAGAUAAUCAUCUAAAUUGCUUAUCAAAACACAAAAAACAUAUAGAAAGAUUCCACUUUUUUUUUUUUUGGCUUUAUUCGUAUAUCAUCAUUUGAGAUAACUUAUGCCGCUUGGACACUUCUCCAUCAUUUUCCAAAAGUCAAUUUUUGAUGUUUUCAAGUAGUCUUCGUCAUCGUUUGCUCGUGACUUUUAUUUUACACAAAGGUUUUUUAAUUUUAAUUUUAAUUUUUUUUGCCAUGAUGAUGACAAAGGUUGAUGGUGACGAAUCAAAGCGUGUAUGUAGUUAGAAUAAGGGGUUGGUAUUUGUGAGUCUCAUCAUUUUAACUUCACUCAUCUAUAAAUAUCUUGUAUAAUGAAGUAAGUUUCAUGUAUUUCCUUCCCUUUUCAGAUCCUCAGCUGUGUGGAGAUAUUCCCUGCACUGAACAAAAAAUUGAAGAAUGAGACCAUCUUUCUCUCUUGUAUAUCCAUAUUGGUGAUUUAAUGAUUAGCGUGAUUAUGGACGUAUUUGAGCAAUAGUUAUUAUGGGGAUUGCAAUAAACUAAAAGUUCAUGGAACUUGAUGAAGAGGCAAAGGGCUAAGAAAGACAUAAAAGGAGACGUCACGAAUUGACUUUACGAAAACGUUGUAUGAAGUCUUUCACAAGUUGCAUUGUCUGCUUCACAACACCCAAAUUGGAAAAAUUCCGUUCCCACUGCUGGCUAGAUAUUAUAAUUGCCUUCAUGAUCGAGACAACUUGUACACGCGCAAUAGGUGAAAAAGUUAAGAUGCUGAUCCAAUCCCCUACAUCGACGCAAUUGAUCACAUUGUUUAGAUUUUACCAACUGCGUAAAAAUUACUUUGGGUACUGCACUAAACUAGAAGUUCAUGAAACUUGAUGAACAAGCAAAGGGCUAAGAACGACUUACAAAGAAAUAUUAAAACUUGAGUUUACAAGAAUGACGUAUGAAAUCUUUCACAAGUUACGUUGGCUAGAUAAUAGAAAGAUGCUGUGUGAAAAUUGACCACGGUACAAAACUUCAUAGAAAAUCUACAAAGGUUAUGACAUUCUAGCUACUAACUACUGGUUAGUUACUAUAAUUGCUUUCCUGAUGGCAAUUAUAGUAACUAACCAGUAGCUAGAACGUCAUAAUCUGCAAUCUUCUACUAAUAAAGCUAAAUUAUUAAUUAAUCAAAUGUUCCGUAGCCUGUUGCUUUUGAAGUGAUACUAAAGGCACAAAAUGCACCAUUAGUUUGAAGCACUUAUGGCACCAUUAGACUAGCAUUGACCUUCUUAUUAUUCUCUCUUUGCUUUAUCGGUUUCAUGUCACACUUUAAUUUUUUUUUCACAUUGUUACAACUAAAAUGAUUUCUAACAUGAUUUUCAUAUAAUAGAAUACAAAUUUGUCUUCUCAAUUAAGUAAAAAUAAGUGAUCUAUAAUGGCAAUUAAAGAGAAAAUCACUUUGAUGUGGUCUAAUUCUGAAUAACUCUAGAUGAAACUAGGUAAUAAACAUGACAAAUUUAAUCAAGAAAAUAGAUUUAGUAAAGUUUCUAUUCACUCCUCAAAUGAGUUUUAUAUUUAAGUAGUUAUUCAAAGUUUGAAAAAAGUUCACUUGCAGCAAUUAGUUCUUAUUGAUUUCAUUUCCUUUCUAGAAGAAAGAAAUAGUGUCUAUACUUGAGAAUUUUCUAUUUGAGAAAUAGUCUCUAAUUACGAAUUGCAUCUCCAUCGCACUUUGUGGUAAAAAAGACACUGUCAUUCACAAGGAGUCUGAUGUAGACCAUAUGUUUCGUAGUUAGAGGGACGCUUAUUUCUAGACCGACGGGUUGUUAGGAACGAUGGGAUGGGUAGUGUUGACUUUAGGCUCAUAUCAUUCAUAUCAAAUAACUUGGCAAGUCUUUCCACAAAUCGCAUUAGUAAGUAAUGAGUCCAUAUUCGUGUCUUGAGCUUUUAGCAGCGCAGUUUCGCGUCAACAAAACUGAUAACGUGUUAGCACGACCAUAGGCUUAUAGACUACCGCGUAGACUAAACAAGCCAUCGCUUUGUGUUAGAAAAGCUAUAGAAUCAAAACUUGCGCAUUAUAAAUAAGAUCGAAGCCACUUGUGAUCAUCUUAGAAACACACCACACUUUCGUUGGAGUUUUUUCAAUCACGAAGAUCCUACACUUUAUUUAACCCCCAGUACUCGGCCAUCAUUAUCUUCCAUAUCUUGCUGACCUUAAAAGGACAUAUCGUCCUAGAAAUCGAACCCUCUUCCUCGUUCUUAAGGAUACACGGUCGGCACCGGUUUGCCUGUUAAUUAUCUUCAGGAACACCACCACCACCACCACCACCACCAUCUUCCGUAGCAAUAGAAAAACUCCGUCACUUGGUCUUCUGAUAUUUUUCAUUGUUGCGACGAUCCAUGCAGUGUUGGAAAUUUCCUAUAACAUCAGCUUCAUUAAUUAAUUAAUUUUUUGUUUUAAAUAAUUAGGUUAAUGGAUAUUCCAAUAUUUAUUAAAUCCAAAACUGAUCUUAUUGAAUUGGGCAUUGGCAUCUAUUAAUAACGAGCCUAGUUGAGCAGCAAGGUGUAAGCAAUUGUGUUUAACUAAAGCCCGUAAUGGGAAGGCCCAGUUGACAUGCUAUUGAUUAGGAUUUGCUAGAUGCCCUCUCUAGCCUAUUAAAGGGUAAGUUAUACCUGUUAGUUGCUUAAUCCCAUUGAAAGCUGUUAUAUUGAAAUAGAUUAUAGAAAUGAAGAUAUGGCAUACUAAUAGAUCUCUGGUAUCAAAGUGAUCUAUUUUUCUUCAAGUGAAGCAAUGGCUCAAACAGAUACGUUUUAUUCCGCCGUGCUUAUCGAUUUUGGUGUUUUACAAUCAUAUAUGGAUUUGAUUGUUCUUGAUUAAUUACUUGUUUAUGUGAAUACAUUUUCUACGUUGUGGUAUGAGAGCAUGUCAUAUAUGAUUGUAGAACCCUUUUUUUUUAUGAACAAAUUCGAAAUUUUUCUUUUUGAGCCGAAUAUGGGUGUUAUUUUGGAUUUUUUGAUCAAUUGACUCUGAAACCUUAGGGCUUUUGUUCUACAUGUCGAGAUCUUCCCAACCAUAUAUAAUUUGUAUAAUUUCGUUGAGAAUUGAGUGAGAAUUUGAAAUUGAAAUUCUAGGGUUUAUACAUGAAAAGUUCUAGAAUUUUCAAAUUACUUGCAAUUGAUUGAUGUUCGUUGUAAAUCAUUACAUGAGUAUUGGUAUAUAUAUAUAUUAGCAUCCUUUUGUUGCAUUAAGGUAAGUUUUUAGGGCUUAAAUUUAAGAAAACUGAAUUCGGCCAUGGGAGGCUUAGAUUCGAAAUUUUGAAGCUUGUAUGUGGAAGAUUUACUCAUUUUUUUUCUUUGCUUAAUUCACUCUAAUCAAUUUAUAAUUAUGUUAGUACCAAGACUCACGAAUAAAUUUCAAGAAAAAUCAAAUUAAAUUGUAUUAUUUUGAGUCCUGGCUCAAAAUCGGGUCAUACGACCUAGUUUUGCAAAGUUUGGGACUUGGUUGGAGGUUGAAGAUGACCUCCAGCCAGGCAUGGGUUAGAAUAUGGGCUUUAGAAUAUGGGCUAAAGCCCAUAUUCUGUUAAAAAUUCGGAUACUAACAUGAGCCCAGAAUCUGGGUGGUUUAAAUUCUCCUGGGCCGGGGCCUAAUAAGCCCAGAUUCUUAUAUUAAUUCGUGGGCCAUUUUUUUAAUUGAAAGGAGCAUGGGCUCCUACGGGUUUGGGCCAAAUUUUUGGGCCUUGCGAGUCUGGCCCCGUGGUCUAAUCUAGGUUGCUCGCGGGUGUGAGGGUCCGAAACAUUAAAAUAAUAAUAAAAAUUAAAAAUUAAAAAAAUUAAAAAAAAUUGUGGCAAAAAUUGUUGCUUAAUAAAUGCAAUAUGAUCUUGGGAAGCACAUGUUAUAGAGUACUUCAUAUUGUUCGAUGAAUUUUGGGCAUAAAUUUUUGGAGUUCCCUAUUGAUAAAAAUUAGUAUAUACAAUAAUUCGCUCAAAGGGGGUUAUUGAGUAUAUUAAUUUGGAAAAUAGCAAGAAGAUUAAUUCCCAAAUUUAAAAGAUGGGGAUGUAUAAUUGAAAAAUAUUUCUUUGCCCAAAAGGGAGUUUAUAAUGUACUAAUUAUUUUGUUGAAUUGAUUAUUGCUCAUAAUUGAUCUUAUUGCAUUAUGUGUGACAAACAAUUAACAAUAUUGCCACGGUUGAAAUGUUAACUAGAUCAAAUUUCAAGAGACGGAAGCAGGAUAUAGAGUUUGCUCUGGGUAUCGUGGAUAUGGACUUGGCUCUAUGUGAGGAUGAACCUUCCAGGCCCAAUGAUCAAAGUAUUGUAGAUCAAAAGGCCCAUUAUAAUAGAUGGGAAAAUUUUAACUGACUAAGCCUCAUUGCUAUGAAGAUGUCCAUUGUUGAGCAUCUCACUAGUGUUUGCCGAAAGAUACGAAUGCCAGACAGUUCCUUGAAGCAGUGGAAGAAAGAUAUAGGGUCUGUGGAUAAAGCUGAAGCUGGGAACUUGCUGAGUAAGUUAACGAAUAUGAGAUAUGAUGCUGCUUUGGGUGUUAGAGAAUUUAUACUGAAGAUGGUCCACAUUCAAUCCAAACUUAAGGCCCAUGAAAUUGUCCUUUCUGAAAAUUAUAUUGUGCAUCACGCCUUAAAUGUUAUGCUAGUUGAAUUUAGCCAGAUUAAGACUGCUUAUAAUACUCAGAAUGAGACAUGGAGUGUCAAUACCUUGAUUACCAAAUGUGUGACCGAGGAAGAAAAGUUAAAGAAUGAGAAGUAUGAGUUCGCCCACUUAACUGCCAAUGCCAAAUUGAGUUCAUCUAGAGGCAAAUUGAAGUCUAAAGGGUCAAAUGCUCAUGGUCCAAAGAAAGGUCAAGACUUCGAGAAAAUUUGGAAGCAUGCGAGAAAUUGAGAUAAUGAUUUCAAGUGUUUUUACUACAAGAAGAAUGGUCAUAAGAGAGCCAAUUGCUAUAAGUUCCAAGCUUGGCUAAAAGCAAGAAAAGAAAGUCACCAAGGUGAGUUGUUGGUUUGUUUUAAAUCAAAUCUAGUUGAUGUUCCUUUGGAUUCUUGGUGGCUUGAUUCUGGUGUUACUGUUCAUGUGACUACUAUCUUAUAGAGUUUCAUAAAUCUAAGGAAUCCAAGUUUGAGGGAGUUAAAACUUAAAGUUGGAAACGAUAGUGGAGUUGAUGUGGAGUGCAUAGGGACAAUUAUUUUGAAUUUAGAUUCUGGUUUUCAGCUUAUUUUGAACAAUGUCUUUUAUGUUCCUGGUUUUAGGAAAAACUUGAUAUCUUUUUCUUUGCUUGACAAAGCUGGAUAUUGUCUUUAUUUUGUGAAUAAAAGAAUAGAUUUGAGUUAUGGUUCCAGAAUUAUUGGGAGUUGUGUUUUAUCUAAUGGAUUAUAUCGAUUAUCCUUAUCUCUCGAUAAACCAUAUUAUUCUUUCAAUGUCGAGAAUAAUGUUGCUAAGAGAUCUUUAAUCAAAGAAAGCUCUUCAUUGUUAUGGCAUAAGCGAUUAGGGCAAAUCUCCAAAGAAAGGGUAAAGCAACUCAUCAAGGCUAAUAUUCUUCCUCCUCUUGACUCAAAUGAUACUGAGACUUGUAUUGAUUUUGUGAGGGGAAAAUUGACUAAAACCAAGAAGAAAUGUGCUACUCGCAGUCAAAAUCUAUUGGAGAUAAUUCAUACGAAUAUUAGUUGGCCAUACUCAACCACCUUGUGUGGAAAUAAGUACUUCGUCACAUUCAUUGAUGAUUUCUCACGUUAUUAUUAUGUUUAUCUAAUUAAGGAGAAGAUUGAUGCUCUUGAAAUGUUCAAAGUGUUUCGCACUAAAGUUGAUAAACAAUUGGGAAAAAUUAUCAAGAUUUUCAGAUCUGAUCGCGGUGCUGAGUAUUAUGAGCGAUAUACCUAGACCGGAUAAUAAAUGGGACCGUUUGCUAAAAAAAUUGUAGGAUUGUGUUACUAUUGCUCAAUAUACAAUGUUUGGUAGUCUUGAACUGGAUGGUGUGGCUGAACGGGGCAAUCGCACACUCAUGGAGAUGAAACGAAGUAUGAUAGGCGGUUCUAAUUUGCCUGAAUACUUAUAGGGUGAUACAAUUAAAACAAGAACUUAUAUAUUGAAUUGUGCACCUAGUAAAUCGGUACUGAAAACACAUUUUGAAUUGUGGAUAGGGAGGAAACCAAGCUUGAAUCAUUUUUGAGUUUGGGGUUGUCUUGUAGAGGUGAAAAUUUAUGAUCCAUUUCGGAAGAAGACUAAACCCAAGACUACUAGAUGUUACUUUAUUUAAUACCUUGACCAUUUUAAAUGGUAUAGGUUCUAUUGUCCUACUUGUGGCACUAGAAUUGUUGAAUCCCAAACUGCAAAAUUUCUGGAAUUAGAUGUUGUUGAGAAGAGUUCUUCUCAAUUUUUUGAAAUGGAAAAACUACACAAAACGGUCUUUAUUCCAUUGCCCAUCUUGAAUGAUGAUUCUAUGCAAGAACCUUAUAGCGUGGAAAUUCAACAAGAAACAUAUACUGAAGAUAUGAUGGUAGAUUCUCCUAUUAUAAAUGAAAUUCCCUAAAUGAAUGAUGCGGCUCCAGAAAUGCCUGUGUGAAGAUCACAAUGACCAAAAAGACCAACACCUCUAAAUGAUUAUCAUGUCUAUUUUGGAGAAACUGAUUUUGGCAUUGGAAAUAUAGUUGAUCUGGUAAUCUUCAAAGAAGCUCUUAAUAGUGAUCAGGCAGAUAGAUGGUUAGGAGCGAUGAAAGACGAGAUGAUUUCCAUGUCAACUAAUCAAGUAUGGGAACUUAUUGAUUUACUUGAUGGACAUAAACCGAUUGGCUACAAAUGAGUAUUCAAAACCAAGAAAGACAAUAAAAGCAAUAUAGAGAGAUUCAAGGCAAGGUUAGUCACAAGGGGGUACACAUAGAGAGAAUGUAUUGAUUAUACUAAAGUCUUUUCUCAGUAUCUACUAAAGACUCUUUUCGGAUAAUUAUGGCAUUGGUGGCUCAUUUGACUUAGAGCUUCACCAAAUGGAUGUCAAGACAGCCUUUCUAAAUGGAGAUCAGGACGAAGAAGUAUAUAUGCAACAACCUGAAGGGUUUAAAGAAGCCGGAAAGGAGCAUAUGGUGUGUAAACUUCAAAGGUCUAUCUAUGGUCUCAAACAAGCAUCAUGUCAAUGGUACUUGAAAUUUCAUAAGGUUGUGAGAUCAUUUGACUUUGAAGAAAACAAGUUUGAUCGAUGCAUCUAAAUGAAAGUAAGUAAGAGUAAAUAUAUAUUUUUAGUACUUUAUGUAGAUAACAUUUUACUUGCUAGUAGUGAUGUUGAUAUAUUGAAUGAUACAAAAAGUUUUCUCUACAAAGUUUGAUAUGAAAGAUCUUGGGGAAGCCUCAUUUGUUCUAAGCAUUGAGAUUCAUCGUGACAGAUUCAAGAAGGUUUUGGGGUUAUCUCAGAAAAAUUAUAUAGAUCGUGUUUUGAAAAGAUUUAAUAUACAAACUUGCAAGUUGGGUGAAGCUCCUAUUGUGAAAUGAGAUAAAUUGAGCAUAGACCAAUGCCCUAAGAAUGAUGUUGAAAAAUAAGUCAUGAAGAAUGUUCCAUAUGUUAGUGUAGUUGACAAUCUUAUGUAUGCAUAAGUAUGUACUGGACUUGAUAUUGCUUUUAUUGUGAAUACUCUUGGAAGAUAUCUGUUGAAACCAAGUCAUGAACAUUGGGUUGCAGCUAAAAAGGUGAUAAGAUAUCUAUAACGAACAAAAGGCUUUAUGCUUGUGUAUAGCAGAGUAGAGGACCUAAAGGUGUUGGAUAUUUAGAUAUUGAUUUUGCUAGUUGUUCAGAUGAGAAAAUCAACUUCUAGAUAUAUUUUUAUGAUAAUAGAAGUGCUAUUUCUUGGAAGAACACAAAGCAAACCUUGAUUAUGAACUCUACAAUGUAUGCUAAGUUUGUAGUGUGUUAUGACGCGUCAAUUCAAGCUGUUUGGCUACGACUACCAGUCCAAGACUAACUACCCAACUCUCGUCCAGCUAGCCAUCAGCUUGGAUGGGCCUAAAACGCAAGCUCGGCCUGGAAUCCUUUAAAAAAACUUUAUCCCCACUUUGAAACAAGCCAAGCCCAGCCCAUGAUUUUAGAAACUGGCCCACUUUUGGAAACCCUAGACUCUAUCGGGUCAUGCGUUCGACCGGAUUCUGUAGCCGUUGCUACCCCUCUAAGGUUCAGCCACCACGACUACGUCGCCCGUCCUCGCCCCAUCAUCCGACUCUGCCGACACUACGACUGCCAGUCUAAGACUAACGACCCAACUCUUGUCCAGCUAGCCAUCGCCGCUAACCAUCGCCAUCGGUCAUUGACACUUCGAUUGCAAUCACCAACUCUCUUGGGCUAAUCGUUGAACGCCUAGAGUUCAUUGGCUAAAAAGGGAGGAGGCUCGAUAUUACAUCGGGAUUCAUGGUAGACGGCACGCGAAGAUCAAGGUAGCCAGACAAUGGACGAACGGGGCCCGAGAGCACGUGAGGUGGAUGGCCACAAGUUUUGAUGUGGUUUGUGCAAAAUGGAGCAAAAAUGGAGCCUUGCUUACCGAAUCCAGAUGUAGGGGCAACGAUGCGAGUAGCUAGCGUCGUCGGUGGCGGAGCAGCAAAGGCGUCGGGCCAAGUGUCCGGCGCUACACAUAACGAGAGGGCUCGCACUCCUGACCUCCUCUUUCUCUGAAACCUCAGAUCUCUCUUGCUUAGCCCUUUUUUUUUUUUUUUUUCAAAUUUGGGUCUCUCUUGACUCUCGUUCUCCCAGAUCUCUCUCAGAUCCAAAACCCCCUUGCUUAGAUCUGACCCUCCCUCUCCGACCAACCUCCCCUCCUUUGAUUUCCAGCUUGCUCGCUCUCGGUCCUCCCCCGAUGUCUCUCAGGAGAGGUCUUUGAAGCUGGCUGCCUUCGAUCUCUCUUCAUUCGUGUUGUUGGCCUUUCGUCGGUAGCCCAAUUUAUAGGCGGAGGGGUGCCGGUCGAUGGAGCUUCGGCCGGUGGUUCUUGGCACGCCGACUAGCCUUGGUGUGGCCAGACCGGCGCCGCCUCAGCCACCCACCCGCAUGCUCUGCUUUGCAUUGAAGGCGUGUCCCCAUCUACUGUGCUGUACGUCGCCAUCUCCUCCUCCACCCAGCCUUGCGUGCGUCCAGCUUCCUUUCGCGUGUUGUAGAGACAGAGGAGGAAGAAGACAAUGAGGAGGGGGCCUAGGCCAAGGGAAAAAAGGGAGUGGGCCUAGGGGCCCAUGCGUGGAAGAACAAAAAGAAGGGGUUGGGCUUUCAUGCCCAACCCCAUAAGAACCCUUUUCUUUUUUAUUUUAUUAUUAUCAUUAUUUUUUCAAAUUAUUUUUAAUUUAUUUAUCCGAAAAUAGGGUUACAUUGAUCCUUAAUUUUCUAUGCAAAUUAAUCCUAUGUAUUUAGUCAAAAUUUAAGUGUCAACAGCUGCCCCUCUUUGAAGAUGAGCUCGCAAAGGUUGCAUUCAAAGAUGAACUGAUACCUAAAUUUUUUCCAUGCAUAUGCAGUAGGUUAUAUCUUAUUUAGGACUAGGUGUCCUAAUGCAAAAAAAAGAAAAAAAAAAGAAAGAAAAAAAAAGGGAGUAAUACAACAUUAUACAUACUAAGACAGAUAAUGGGAUACUUGUAGUUACUUACCGGGAAUGAGUGAGACGGGGCAUGAACCCCGAGUUUGGCUAUUAGGGUAUCAUCUUACUUGAUGCUAGGAGGAAAAUCUCACUUUUUUGGGUCAUGAGCUGAUUUUCAAAACAAGUAGUCAAAAACGCUAGUGGGUAAGUAUUAUGGUUGGUUUCAAGAAUUUGCAUUGUAACAUGGACUUCAUUUCUUAAAAGUCAUGCUAACCCAUGCAUCGAGUCAAAUACCUAUUGGUGGCAUAACAAGCUUACUCUCGAGAGGCAUUCCAAUAAUGAUCUUGUAUUCUUCUAGAGUUGGGGUUAGUUCAAACUCACAAAAAAUAAAAGUGGAUGUCCUAGGGCAGAAAAAAUGUGUUAUUGCCUGUAGGACUUUGGGAUGAACAAGAAUUUGGAACAACGAUAGAAGACGACCGACUUUAGCUUUCACGUACUCUUGGGCAAAUUGGUCCAAUUGACCCCACCAUCUGAAGAGCUCUACUUUGGGGGCAGGAAUAAAUUGGAUAUCAUCUCCUGCAAUUGCAUAUAAACUGGGACCUGAAAAACCUACCUAAAUUGCCGUGGGCCAAUAAAAAAGAUUGAGUAAAAAAGGUAAAGAAAUCACUUUGUUUUUAAAGAAAAUGGCAAGCACAGAGAUAUGCACAUGAUACGUGCAGCUCGAUGUUUAACUGAGAAGGUUUAAGGAAAUUAAGAGGGUGUCUGCCCAUCGCAAUCUCGCGUCGACAUGAUACCCUCCUAACCUCGGCUCUACUUAAAGAAAUUCGAGGAAAAGAAAGGCAACAUCUACAUCGUAGUCUCACGUUCAAAGAUGUAUCUUUCUUAACAUCAUCCUAAAUAUCUUAUGGCGGCCUAGGUCCGGCGGCCGGGUUGUGUAUACCACAUGUAGUACUAAAACAUUAAAACAUACAAAGCAGUUUAUAAUCACAAAACAUUUUAUUUUAACAAAAUUAAAAUUAAUCUCUAAGCUAUUAACCUUCAUAAAAGAAAAAAAAUCAAGUUAGUGAAAUGUUUAAACAAGAUAAAAAACAACCUAAGUCCAUAAAAAAUAAAACGUUCCCAGUGGAGUCGCCAAGCUGUCGCAACCUCUUUUUCGACGCCCUAUUGCGCUAGUGCUGGCGGUGGUUGAUGGCUUGCUAAGUUUAUUAGGCUUAGCCUGGGCUCUCCCAAGCCCACUAAUUCAUGACUUAAUGGUUUGAGUUUUUAACCUAUAAGUUAAUUUUAAAUAGGAGUCACCACUAAUCGAUUUGGGGUGAGUUGAUUAGAAACCCAAGUGAAAUAUUGGGAGAAAUAUAUUUUUUUGUUAAGGUAAUAUUGGGGGAAAUAUUUCACUCCUACGCAACUAGAGAAACUAGGAUCGGAGACUUGAUUACAUUAGUUAAUCACUAAUGCCCUUCUGGUACCUAAUCUUGUUUAAACCCUAAGCUUUUUGGAUUUUUUUAAGGAUUUUUCCAUGCAUUUGUGGAGACAAACAUUUUUGGUCUUUUUCUAUUUUUUUGAACAUAAAAAGCAUUUUUUUUUUGAUCUUUUUUUGAAAAUAUAAAUCAUUUUUGGCUUUUCUGAUUUUUGUUUUGGGAAACAUAGAAUAUUGUUUGGAUUUUUUUGAUUUUCGAAAAAUAUAUUAUUUUUACUAAUUUUUGUUAUUUUUAUUUUUAUUAUUAAAAUAUUAUUUUUUAAUAAUAAUAAUAAUAAUAAUAAUAAUAAUAAUAAUAAUAAUAAUAAUAAUAAUAAUAAUAAUAAUAAUAAUAAUAAUAAUAUAAUAUUAUGUAAAAAAAUGAUCCGAGUUGGAUUGUCGAAUUGGGACUGACCCGAUUUGCUAAAGCCAUCACCCCGGAUAGGCCUGAAAUGCAAGCUCGGCCCGAAAUCCUUUAAACAAACUUUAUGCCCACUUUAAAACAAGCCAAGCCUAGCUAAUGAUUUAGAAACCGGCUCGCUAUAGGAAACCCUAGACUCAACCGGGUCAUGCGCUCGACUCUGUUUUGUAGCUACUGCUACCCCUCUGUGGUUUAGCGGCCGCGACGACGUCUCCCGUCCUUGCCCUGCCGUUCAACUCUGCCGGCACUAUGACUGCCAGUCUAAGACUGACGACCCAACUCUCGUCCAGCUAGCCACUGCCGUUGACCAUUACCACUAGUCAUCGAAGCUCUGGCCACAACCACCAACUCUCUCGGGCUAAUCAUCGAACACCUGGAGUUCAUUGGCUAAAAAGGGAGGAGACUCGAUAUUACGUCGGGAUUCAUGGUGUCACAUCCCAAAUCUCGAGUGCGCGCACAUCCCUCGGUGGUCGAUAAAAUUGCGAUGUCUCAUGACGCGUUGCCGACCCAUUUAUUUUAUUGCACAUGCGGAAGCGAAAUAAUAAUCCCCAGACAACACUCAACAUGGGAUAGAAAAGCAUGACAACAAAUUUCACAAAACAUACUUUCAAAAACCACCAAGGUUUAAGUCCAAAAGAAAACCCUAGGCCACCUACGCUCCAGACCUCCGCCUUGGGCAUCGAAUUCUCCGCACUAGGUACCUGAAAAUGGUAACCCACAACGGGGUGAAAAUAAAUCUCAGCGAGUUUACGUCCUAAAUCCCGAUUAGGAAGGCAAUACGCCUAGAGGCAGUCUAACCACACAUCACAGAAGACUCACCUCGCCUCAACACCUCUCCGCACGUCAGUACAGUUCGUAUAAUAGAUACAUAUAAUAAAUGCACACAUCAAUUGGAAUGUCUCACGUAGUGCAAUUAAUCACAGAGGUCCCGAUUAUAAGGUCAAAUCAUUAUGACACGUCCCAUUCUAUGCCACACAAUUUUGUCCCAUAAUCAGGCACGUUUAUCUUAAUCAUUCAUGCGCUUCAAUUGAUUAAUGCCCGCAUAGGCAUGUUUUACCAGACACACAGCGGUCUUCCGGCGUAACUUGGUGUCUUCUCGCACAAUCGAGCAUGGCAACGUCUACUACAACCGACAUCAUUCCACAUAAGACCAUUGUCCACCCGACGCAUAUCGAGUGACAGAUUCUCAUAACCAUCACAUGUACACUCAAUUCCGGCCAAAGACAUUGUUCUUUGUACUCAAAUGCCUCAAUUAAGAUAAUGAACUUGGUCUAUUUUCUUCGUAUUAAAAACACUCAACUGGACUGAGCUUUGGCCUCUAUCCAAGGGCUGAAAGGGGCUGUCAGGGCUCGGUUUGGGCUGAAAUGGGCUAGGCGAGGCAACGGUGGCUGCAGCAGUUUCUAGCGGUGGCUCUAGCGGGUCCUAGCGGCUUGGGGGCGGUGGACGGUGGCUGGAUGACAAGUUCAAUAGCUCGAGAUGGUGGCCUAGGCUCGCAGACGAGCAAGCAUGCAAGCGAUGAUAGUGUGGCAUGCAGGCGGCAGCAACGGCUCAGGCGGACAACGAACAGGCGCUAGUAGGCAGCAGGGGGUGGUCGACGGGCAAGGGGAGUGUUGGCUGGCUUUCCUCUAGUUCUUGAGCUCAUUAAUGGCUUCAAUAAUGGAUAAAGGAGGCCAAGGGAAGGAGAACAAGCUAGCUGCUGAAGUGGGGACCCAAUUGGCCUCAAAUGUCAACAAAAAAUAUCUAAAUACUCAUCACUUGCCCCCACCACCUUCAGCCUUCAUCCUCAGCCCUUUGCUACACCAAGGCUUCCUCAACAAGCUUCCUAAAUAGCCUAAAAUGUCGCAGCACCCCCUAGUUACGAAUUUUGAAUAUUUGCCCUUCAAUUUCAUUCAAUUUCAACUCCAAUUAAGCUCAAUUUGCCCCCCAUAAAAACAGCCCAGCUGCCCUCAACCAUCUCAUGAUUUUUCCUCAUCAAUUAGUCCAACUUGAACCCUAAAAAUUCACCAAAACACGGCCCUAUAAUUUUCCUGGUCCAAAAAUGCCUAAAUUUGAUUUUUCUCCUAAAUCUCGGGUUUGCAGAAAAAUCUUCAGAGAACGAUUCGACGUUUCUAAAAUGAAUCGUGACAUAACAGAACUUUCAAUUUCUGAAAUCGGGUUCAAAUUUGCGGUUAAUUUCAACCGGGCGCAAUUUAGCGUGUUUUAACCUACUGGUAACUUCUAUGAAUUUUUUAGUGCAAUUGACCUGUGAUAGAUUAUUUUCGAGCUACAUUGUGCAUCUUCCACUCAUUGGCAACUCUCAGUUAUCGUGAAAAUCUCAAGAUUUCAAAUACAGACAUAGGGUACAUAAAUGACAGAAAAAUCAGUUUAGUACCGCUCAACAAAAUUUUUGCAAUUCGGUGGAAUCACAAAGACUUUAAUCACAUAUCUCAGUUGAACUGACCUAUCUCUGAUCUCUGAUUGAUUUUGACAGUGCCGUAUUAACCCUUGCAGAUUAGCACAGUCGAGUAGUCGAUUUCUGGUCAAAUUCUUAAGUCUAUUACAUUAAAAUCCUUUAACAGCUUCAUUGGAUAAAUUAGUUAUCUCGUGAGUGAUUGGUUCAGACCUAUAGGCACAUUGAUAAAAAAAACCCAUCUCAUUUAAUUGAAAACAGAAUCAGAAAUUCGGGCUAUCACACAUGGCGGACGACAUGCAAAGAUCAAGGCAGCCAAACAACGAACAGACAAGGCAAGAGAGCACGCGAGGUGGAUGGCCACAAGUUUCGAUGCGGUUUGUGUGAAACGGAGUGAAAACAGAGCCCUGCUUACUAGAUCCAUAUGCAGGGCCAACGAUGCGAGUAGUUCGCGUCGUCGGUGGUGGAGUAGUGGAGGCGCUAGGCCAAGCAUCUGGCGCUAUGUACAGUGAGGGGGCUCACACUCCCAACCCCCUCUCUCUCUAAAACCUUAGAUCUCUCUCGCUCAACCCCUCUCUUUCAGAUCUUGGUUUCUCUCAACUCUCAUUCUCCUAGAUCUACCUCAGAUUCGGAACCCCCUCGCUCAGAUCUAACUCUCGCUCUUCGGUCAACCUCCCUUCCUUCAAUUUCCAACUUGCUUGCUCUCGGUCCUCCUUUAAUGUCUCUUAGGAGAGGUUCUUGAAGCUAGCUGCCUUUAAUCUCUCUCCGCUCGUGUCCUUGGCCUUCCGUCAGUAGCCCUAUUUAUAGGCGGAGGGGUGCCGAUCGAUGGAGCUUCGGCCGGCAGUUCUUGGCACGUCGACUAGCCUUGGUGCGGCCGGAUCGGCAUUGCCUCACCUGCCAACCUACGUUUUCUGCUUUGCAUUGAAGGCGUGUCCUCAUCUGCUACGAUGUACGUCGCCAUCUCCUCCUCCACUCGGCCUCAAGCGCGUUCGGCUUCCUUGCGCAUGUGUUGUAGAGAUAAAUGAGGAAGAAGACAAGGAGGAGGGCGGCCGGGCCAAGGGAAAAAGGGAGUGGGCUUGGGGGCCCGCGCAUGGAAGAACAAAAAGAAGGGGCUGGGCUUUCACACCUAGCCCCAUAAGAACCCUUUUCUUUAUUAUUAUUAUUAUUAUUAUUAUUAUUAUUAUUAUUAUUAUUAUUAUUAUUAUUAUUAUUAUUAUUAUUAUUAUUAUUAUUAUUAUUAUUAUUAUUAUUAUUAUUAUUAUUUAUCCAAAAAUAGGGUAAAAAAGGGAAAAUAAAAAAGAAAACAAACUUAAUGGAUGCAAAUAAAAACCAAGACCUAAAAAAUAUUUUUGUUAGGGUCAAAUUGAUCUUUAAUUUUCUAUGCAAAUUAAUCCUAAGUAUUUAGUCAAAAUUUAGGUAUCAACAUCACAUUAAAUUAAAGAUUCAGGUCAAAUGGUUCCAAUUGGCUUUCACACACCAUGAUUGCUGCACAUCCUUGGACGAUUUUAUGGUCACCCUCUUUCUCAUCUUUCUAGUGCAUGAGAUUUUCUUCUAGGAAUGCUCCUAGCAAGGCCCAAAUCUAACAUCACGAGAAGAGCAAAUUUUUUUUCGAUCUGACCCAACAUCUUAUUGGUUCAUUCCUUUUCUAUUUACUUACAAAGUCUUACUUUUUUACUGGCAUUUAACUCAAGAAAAGAUAAUUAAUUGAUUCCAAGUGAAUUGUUUGGUAAUUAUCUAAAACGAGUUUUACUUUUUAUUGAAUCUAAAUCUAUCAAUUCACAAAAUUUGACCUAUUUUUCUUUUAAUUUGGUGUGGCACACCUCGACGGCCCCCGAACCGUUAGGGUCGCCACAGUUCAUUUACCAUUCUCUUGCUUGACCUUAAGGUCUAUCAAUCCUGGGGGUUUAUAUCUUUUAGGUCGGUCCCUGUGUAAUCUAUAUGGCGGAAGCGUAUCCAAUAACUCAUUUUCCUAUAUUUAGAAAACAAUGCACAUCGACUAAACAUGUUAUAUAAGUUAAAGCUGAACACUUUUAUUUACAUAACUAGAUGGACAUCAUUCGUCGGUACAUCAAAAUGCCAAGGUUUUCUAUACUCGGCUUUACUUCAAAAGAUGACCGACAUCUUCUCCAACAGUCGUAUACUUAAAGUUCAUCGAUCAGUGUCAGCGUCCAAAAGUUCCUUCCUUUGCUCUCUUCCUCCUCGCAGUCAUAUCCAACCACUCGAUCCAUCUACCGAUAGUAGGGGCAGCAAAGGUAUCUUGUUUAGUCUGAAAUAUUAGUCCCUAUACGGGGUGAGUACACCACUCAGUAGUAAAGAUCCACCAAACUACACGAUGCGUCAGACAGAACAAUCAAGGUAUCACGAAUAAAGCACAUAUCAUCUAUGCAUUCGAACAUACCUCAACAUACAGCCAUGCAUAUAUCACCAUACAACGUGCAUAUACCACCAUGAACUUGUACAUAUACCAUCAAGCAGCCAUGCAUAUAUCACAAUGCAACGUGCAUAUAACACCAUGCACUUGUACAUAUAUCAUCACGCAACCAUGCAUAUAUCACCAUGCAACGUGCAUAUAUCACUAUGUACUUGUACAUAUAUCAUCAGACAUCCAUGCAUAUAUCACCAUGCAACGUGCAUAUACCACCAUGCACUUGUACAUAUAUCAUCAGGCAGCCAUGCAUAUAUCACCAUGCAACGUGCAUAUACCACCAUGCACUUGUACAUAUAUCAUUAGGCGGCCAUGCAUAUAUCACCAUGCAUCGUGCAUAUACCACCAUGCACUUGUACAUAUAUCAUCAAGUAGCCAUGCAUAUAUUACCAUGCAACAUGCAUAUACCACCAUGCAGUUCAUGCUUGCAUUUCCAUGAGGUUCAUCCCAUGCCAUAUGCACAUAUCCAUGCGCAUGAUUCAAUUCUCAAUUUUAUCUUUCACAAGGAUCUCAUCAUUUUUCUUUCCAGGGACUAGUGUUUGCAUCCCUCAUUUAUCGCUCGCACCCAACCUGGCAUCGCGAGGAGCCUUCGGCACACACCUCCGAGCAUCUCGCAUCCCACCUGGCAUCACGAGGAAUCUCCGAGGUUUGCCAUGAAAAUAGUUACCCCUACCCUCCGGGCAUGCAACAUAAUACAACCCCCCACCCUCUGGGCAUGUAUAAUAAUAUGACCGAGCAUCCCGACACUCCCGAGGAAAACAUCUGGGCAUGUGUUUUAUAAUACAACCAGGCAUUCAAAGGGCAUCGAUUCAUUUGAACCUUUGGGCAUCCCGACUCCCGGGGCAUUGUCGGCUCACACCUCUGACGGUAUCAUCAUUAUCACAAUGUAUAUUCACAUAUAUGUCUCAUUUUCAACAUGACAUUUGAUGCAACAAUAUCGAAGGUCUAAACCAGUUUUUUUUUUUUUUUAUGUCAUAUGAUAUACCAAACGUCACCAUAUAUGCAGUUCACAUAACACCCACCAUAUCACAUUUCAUAAAGCAGUUCAUUGGUUUUUUUGAAAAUAGAACCAAUUUUCGGGUAAAACAGAAUGUACAUCUUUAGUAAAAAUUCUUGGAAAAUUAGUAAACAAUCUCAAUAAAUUCUGAAAAUUUAACAUGAGGUAAAAACGAUCUAGAUGAAGAUAUUUCAUGAAGAACACCAUGUCAAAAAGUUCCACAUCAAUCACAUAGAUCCACACAUCACAGCAAAAGAAAUUCCAGCACCACUUUUUGCACAGCUUCGGAAAUAAUUUCAAUUAAGCCCUUAAAUGAACUUCAAAAAUUCUGAAAUUUUGAUAUGUUAUAGAUGAGAUAUAGAGGUAAAAGUCUCAUGUAUAAAUCGAAGUCUGAUUCCUUCUGGAUUAAAAGCUAUAAUUUUUAUAACUCUCCCUAACUCUCUGUUCACUGUCCAGAUUCACCCUUUUCAAAGAAAAUAAUUUUCCUGAUCAAUGCUUGUCAUUUUAUUCUCAAAUUAUAGUAUGUUAUUUGUCAAGAUGUGACCUACAAGUUUCAUCAAGGACACAAGAUCAAAUUUCAACCGUAUAAUUUUAUAAAAAUUCACAGAAUCACACUAGGUCAGCAUAACGGUUUCCAGAUCUACUCUCUUCAAAGAAGAAUGGUUUCACCGACCUAUACUUGUUCAUUUCCUCUCAAAUUUUGAUAUGUUAAUAUUCAAGAAGUCCUAUACAACUUUAAUCAAGAAUUCAAAGCAAGAUUCCGUCUAGAACAUCGCAUGCAACUCACGAAAUCACCAAAAGGUCAACAUAACAGUUUCCAGAUCUAGUUUCGUCAAAGGGAAAUCAUUUCACCAACCAAUACUUGUUCGUUUCAUCUCAAUUUUUAGUAUGUUAUUAUUCAAGAAGUUCUCUACAACUUUCAUUAAGAAGUUGAAGUCAUAUUCCGACUAGAACAUUGCAUGCAACUCACGACUUCACCAAAGGUCGGACUGUUUUUCCAGAAACAGAAUACUAGGCUAGAACACAACUCCUAUGACUUCGAAAUUUCUCAACUCAUCCACAUCCGAAAUUCACCAUUCAUCACACACAAAACGCAGCAAGCAAAGGGUAGAUCAAUGGAAUCUACUUCCUCUAAUCCAAGCAAAACACAGCAAACACAAUGGCGGGGCAAGGCGGACUUGACGGCAGCAGCUAGGCACACGCACGACGGGGCUUGGUCUUCCUCUUUCCUCACCGAAGCACCCACGAACCCUCUCUCUCUCCCUCAGCUCACCUCCCUUUCUCUCUUUCCCUCUCACUUCCGAAACCCCCUUCCGUUUUGCUCUUUGAUUAACAAUUUAUCUCUAUUUUUGCAUGUAAGAGACAAGUGUUCUCAUGAGGAGAACAAGUGGCAAAAAGGAGAGAACAAGUGGAGGCAAAAUUGAAGACAAGUGUUGGAGGACAUGCACUCCCCCCCUCCCCUUCUUGGUCCGGUCGACACCCAUGGGGGUCUUUGGGCUUGCUUGGGCCCGAAAUCUUGGGCCCAAGAGUCCUUAAAAUAAAGCCCAGAAUUAUUUUUUUUAAAGCAUUUUAUUUCUACCAAAUUUAAUUUAAUAUCCCAAAAAUUAAAUUGCUUCCUAUACAAGUAUAUACUCAAAAUUCUUGCGUGCCGUCCAACAUCCUCAAAAUUCUAAUUCUUUAAUUUUAGCACGCAUAUUUCUUACGCAAGACCGAAUUCCGUCCUUUCAGUUCAAAAUAAAACAAAAUAUAAAUUCAAAUGAACAAAUACAAUUUAAUGCCUGUAAAUAAUGUUAAUGCCACAGUUCGGUGACCGUCAUCUAUGCGAGGAUCAUCUAAAUUUUUGGAUGCCACAUUUGGAACUUUCAAAACUUUUAUGAUAGUCAAAUGUUGACACGUAACUUCAAAUGCAAAUUUUUCAUAACAUUUGGAAUAUAAUAAAUUUUAGCAAAAAAAGUAAAAAGAAAAUACUCUUUGCUCCUCAAAAUAAAAUACUUUUAUCUAAGAGUAAACAAUUUACAUAUGUUGCUCCUAAAAAGCAAAAGACGCAAUAUACAGGUGGUUUGUUCUUUUGCAUGAUGCACUGAUUGAAGUCCUAUGUAUUACCAUGAUUAGCUACAAAUGUUGAAAUUGCGGAAGACUAACGAGGAUACAAACACCCACGAGUUUGAUGAAAUUUUCGCCGAGUCCAAGUCGCAAAAACAAGUGUACGAGGUUGCGGCAAAGCUUGUUGUGGAGGUGCGUACGAAUGAAAGAUUUUGAUUGCUGUCUUAAAUUUCACCGUCAUACGAGCUUGCUUUUUGGUAAAUAUAAGCACGUGGAGAAACUCUUGACAUUUUAUGCACUUAAUAUGCUUCCUUUUCUCACAUUUUUAGCAUCAUUAUUGGUAGGGAUCCCGGUUAGACUGUGCCCUUUAAGAGUAGCAUUGGUGUUUACUACUUCAUUUAAGGACUAGGUCCCAUGACCUGUCCUAGCUUACAUGAUUUUGCUUCCUAUACAUUAGUUUGGAUAUACUUUAAUUUAGAAUACUAUGAAAAAGCCCAAACUGAUACAACCAUAAUAAAUUUACCUCAAAUUAAUUUUUUGACCAUAGAAAACGCCAAACUAAUAUAUCUAUGACAAAUUUAUCAUCCUUUAGUUUUAGUUAAAUUUUUCCGUCAAAAUUUGAAUUAGAUAACAUGUGAUAGUUGAUAGGUAUAACAGUUUGAGGUUUUAUGCUUAGUUUGUCACAUGGGUAGUAGUUUUGUAAUUUUUUGUGGUAUUAAUUUAAUUUAACGAAAGCUAAUAAAAAUUGUAUUUGUCACAAAUAUACCGGUUUGAGAUUUUUUGUGGCCAAAAAAUUAGUUUGAGGCAAACUCGACACAUGUAUACUAAUUUGGAAUUUUUUAGGGUCAAAAGUUAAUUUUGGAUAAAUUUAUCGUGUACUAAUUUGAUAAUUUUCAUGGUAUUAAACCUUAAUUUUAUGGCACUUUACUUCACCCUGAAUUUUUUACCAUUUUAUAAUAUUUUUUUAUAGUUUUCAGGAAAUUGUACCUUCGCCCAACACCAACUAAACAUGAAAGCUUGAUUAAGAGUGAAUUAUUGUUGAUAGCCGUAGGGAUGAGCAAAAAGAAAUCGUCCAAAUCAGAAUCGCCUGGACCGAUCUUCGGUUCCCAAAAACUUGAAUAAGUGAAUACCGGUACGAUUUCGCAUUUCAGAUGCGGAACCACCCAUUUAUUUUUUAUUUUUUUAUUAUAAAUGAAACCUGAAAGCAAGCUCCAGAAUCACGCACGCUCUCUCUCUCUCUCGCUCAACUCACGUCCUCGAGGCUCGUAGUUUUUUUUUUUUUUUGGUCGGUCCUACUCUAAUUCUACGCUAACACUCACUCUCAAACUUUUGCCCUUGCCUCCUUACAAGGCGUGGGAGUCGAAACCCACUCCUAAAAUGAAAUUGUCCCCACCCCAAUCCCCCCUGAGAAGGUGGGGAUUUGAACCCUCAACCUCCCCCUUCCAAGUUGGAAGGGUGGCUACUGGGGCGAACCCCCAGUGGUUCUCGAGGCUCGUAGUUUAGUCACGCUCUCUCUUGGCCUCGACAGUUUUUCAGGUACCAAUUUGCCCCGCGCCUCUUGUGGACUAUUUGCCCUAAUUCUACCCUUUGUUUCCUCUGGUUUGGUUUUGACAUGGUGUGUCUCGAUGUGUUUUACAUGGUUGCUAUCUGUUAAUGGUUUUCUUGUGUCCAUUUUCGAGUCUUGGAUACGGGAAGAAGGAGAGAUGGUCGAUGGGUAAUUGGCUUUUCAGUCUUGGAUUCGCCAUCCACCUGAGCUCAGGACUUGAAGUUUUUACACGAUUUUACCUGCGGACAUGUUCUGCUCAGCUGGAGAAUGAUCAGCUGGUGUUUUUUUUCUACCUUUCUAUGUUCUAAUGUUUUUUGGUCAAGGGAGGACAAGUGAAAAUUCUUUUAUCAAAAGUGGCGGCAGUCAUUUUCGUAAAGUGUUGUUUCAGAUUACUGGUAGUUGUGAUCUUUCAUGAAGCUUUCCUUGGGUUUUUGCCUGGAAGUGUGUAUGUUUGUCUGACGAUCAGGGAAGUUAUGUGUCCAUGGAUUCUGAAUUGUUGUAGGACAGGCGGGUAACUAACUUCUCAUAGGAUUGAUAUGGUUUGCCACAUAUUGUAGCAUAACCUAGCUGCAAUGAAACUAAAAAAGAAUGAAAAAAAAAAAAAACAAAAAAACAAAAAAGAAGUGGUUGCUUCUCGGUGGAACCUGAAACCGGCUUGAAACUGGCAGGUUUGGCUUCAAAGUCGGUUCUAGGGUCCACAAGGGUUGGUUCCCAGUUUCAAGAAUUGGGAAAGAGCCCCGAUAGGAUAGGUUCUAGGUUCCAGACUUGGAACUGAUUUGCUGUUAAAAUUGAGAAUGAACCUGAGUUUGAUGAGGAGGUGAACUCACGUUAUUUCUUUCUCUGAAAUGUAAUACAGGUAAAAUGCAUGUGCAACUUGUUCGGCCAGCAGUGUUUAUUACAUGAGUUCACCUUUGCUUUCCCAUCUUGCUCUAUUAACACAGUUAAGCAUUUCGUUUUGGCCAUUAAUUUUAAUUUUAUGAUUUGAUCUUUCUACUUCACAGGAUUUUUCCACUUCACAGGAUGGUGCAGCAAAAGAGAAAGAGAAGAGAAAGGAGAAGAAAAUGUGGAAGACGAGGAAGGAAAAAGAGGCAGAACUAAGCAAAAUGUCAACAAAAUCCCAAUUAAUGUUUGAUAAGUGGCUGAAUUACACGGAAAUAUUAGGAAGGAUUUUUUCAGUGUUGAUAUGGAUAUUUAAUUUAACAUCACCUUUGGCCACCAACAGCUUUGACAAAGGAUUUAUAUCAUUGAAUGCCUAUGUACUUUCACAGCAUUUCUUUUUGAAUGCUCAUAACACAUUCUUCUCAUUGUCACCUUGCUUAACACAAGUUGAGGAAAAUUACUCUAUAAUAUUUUCAUGCAAUUUGGCCAUGUGAAACAUUUUGUGAUUUUGUUGGGCAUAUCGCAUUUUUUCUCAGCUUUGGCCUCUUUUUUGUUCCUCCUCCUCCUUUUCUUCUCCUUUGCCUUUCUCGACAUGGUCAAACAGUUUGUCUCCUCAACUUUUGCAUGGUGCCUAUGCAAAUUCCGGAUAUAUCGUUGAAGAGGGCUAGUGUUGAACCUUCCUGAAAGAAGCUAUCUGAACGGACUCCUGGCAGAGAUAAUUCCAUAUAAUAGCCAGCCAUGUAAAGUAAACUUAAUUGUGCUGAGGAAAGCAGGUAAAGAGUUGAGAAUUGGUGAAAGGUAGUUGAUGUUUCUUAUGUAAUCUAAGAACAUUGUUCUAACUUGUCAUCCACUUUUCUUACAGUAUUCAAAAGGCCCUUUGUUGAUGAUUUUUACUGUUUUGCUAUGAGAAAUUGGCUGUGGGGGUUUGGGGCCACAUAUGUUGUUCAAUCUGACCUACAGUCUCCUCCUUUCUUGCACUUUCUUUCACACCAUCACAAGACUCUUUUCUGUGUGCACAUGCGUGCGUAUGUGCAUGGUUGUUAGGAUCACGAUCAUUCGUUCCUACGACUCAAAAACUUUGAACAAUUUGGAUUCUAAGAAAAAUGGUAGUUUGUGGGGGUCGUGAUCUGUAUCUUAGGAUGGCCAUCCCAACUACGAUUCCACUAUUCAAGCUUUAGAAGGCAAUUCUGCCUUUUUAGCUGGAGCAAAUAUGAAAUUGGGCCUCCGUCGCCUAGCGCAUGUGCCACUUUCUUCUUAAUUAUGUUCAGGCUCCAUUUGGAAAAUAUAAGGCUUGGAGAAUUAAGAAAAAGGGAUGAAGAUGAAUGAAUAGUAGAAAGCAAAGAAGUGCAGAGACACCAUUUCUUCAUCUUCUUCAGUCUUGAAUAAAUGAUGAGAUGGGCAUUGACCACCGUUGGCUUUUUGAACUGUGCCGUCCUUUGGAGAUGAGAGAGACAAAGCUUCUGUCCUUCUGCAACCAGAUGAGAGAGACCUCUAUCCUUGAGAAAUUGGCACACGAUUUGACUUGGCCUAGUAGCAUAAUAUCUUUAGAUGUAUAUUGAUUAGAACUUACCUUAAACUUUAAACAGUUGAAAAACCUAGAAUAGCCAGUGAAAGUGAGGUUCGUUAGAGAGAGGUGGUGGGGGGUGUUAAAUUGGAGUGUGUAUCCCAGAUUGAGGUAAAUAAUAUUUUAUCCUUUGAAAUAAAGAAAGAGACAGUAUGUAUUCCAAGAGAGAGAAGGACAAAAUAAAGGAUUAGAAAUUAGGAAAAGGCAGGAAAGUAAUUUCUUGGCAGCCUUCUUCUUGGUUAUUAUGGUGAUUAUUUUAUUGUGAUCCUAUUUAAUACACCUUAAAAACUUGGGCAAGGAGAUUUUAUGCUUUUACAUCUUUGACAUGGUGCUUUAAUUGUUAGUUGAAAAACUGGCAACCAAGAAUUUAAAUCAGAGUAAUCUCUCACAUGAGAAUGCUACCUUCAAGCUUCACUAUCCCUCUUUUUAUGGUUAAUAUGCAUCUAAUUGCAAUGAUUUAAGCAAGAAUUUAGCACUUCAAAUAUGUAGGAUCUUAUGAUCUUGAUCUGAUCUCGAAGACUUCAAAAGGAUCCUACUUAGCAUCUUGAUCCUGAUAACCUUUUUGUGUGUGCGUG